GUUAAGCAAGCAGUAACAUAGCCAAUCAGUGGUUUGCUAGGUCGAACAGGUUGAAGGUAAUCAUGGCAUUGUUGAGAGGCUGAUAUUUAACAUGUGGUAGGCAACGAGACAUAAUCGAUAGAAGCGAUAAAACUAGCAUGGAAAUGAUAGUAAUGGUAUCUGGGGAAAUGGUCAUCUUGCCUGAGAUCCCGCUUGGAAGAAGAACAACUCAAAGAAGUCGACGAACCAACGUAGUCGAACGGGUCCUUAUAUUCCGACACGCUUGCGGAACUCUAUCGGAACGAAGCAAACCAGAAACAAACAUCAACACAAAUAUUCACCACACGAUGCACAACAUGAUGCACAACCUAAUAUGAUGCAUGAUCAGUUCAACGAUGCAAGGGAUGGCAUGGCAAUUCACCUCAAGCAAACUCUACACAUUAAGUGAAGCUCGAUAUGCAACGGGUUGCAUAUCGACGAAACUCCACGAUUAAUUAAUUAAUUCACUCCCGUUUUAUUUACACGAAAAUAUUAAAUUGUUGUUAACAUGGCAAGGGUGAAGCGCUGAUUCUACCUGUCAUACUAGUCGGUUAACACGUGAAACAUAGAACGGAGCUACGACACAAGAACAUGCAACACAAGAUUAUAUGCCAUGAACGCGUCAUGAAUGCAAGUUCAUCAACAUCACGGCGAGAAGGGAAAGAAGCAUAUGUCGCCACGGCGAGCGAGAGGGAACCAUGGCGGCAAAACGGAAACGAUGCCACGACAAUGUUCCUAUCCCGAUAACUCAUCGAGAUAACGUGCCAAAAAAUAGGGAGCGUGUGCGGGAACGUUAAAUAAAGAAUGGGGUGAUCCCGUAUCUCGGGUUCCCAUGUGUCGAUGGCACGAUGAAAAGGAAAACAACGUGCAACAUGCAAACAUACGGCGCAAACACACGAUACAUUCAUCUCAUACAUCACUUGCACACGGUUCACGACACGUCUCAUCGAUAUACCUUCAAAGCGUGCACAUCAGAGCGGAUUGGUUCGUGGCGGACGUCGUGGAAGUCGUGGUCGUCGUGGAAGUAGUGGUCUUGUCGAAUCCACGGUGACGGUAGUGGAAGUCAUGCUACUUGGCGCAUCAUCGUCUCAUGGCGAAAUUCCCACGAGUUGGUCAUUGGACUUUGCGACCUUUGCAACCAACAAUACAUGGUGGUCUUGGCUUCGGUCUUGCGGCAGCAAAGGUCAACAACAACGGAGGUCUCCGAUGCGAUGCACAUGAAGUGGUGGUGGACUUACGGUGUUGGAUAGGGUCAAUGCGGGGAGUGGCGGGGUGAUGCAGAUCGGCACGAGGAGGCAUGCGCUAGGCCUUGGCACUCGGAUGGAUCCCAGGUGAGUGAACCCGAGGUCAAUGACCACGAGCGGUGCUGGCGUCCGUCUCAAACUGACGAGCAGAGGCAGGUGCUAUGCAACUCCAGGAAGCUAGGUCUUGGGGGCGUAGAGGAGAUCCCGUAACAGUGGGGAACGCGGAGACGAUGGGUGGACUGUGGUGGAGGCGGCGGCCGGGUCGAGGUCAUCGGCGGGGUGAUGACGAUCGGCUCGGGUAGGGGAGCUCGCUGCGCCGGGGCGAGGCAGGGGCUUCGGUCGCUCGCAACAGCUGCUCUGGUGUUCCAUCUUACAAGGCCGAUGGGAUGGACGCGGAGGCGCGACCUGGUCGAGGAGAAGAACAACGUGGGACGAGGUUGAGGUGCUCGUGGAUGGCGACAGGAGGGAGGACUCGAGCUGGAACCACACGACGAAGGAGGAGGCCAUAACACUCGUAGCCAAGCCAAGGGAGAUGGGCGCGAGGAGCUGCUCCCCUGGUGUUGGCGGCGCUGGUCGGGAGGGAAUCAUGGGGAACCAGAGGAGAGAUCAAGAGUGGAGGGGGUCGUGCUAGGGUGGAGGUUAGACAUGCCUUGGGCUAGCUGGGUGUGGCGGAGAGAAGGGAAAAGGAAAAAACGGCCCAUGAAAGAAACCAAAUAAGUUGGCCUGUUUAGAGAUAAAAGGAUUUUUCUCUUCUAUAAAUGAAAAAAAGAAGCAAAAGAGUUAUUUGGAGAGUCAAAUAAAUCCAAAGUGAGCUGCAACUAACAUGUCGAUACUACAAAAUAGUUCAGAAGCGCCACAACUUCAAAUGGAGUGAAAAGAGAAAGAGCGUUGACUUAGAAUAUUGGAAUCAAAAGAAAUUUCAAUUGCAAGUGCGCUGAUGGGUGAUUCUGAAAUGUUGAAAUAUUGGGAGGAUAUGAUAUAAAGAGAAUCAUCACGUGAAUCCCUCAAUUUAAAUAGAUCGAAGAACCAUGCAAUUUAUUUAUUUGAGUUGCAGAAAAUUUAAUGACAUGAUGGCAUGAUGACAUGAUGAAGGCAACAAACGAAUAAUUAACAUGGCGGCAACGGAAUAAAAGGGGAAUCUUCUGGAGCGUCGGUCUCGGGCUGUCACAACUCUCCUACACUACAAGAGGAUCUCGCCUCGAGAUCCAAGAAUGAAAGGGGGAGAGGAUGAGAAAGAACAAGAGGUAAAACUUUAGUCGCUUCUUUGACAAACGAGUGAAACCAACGAUCCUUGAAAGUUGCAAAGAGAUGAGGUAUGAAAUGAGAAACAAGAAAGAAUUCGCCCUANNNNNNNNNNNNNNNNNNNNNNNNNNNNNNNNNNNNNNNNNNNNNNNNNNNNNNNNNNNNNNNNNNNNNNNNNNNNNNNNNNNNNNNNNNNNNNNNNNNNCUCUUGGCGCAUUGGGCACUUGUGGGCUGUCCCACCAGCCCACUAAGGGCCUGGUGUCGGCUCCCCAAUGCCCUAUCGGGCUUCCCCGGGGUCGGGUUCGCCCCCCCCCCCCCGGUCGAACUCCCGGAACCCAUUCGUUAUUCCCGGUACAUUCCCGGUAAUUCCGAAAACCUUCCGGUAAUCAAAUGAGGUCAUCCUAUAUAUCAAUCUUCGUUUCCGGACCAUUCCGGAAACCCUCGUGACGUCCGUGAUCUCAUCCGGGACUCCGAACAACAUUCGGUAACCAACCAUAUAACUCGAAUACGCAUAAAACAACGUCGAACCUUAAGUGUGCAGACCCUGCGGGUUCGAGAACUAUGUAGACAUGACCCGAGAGACUCCUCGGUCAAUAUCCAACAGCGGUACCUGGAUGCCCAUAUUGGAUCCUACAUAUUCUACGAAGAUCUUAUCGUUUGAACCUCAGUGCCAAGGAUUCGUAUAAUCCUGUAUGUCAUUCCCUUUGUCCUUCGGUAUGUUACUUGCCCGAGAUUCGAUCGUCAGUAUCCGCAUACCUAUUUCAAUCUCGUUUACCGGCAAGUCUCUUUACUCGUUCCGUAAUACAAGAUCCCGCAACUUACACUAAGUUACAUUGCUUGCAAGGCUUGUGUGUGAUGUUGUAUUACCGAGUGGGCCCUGAGAUACCUCUCCGUCACACGGAGUGACAAAUCCCAGUCUUGAUCCAUACUAACUCAACUAACACCUUCGGAGAUACCUGUAGAGCAUCUUUAUAGUCACCCAAUUACGUUGCGACGUUUGAUACACACAAAGCAUCCCUCCGGUGUCAGUGAGUUAUAUGAUCUCAUGGUCAUAGGAAUAAAUACUUGACACGCAGAAAACAGUAGCAACAAAAUGACACGAUCAACAUGCUACGUCUAUUAGUUUGGGUCUAGUCCAUCACGUGAUUCUCCCAAUGACGUGAUCCAGUUAUCAAGCAACAACACUUUGUUCAUAAUCAGAAGACACUGACUAUCAUUGACUAACUGGCUAGCCAACUAGAGGCAUUCUAGGGAUGGUGUUUUGUCUAUGUAUCCACACAUGUAAAUGAGUCUUCAUUCAAUACAAUUAUAGCAUGGAUAAUAAACUAUUAUCUUGAUACAGGAAUUAUAAUAAUAACUACAUUUAUUAUUGCCUCUAGGGCAUAAUUCCAACAGUCUCCCACUUGCACUAGAGUCAAUAAUCUAGCCCUCACAUCACCAUGUGAAUUACAUUGUAAUAAAUCUAACACCCAUACAGUUCUGGUGUCGAUCAUGUUUUGGCCGUGGAAGAGGUUUAGUCAGCGGGUCUGCUACAUUCAGAUCCGUGUGCACUUUGCAUAUAUUUACGUCCUCUUCCUCGACGUAGUCGCGGAUGAGGUUGAAGCAUCGUUUGAUGUGUCUAGUCUUCUUGUGAAACCGUGGUUCCUUUGCUAAGGCAAUGGCACCAGUGUUGUCACAGAACAAGGUUAUUGGAUCCAGUGCACUUGGCACCACUCCAAGAUCCGUCAUGAACUGCUUCAUCCAGACACCCUCCUUACCCGCCUCCGAGGCAGCCAUGUACUCCGCUUCACAUGUAGAAUCUGCUACAACGCUUUGCUUGGAACUGCACCAGCUUACCGCACCCCCAUUAAGAAUAAAUACGUAUCUGGUUUGCGACUUAGAGUCGUCCGGAUCUGUGUCAAAGCGACGUAACCUUUUACGGCGAGCUCUUCGUCACCUCCAUACACGAGAAACAUCUCCUUAGUCCUUUUCAGGUACUUCAGGAUAUUCUUGACCGCUGUCCAGUGAUCCACUCCUGGAUUGCUCUGGAACCUUCCUGCCAUACUUAUGGCCAGGCUAACAUCCGGUCUAGUGCACAGCAUUGCAUACAUGAUAGAACCUAUGGUUGAAGCAUAGGGGACGGAGCGCAUAUGCUCUCUAUCUUCAUCAGUUGCUGGGCACUGAGUCUUACUCAAUCUCGUACCUUGUAAAACUGGCAAGAACCCUUUCUUGGACUGUUCCAUUUUGAACCUCUUCAAAACUUUAUCAAGGUAUGUGCUUUGUGAAAGUCCUAUCAGGCGUUUUGAUCUAUCCCUAUAGAUCUUAAUGCCUAGAAUGUAAGCAGCUUCUCCUAGGUCCUUCAUAGAGAAACUUUUAUUCAAGUAACCUUUUAUGCUCUCCAAAAGCUCUACGUUGUUUCCAAUCAGUAAUAUGUCAUCCACAUAUAAUAUUAGAAACGCCACAGAGCUCCCAGUCACUUUCUUGUAAAUACAAGAUUCUCCAACCACUUGUAUAAACCCAAAUGCUUUGAUCACCUCAUCAAAGCGUUUGUUCCAACUCCGAGAUGCUUGCACCAGUCCAUAAAUGGAUCGCUGGAGUUUGCACACUUUGUCAGCAUUUUUAGGAUCGACAAAACCUUCGGGUUGCAUCAUAUACAACUCUUCCUUAAGGAAACCGUUAAGGAACGCCGUUUUGACAUCCAUCUACCAGAUUUCAUAAUCGAAAAAUGCAGCUAUUGCUAACAUGAUUCUGACGGACUUAAGCAUUGCCACGGGAGAGAAAGUCUCAUCGUAAUCAAUUCCUGGAACUUGUGAAAAACCCUUUGCCACAAGUCGAGCUUUAUAAACGGUCACAUUACCGUCAGCGUCCGUCUUCUUCUUAAAGAUCCAUUUGUUCUGAAUAGCCUUGCGGCCCUCAGGUAGUAUCUCCAAAGUCCACACUUUGUUCUCAUACAUGGAUCCUAUCUCGGAUUUCAUGGCUUCCAGCCAUUUGUUGGAAUGUGGGUCCACCAUUGCCUCUUCAUAAUUUGCAGGUUCAUUGUUGUCUAACAACAUGAUUGAUAAGACGGGAUUACCGUACCACUCUGGAGCAGCGCGUGAUCUCGUCGACCUGCGUGUUUCAACAGAAACUUGAACUGGAGUUUCAUGAUCAUCAUCAUUAACUUCCUCCUCAACCGGUGUCGCAAUGACAGAGGUUUCCCCUUGCCCUGCGCCACCAUCCAGAGGGAUGAGAGGUUCGACAACCUCGUCAAGUUCUAUCUUCCUCCCACUCAAUUCUCUCGAGAGAAACUCCUUCUCGAGAAAAGCUCCGUUUUUAGCAACAAACACUUUGCCCUCGGAUUUGAGAUAGAAGGUGUACCCAACUGUCUCUUUUGGGUAACCUAUGAAGACGCACCUUUCCGCUUUGGGUUCCAGCUUUUCAGGCUGAAGCUUUUUGACAUAAGCAUCACAUCCCCAAACUUUAAGAAACGACAACUUUGGCCUCUUGCCAUACCACAGUUCGUAUGGUGUCGUCUCAACGGAUUUUGAUGGUGCCCUAUUUAAAGUGAAUGCAGCUGUUUCUAAUGCAUAACCCCAAAAUGAUAACGGCAAAUCAGUAAGAGACAUCAUAGAUCGCACCAUCUCUAACAAAGUACGAUUACGACGUUCGGACACACCAUUACACUGUGGUGUUCCAGGCGGUGUUAACUGCGAAACAAUUCCACAUUGUCUUAAGUGAGCAUCAAACUCGAAACUCAGAUAUUCACCCCCACGAUCAGACCGUAGGAACUUGAUCUUCUUGUUACGAUGAUUUUCCACUUCACUCUGAAAUUGCUUGAACUUUUCAAAUGUUUCAGACUUGUGCUUCAUCAAGUAGACAUAACCAUAUCUACUUAAAUCGUCAGUGAAGGUGAGAAAAUAACGAUAUCCGCCGCGUGCCUCUACGCUCAUUGGACCACACACAUCGGUAUGUAUGAUUUCCAACAAGUCACUUGCACGCUCCAUUGUUCCGGAGAACGGAGUCUUAGUCAUCUUGCCCAUGAGGCAUGGUUCGCACGUGUCAAGUGAAUCAAAGUCAAGUGACUCCAAAAGUCCAUCAGCAUGGAGUUUCUUCAUGCGCUUUACACCAAUAUGACCCAAGCGGCAGUGCCACAAAAAUAUGGCGCUAUCAUUGUUUACUCUAACUCUUUUGGUCUCAAUGUUAUGUAUAUGUGUAUCGCUAUCAAGAUUCAAUAUGAACAAUCCUCUCAUAUUCGGUGCAUGACCAUAAAAGAUGUUACUCAUAGAAAUUGAACAACCAUUAUUCUCAGACUUGAAAGAGUAACCGUCUCGCAAUAAACAAGAUCCAGAUAUAAUGUUCAUGCUCAACGCAGGCACUAAAUAACAAUGAUUUAAGUUCAUCACUAAUCCCGACGGUAGCUGAAGUGACACUGUGCCGACGGCGAUUGCAUCAACCUUGGAACCGUUUCCUACGCGCAUCGUCACUUCGUCUUUCGCCAGCCUUCGUCUAUUCCGCAGUUCCUGUUUCGAGUUGCAAAUGUGAGCAACAGAACCGGUAUCGAAUACCCAGGCACUACUACGAGAGCCGGUUAAGUACACAUCAAUAACAUGUAUAUAAAAUAUACCUGAUUUUUCUUUGCCCGCCUUCUUAUCUGCCAGAUACUUGGGGCAAUUGCGCUUCCAGUGACCCAUACCCUUGCAAUAGAAGCACUCUGUUUCAGGCUUAGGUCCAGCCUUGGGUUUCUUCGGCGGAUUGGCAACAGGCUUGCCGCUCUUCUUCGAAUUGCCCUUCUUGCCUUUGCCGUUUCUCUUGAAACUAGUGGUCUUGCUCACCAUCAACACUUGAUGCUCUUUACGGAGUUCAGACUCUGCGACUUUCAGCAUCGCAAACAACUCGCCGGGAGACUUGUUCAUCCCUUGCAUGUUGUAGUUCAACACAAAGCCUUUAUAGCUUGGCGGCAGUGAUUGAAGGAUUCUGUCAGUGAUAGCCUCUUGCGGGAGUUCAAUCCCCAGCUCAGCUAGACGGUUUGAGUACCCAGACAUUUUGAGCACAUGUUCACUGACAGACGAGUUUUCCUCCAUCUUGCAAGCAUAGAAUUUAUCGGAGGUCUCAUACCUCUCGAUCCGGGCGUUCUUCUGAAAGAUAAACUUCAACUCCUGGAACAUCUCAAAUGCUCCAUGACGCUCAAAGCGACGUUGAAGUCCCGGUUCUAAGCCAUACAAGACUGCACAUUGAACUAUUGAGUAGUCCUCCUUACGCGCUAACCAAGCAUUCUUAACAUCCUGAUCAGCCGUAGCGGGUGGUUCAUCUCCUAGCGCAGCAUUAAGGACAUAAUCCUUCUUCCCAGCUUGUAAGAUUAGCUUAAGAUUACGAGCCCAGUCUACAAAGUUGCUUCCAUCAUCUUUCAACUUAGCUUUCUCUAGGAACGUAUUAAAAUUCAGGAUGACACUUGCGUGAGCCAUGAUCUACAACACAAAUAUAUUCAAAGUGGACUUAGACUAUGUUCAAGAUAAUUAGAGUUCAACUUAAUCAAAUUAUAUGCUAAACUCCCACUCAAAAAGUACAUCUCUCUAGUCAUUUGAGUGGUUCAUGAUCCACUUACACUAUCCCAAGUCCGAUCAUCACGUGAGUUGAGUAUAGUUUCAGUGGUAAGCAUCCCUAUGCUAAUCAUAUCAACUAUAUGAUUCAUGAUCGACCUUUCGGUCUCAUGUGUUCCGAGGCCAUGUCUGCACAUGCUAGGCUCGUCAAGCUUAACCCGAGUGUUCCGCGUGCGCAACUGUUUUGCACCCGUUGUAUGUGAACGUUGAGUCUAUCACACCCGAUCAUCACGUGGUGUCUCGAAACGACGAACUGUAGCAACGGUGCACAGUCGGGGAGAACACAAUUUUGUCUCGAAAUUUUAGUGAGAGAUCACCUCAUAAUGCUACCGUCGUUCUAAGCAAAAUAAGGUGCAUAAAAGGAUUAACAUCACAUGCAAUUCAUAAGUGACAUGAUAUGGCCAUCAUCACGUGCUUCUUGAUCUCCAUCACCAAAGCACCGGCACGAUCUUCUUGUCACCGGCGCCACACCAUGAUCAUCCAUCAAUGUGUUGCCAUCAGGGUUGUCGUGCUACUUAUGCUAUUACUACUAUAGCUACAUCCUAGCAAAAUAGUAAACGCAUCUGCAAGCACAAACGUUAGUAUAAAGACAACCCUAUGGCUCCUGCCGGUUGCCGUACCAUCGACGUGCAAGUCGAUAUUUCUAUUACAACAUGAUCAUCUCAUACAUCCAAUAUAUCACAUCACAUCGUUGGCCAUAUCACAUCACAAUCAUACCCUGCAAAAACAAGUUAGACGUCCUCUAAUUUUGUUGUUGCAUGUUUUACGUGGUGACCAAGGGUAUCUAGUAGGAUCGCAUCUUACUUACGCAAACACCACAACGGAGAUAUAUGAGUUGCUAUUUAACCUCAUCCAAGGACCUCCUCGGUCAAAUCCGAUUCAACUAAAGUUGGAGAAACCGUAACUUGCCAGUCAUCUUUGAGCAAAGGGGGUUACUCGUAACGAUGAAACCAGUCUCUCGUAAGCGUACGAGUAAUGUCGGUCCAAGCCGCUUCAAUCCAACAAUACCGCGGAAUCAAGAAAAGACUAAGGAGGGCAGCAAAACGCACAUCACCGCCCACAAAAACUUUUGUGUUCUACUCGAGAAGACAUCUACGCAUGAACCUAGCUCAUGAUGCCACUGUUGGGGAACGUCGCAUGGGAAACAAAAACUUUCCUACGCGCACGAAGACCUAUCAUGGUGAUGUCCAUCUACGAGAGGGGAUGAGUGACCUACGUACCCUUGUAGAUCGUACAGCAGAAGCGUUAGAGAACGCGGUUGAUGUAGUGGAACGUCCUCACGUCCCUCGAUCAGCCCCGCGAACAAUCCCGCGAUCAGUCCCACGAUCUAGUACCGAACGGACGGCACCUCCGCGUUCAGCACACGUACAGCUCGACGAUGAUCUCGGCCUUCUUGAUCCAGCAAGAGAGACGGAGAGGUAGAAGAGUUCUCCGGCAGCGUGACGGCGCUCCGGAGGUUUGUGAUGACCUUGUCUCAGCAGGGCUCCGCCCGAGCUCCGCAGAAACGCGAUCUAGAGGAAAAACCGUGGAGGUAUGUGGUCGGGCAGCCGUGAGAAAGUCGUCUCAAAUCUGCCCUAAAACCCCCGUAUAUAUAGGUGGGAGGGAGGGGGGCCUUGCCUUGGGGUCCAAGGACCCCCAAGGAGUCGGCCGAGCCAAAGGGGGGGAGGACCUCCCCCCCCCCAAACCGAGUUGGACUUGGUUUGGUGGGAGGAGUUCCCCUUCCCUCCCACCUCCUUCCCUUUGUUUUUCUUUCCUCUUGAUUUUUCUUCUCUUGGCGCAUUGGGCACUUGUGGGCUGUCCCACCAGCCCACUAAGGGCUGGUGUGGCUCCCCAAUGCCUAUGGGCUUCCCCGGGGUGGGUUGCCCCCCCCCCCCCGGUCGAACUCCCGGAACCCAUUCGUUAUUCCCGGUACAUUCCCGGUAAUUCCGAAAACCUUCCGGUAAUCAAAUGAGGUCAUCCUAUAUAUCAAUCUUCGUUUCCGGACCAUUCCGGAAAUCCUCGUGAAGUCCGUGAUNNNNNNNNNNNNNNNNNNNNNNNNNNNNNNNNNNNNNNNNNNNNNNNNNNNNNNNNNNNNNNNNNNNNNNNNNNNNNNNNNNNNNNNNNNNNNNNNNNNNNNNNNNNNNNNNNNNNNNNNNNNNNNNNNNNNNNNNNNNNNNNNNNNNNNNNNNNNNNNNNNNNNNNNNNNNNNNNNNNNNNNNNNNNNNNNNNNNNNNNNNNNNNNNNNNNNNNNNNNNNNNNNNNNNNNNNNNNNNNNNNNNNNNNNNNNNNNNNNNNNNNNNNNNNNNNAUAUAUAUUUGGUGGGCAACUUUGGCCUCUUUUUGUAAAUGGGCUUCGUUGGCCUCUUUUAUUUCCUCACAUGGGACAAUGCUCCAUCAAUGAUGGUCAUCACACUUACAACUCAAAACUUAGAGCAAUGAUGACUCUAUAUGGAAUGCCUUUGAUAGUGUAUCGUGACAAUGAUCUAGCAUGGCAUAGACAUCGAUGGAAACAUCAUGCUAGCUAUCUUAUGAUCAUGCAAUGGCAAUGUAGAAGUGGUGGCACGUGUCAUGGUGGUAGUUGCAUGGCAAUAUAUCUCGGAAUGGCUUUGAAAAAGCCAUAGUAGGUAGGUAUGGUGACUGUUUUGAGGGAGGCUAAUGGUGGGUUUUGUGCACCGGCGAAAGUUGCACGACACUAAAGAAGAUAGUGAUGGUGGAAGGUGAAAGUGCAUCUAAACCAUGGACUCAACAUUAGUCAUGAAGAACUCAUAUACUUGUUGCAAAAGUUUUAGUAGUAAUCGAAACAAAGCAUUCAACGCAUACUCCUAGGGGAAGGGUUGGUAGGUAUAACCAUCGCGCGAUCCCGACCGCCACACAAAGGAUGACAAUCAAUAGACUAAUCAUGCUCAGACUUCAUCACAUAGCGGUUCACCAUACGUGCAUGCUACGAGAAUCACUAACUUUAACACAAGUAUUUCUGGAUCCACAACACCUUACUAGUAUAACUUUAAUAUUACCACAACCACAACUCAAAACUAAUUGAGAUGAAUCAAACUUCUCUAACUAUUCAAUGCACAUGAAGGUGGAAGUUUUCAUAACCCUUUGGAUAACUACCCCUUUUGAGGCUAAUUUCAUAGCAUAGAUCAACUACCACGCCACGCGCUUCCAUGCUCUAAAAUAUAAAAGUGAAACACAUAGAGCAAAAUCAACUAGCUCAAAAGAUAUAAGUGAAACACAUGUGAGCUGAAUUGUCCAACCAAAAGAUAUAAGUGAAGCUCGACAAAAUCAUGGUGAGUGCAUGUAUCUCUCUCUAGGUGUGCAGCAAGGAAGAUUGUGACAAAAAAAAGACUCCUACGAUACAAGACGCUCCAAGAAAAACACAUAACAUGUGGUGAAUAAAAAUAUAGCCCCAAGUAACGUUACCGAUGGAUUAAAGACGAAAGAGGGGAUGCCUUCCCGGGGCAUCCCCAAGCUUAGGCUUUUACGACAUCCUUGAAUCAAAUUGGGGUGCAUUGGGCAUCCACAAGCUUGAGCUCUUGCCACUCUUUAUCUCUUUGUCCAUAAGAACUUCACCCAAAACUUUAAAACUUCACAACACGAAAUUUAAACAGAAACUCAUGAUAUCAUUAGUAUAAGAAAGCAAGCCACCACUUCCUUAGGUACUGUAGCAAACUUAAAUUCUACUUAUGUUGAUGUUGGGUUACUGUAUUUUCAAUCUUCCAUGGCUAAUACCCCCCGAUACUAUCCAUAGUUUCAUCAAAAUAAGCAACCAACUCAAUAAAAACAAAAUCUGUUAACAUCAGACCAGUAUGUAGCAAUCUGUAUACUUCGUAUACUUCUGGUACUUCAAAAAUUCUGAAAAAUUGCGAAAGUAUUAAGAAUUUGCGUAGAAAUCAGAAGAAAAAACAAUCAACUCAAAAUCUCUUACAGAAAAAAAACAAAAAUUCUUUUCGUGAGCAGAAAGUUUUUGUCUUUUCUAGCAUGACCAAAUGAUCAUCCCCAAGACUAAUCAUAACGGUUUUACUUGGCACAACGCAAAAGAAACACGAAAAACACAAUCAUAGCAGAAUUAUGAAAGUGUGGAAAACACAAAACAGAAAGAAAAAGGAUAGAUUCAUUGGGUUGCCUCCCAACAAGCUCUAUUGUUUAACGCCCUUAGCUAGGCAUAAAGUGAUGGAAUCACGCAUAGUCAUCUUUGGUGCUCAAACCAUAAGUAGUGUGAUCAUUUAUUAUCUUACGAUCUUCAUAUUUAUUGGAUGACUCACCACUAGCUUUAGGAAGAAAAACAGACUUGACGGUCUUUUUGAUAGUGAGAUUUGGAGUAUUUUGCACAGCGGCAAAAGCGGAACCCAAGUUGGUUAUGACAUCUUCUAGUUUGCCAAUUCUAGACGAAUUAUUAACUAUAGGUCCCUUCUCCCUUAAAUUUUUCAAGACCAUUCCCACUUUGGAUCCGUGCUGAGUAAUUUGAUUGUGGAUCUUUCUAUCCAAACCCUCAAUAAGUUCAAUUGUGGCAAUUUUGUUUUCAAUAGCGUCAAGCCUUUGCAUCACGUGUUCCAAGGUCAAGGUAGUUCCAUUAACCAUGAGCGAGGGUGAGCCUACCAAAUUCAUGAUAGCUCCAUAGGAGUCAACAGUAUGGAUCCCCAAAAAAUUCCCGCCUACGAUGGUAUCAAGAAUAUACCUAUUUCAAGGAGAGAUUCCAACAUAAAAACUGCGAAGAAGAACGGUAGUGGAUUGCUUACGAGUAGAUCUACUUUGAGCAUUGCAAAUCCUGUACCAAGCGUCCUUUAAAUUUUCUUCCUCAUUCUGCUUGAAAUUGAGAACUUCGUUCUCAGGGGUAUCGUUUGGAGUGGUGGGUCUAGCCAUUGAUGGACUAUCCCACACACAAACGAGCAAGAAGUAAGCAAGUGAAACGGGCAAAAGAGAACGACAAAAAGGCAAAAGAAAAUGGCAAAGGAGAAAGGAAAAUGAAAAUGACAAAGGAGAAAGGCAAAUGAAAAUAACAAAUGUGAAGUGGGGGAGAGGAAAACGAGAGGCAACUGGCAAAAAAGGUAAAUGGAAGAGAUGAGUUUGUGACACCUACUUGGAUAGAUCUUGACUUGAUCUCUCCCCGACAACGGCGCCAGAAAUACUUCUGCUACGGCAACAAAAGACCUUCCGUGGCAACGGUGCCAGGAAUGCUUCUACUACGGGCUACGCCUAUAGGGACUUCCUUGGCAAAUAUGCAAAGGAUUUCCCUGCGGCCUUGGAGCCUUGCGUUGGUGUUCCCUUGAAGAGGAAAGGGUGAUGUAGCACAGCGGCGGUAAGUAUUUCCCUCAGUUUGAGAACCAAGGUAUCAAUCCAGUAGGAGGAUCGAGUCAAGUCACAAGUACCUGCACAAACACAAAGAGCCUGCACCCAACGCUAUGAAGGGGUUGUCAAUCCCUUAUAGAUUGUUUGCAAAGUGAGAACUGAAAGCAAAAAGUAAACAAAGCAAAGUAAAAGUGAAAGUGGAGACGAUAGUUGUGAAUAGACCCGGGGGCCGUAGUGUUCACUAGUGGCUUCUCUCAUGAAAGCAAGUAGACGGAGGGUGAACGAAUUACUGUCGAGCAAUUGAUAGAACCGCGCAAAGUCAUGACGUUAUCUAUGGAAAUGAUCAUAUCUAUAGGCAUCACGUCCAAAACAAGUAGACCGAUACUUUCUGCAUCUACUACUAUUACUCCACACGUCGACCGCUAUCCAGCAUGCAUCUAGUGUAUUGAGUUCAUAAGAACAGAGUAACGCCUUAAGCAAGAUGACAUGAUGUAGAUGGCAAUCUCAAAUCUAUGAUGAAAGCCCAUCUUGUUACCCUUGAUGGCAACAACAUGAUGCGUGCCUUGCUGCCCCUUCUGUCACUCGGAAAGGUCACCGCACGGUAUGAACCCAAACCAAGCACUUCUCCCAUUGCAAGAAUCAUAGAUCUAGUUGUACCAAACAAACCCAAAACUCGGAGAGACUUACAAGGAUAUCAAAUCAUGCAAAUAAGAAAUCAAACAAGACUCAAAUAUAAUUCAUAGAUAANNNNNNNNNNNNNNNNNNNNNNNNNNNNNNNNNNNNNNNNNNNNNNNNNNNNNNNNNNNNNNNNNNNNNNNNNNNNNNNNNNNNNNNNNNNNNNNNNNNNGUUAAGGUAACCACUAUACGGGUUCACAAAUAAUAUGACAAAGAGGUGACCCCUAUAGAAGCUACCAACAAGACCUAUUAAGACAAGUAAGAUAUAGUCACAAGUAAAAGCAAAUACAAAGUAAAGGUUAGAGAUAACCACAAGUGGAACCGAUGGAGACGAGGAUGUGUUACCGAAGUUCCUUCCCUUUGACAGGAAGUACGUCUCCGUUGGAGCGGUGUGGAGGCACAAUGCUCCCCAAAAAGCCACUAAGGCCACCGUAUUCUCCUCACGCCCUCGCACGAUGCAAGGUACCGUGAUUCCACUAUAGGUGCCCUUGAAGGCGGCGACCGAACCUUUACAAACAAGGUUGGGGCAACUCCACACAAAGCUUGGAGGCUCCCAACAAGACCACGAAGCUUCACCACAAUGGAAUAUGGUUUCGAGGUGACCUCAACCGUCUAGGAUGCUCAAACACCCAAGAGUAACAAGAUCCGCAAGGGAUAGGUGGGGGAAUCAACUUUUGUCUUGGUGGAAGUGUGGAUCUAGGCCUUCUCAACCAAUCCCUAAAGAAUCAACAAGUUUGAUUGGCUAGGGAGAGAGAUCGGGCACUUUUAAGCUUGUGGAGCAACAAUGGAGCUUAGAGAGGUAAGAGAUAGGGUUCCUCAGCUAGAAGAACCCUUUAUAUGGUGGGGGGAAAUUCAGACCGUUUUCCCACUCUCUGCCCGAGAUCCAGCGGUACUACCGCUGGGAAGGAGCGGUACUACCGCUGCCUGGCGGUACUACCGCUGGAUGCAGCGGUACUACCGCUGGAUGCAGCGGUACUACCGCUGGGGCUUCCAGCGGUACUACCGCUGGCCCCUUGGUAGUGCAUAAGCACUACUACCGCCGGGAAAGUCUUCGCAAAAGGGUCCGUCCACGAACUACCACUAGGUAGGUGGAACAAGGCACCUGGAGCGGUACUACCGCUGACCAGGGGGUGGUACUACCGCUGGCUAGCGGUACUACCGCUGUCAAGUGGCGGUACCACCGCCAGACAGCGGUACUACCGCUGGCUGCAGCGGUACUACCGCUGGCAGUCCAGCGGUACUACCGCUGGCACCAGCGGUACUACCGCUGGGGACCAUUUUGCAGAGAUGCUCAAGACGAAAGAGGCGAGGGCCGCUCCAAACAAGGAAGGGAAGAAUUGUGAAGUGUGCGUGUGUAAAGAUAGAUUCCACCCAAACCUUUCCACUACGGAUCCCCUCUUAAUAGUACGGCUUUCCUAUGACUCAAAUAAAGAGAAUCGUAGAGAGCGUCGUGUUUCCGUUCCAGAAGAGAGGGGACGUGUCGUCUUGUGCCGUUGACGAGUGUUACUGAAACCUUGACACACACGAUUAGUCCUGUACGGUACUGUCAUCAAUCACCAAAAUUACUUAGGCAUAAACUAUGCCUCAACAAAGAGCAAUGAGCUUCACGAUGAUACCUUCAAGAAGAAAGACGACAUCCAUUAAUGCCGUUACCGUCGGCAUCGACGAGGUAAAUGCAGGAUUUUUAUCCGGAUCCAAGUCUUUCACCAAACAUCCAGGAUCCGAGACCUACCCAGCACCACUAGACAGGAAGAGGCCAAGCACACACUACCAGACACAGAAUCGUCACCGCCGCUCGCAGAACUCAGCGAGCACACGCCAACCUGACCGGUCCGCACCGCCGCUCGCAGGACAUGGGCGAACCAAAUCGGCUUCGGCCAUCCUCAGGCUCCGUGCGCAGAUCUGGGCGAGAAUUCGCACCGCAACGCUCCACAAGACCGGAGAAGAACCAAAACAAACCGGCUCGCACCGCCACGCGCCGAAACAGAGCGAAAAAACAAGCGAAAGCUAACAUGCUCGCACCACCGCGCGCUAGGACUGGACCUCCAUGUUGGAUCUGGUCUGCCCGACCCUUCCUAGCACCAACAGAUUGGAUGCCUGCUCCAGGAGCUGAACGUGCACAUGCUUGAAGGGAGGACCCCCCAACAUCCGUCGUCACAACCAGACGCCACCGGCCGGCAAGAUCUGGCACGUCCGUCGCGAGCCCCGACCGCCGUGGCGCCAACCUCCUCCCGCACCGCCACCCAUGAGAUCCGCGCAGGGGGGCGCCGACCACGCGCAUCUCGCGCCCCGCGGGCAGCAGAGCCGCUUCACCUCCAGCGCACGCCGACCGCGCCGCCCCGCCUCCAGCUCCAGCUCGCGCCGACCGCGGCACCCCGCCUCCCGCUCGCGCCAGCCGCGCCGCGCUCGCCCCCAGCGACCGCGUCGCCAAGCGCCUCUUUUGCCCAGGGGAGCAGCCCCGCACAACUCCAGCACCAACAGGGAGGAGAGAAGGCCCGCCGCCGCCGACGUCGUGCGGGUUUUGCCCGGCAACGCUCGCCAGCGGCGGCGGAGGGAGGGGUUGUGGGGAGGGGUGCGGCUUGUGGCGGCUGGGGUUUCGCGNNNNNNNNNNNNNNNNNNNNNNNNNNNNNNNNNNNNNNNNNNNNNNNNNNNNNNNNNNNNNNNNNNNNNNNNNNNNNNNNNNNNNNNNNNNNNNNNNNNNGGGGGAUGUUAAGAUUAGUUGAAAGAUUACGUAAACAUGUGUAGGUGUACGUAGGUGUAGGACUUUCGACAUGGGCCUGACCCUUUUUUGGCCUCGCGAUCAUGCAGGCGCGAUAGCGUAUACGGCGUUAGCGUGUUCGCAUCUGUUAGCAUGAAGCCAUGAACAUAAUUAAAACAUGCACCAAUUUUUGAAGCAAUCAAGAUGGAAACGUUUAUAGCCGGUGCGGUUCGGCCGGUCGCGCGGGUCGCGCGUGUGGCUGGCCGAGCCACGCAACAUAAUUUGCUAUAAUCGACUUAAAUUUGCUACAAGCGUUUAAUUUACUAUAAUUUGUUUACUAAAAAAGCUGCAUCCAUAUUUGGUUGCAACUUGAGUUCGUUGAUUUUUGUUGCUACAACCAGCGUUUGAUUUUUGCUACAAUCGGUCUCAAUUUUCGUUACAACCGUUCAUUAAAAAAGCUGCAUACACGUUCGUCGGAGUUGCAACCCGUGUUUACCGGGUUAUUUUGCUACAACCCACAUUUUGUUUUGCUACCACGCAUCGUCAGGGUCAUUUUUUUGCUAUAACCACGUUGAUAUUUUUUUGCUACAAACAUAUUUUUGCUGCAUUCGUGGCCAAAAUCUGCUACAUCGCUGCUUAUUUUUAUUACCACCGAAUUGUUUUUACUGCAUGGACGGAUUUAACGAUCAAACCAGAUUCAACCUGACGGAUCUGACGACCCAUUUCAACCGACGUGCCGACGCAAAUCAGCGUUCAAUCAAGAUUAGCAUGUUCUCGGCCGUGCGGACAGAUGCAGAUGUUGUCCGCCUGCAUCACUAGUCUAAUUAUGUCAAGAUCAAGGUUUCCAAUUUCAGUUUAAAUCUCAGCACGAACUGAAAUCAUCGAAAUUCAGUGAAUUUCAGAGAUUUCAGUUUGUGUUUCGGUCAAAAGACCGAAAUAUUCGCUUGAAUUCAAUUAAAUAUUUGAAUAUUUUUGAAAUUAACUUCUAAAAAUAUGUGUAUUCAUGUGUACUACUGAAAGAACAGUAAAUAUUUUAGGCUGAAAGGCAAUAUUCAGUGAUUGCUGAAAUUAAUGAACUGAAANNNNNNNNNNNNNNNNNNNNNNNNNNNNNNNNNNNNNNNNNNNNNNNNNNNNNNNNNNNNNNNNNNNNNNNNNNNNNNNNNNNNNNNNNNNNNNNNNNNNUAAAUAGUUGGGAAAAUGGUUUUUUGGCAGUAGCAUAUGCGCAUUAAUGGUGCCUUGCAUCCACAUGUACCAAAAAAUAAUUAGAGAAAAGUAGCAUGAACAUAUCCCAUCCAAAUGUAUCUUUCAAAAAAAAUGAAUCAAUACUCUUCCAGAUAUCUCGUCCUAUCCCAGACAUUAAGAAGUUAGAAAUAUUUGCUCAUGCAUUGGGGAAAAAGUAAAAUUAUUAAACAAAAACAGAGUAAAUAAAAAUAAAAAUCUUCUAAAAGUUGUUUUGACUACAUUGCUAUUGUUUCCAAAUCCAGAACACAAGAUCUUCUUCCUACUAUCCUGAAGCACUCGCUAAACCCUGCAAUAUGAGAAUCCGAACAUAUGUCAGACAUGCCUCUUUUCAGAUUUUUACAAAGAAAGCAAGUGAUUGAUUACUAUUUUUGCUGAUGCUUCCAACUCCAGUCAACAAGAAAUUCCUACAUUGUUGCAGCAGUCGCAAAUCAAGCAAAUAAUUUCUACUCUACAUUGAAGUUCUGCAUCCUUUUUCAUUGCAUAUUCAUGAUAUGUGGACCUUGCAAGAUUAUGAUUCAUACCAGCUUCUUAACUUGUCAUUGUUGGUAUUUACCUUAGGCCCACUGCUGCCCUUUUCCCUUACCGCUUUCUUCUGUAAUGGUGGAUCUUUUCCCCAGCUCAUGCUUUCAGCUUUCCCUUACUUUUUCUCGGCAUGGAGUGAACCUAAUCUUAAAUCAUGAUUAGGAAAUUAUUUCAAGGUUUUAUGUGUUGAUCGACAUACUGUUUGUUACAGGAGCACCAUAACUCGUGAAAAAAUUGAAGAGCUUUGUGAAGAUUUAUGGGAGCAGGCUAUCACUCCAAUUAAAGAUGUGCUUGCGCAGUGAGGCAUGAAAAWUWGUGACAUCUAUGCUGUAGAGCUAAUAGGAGGAGCUACCAGGGUACCGAAACUGCAGGUGAUUAUUACUCUCUCAUUCAAGACUUACACUUAACUUGCCNNNNNNNNNNNNNNNNNNNNNNNNNNNNNNNNNNNNNNNNNNNNNNNNNNNNNNNNNNNNNNNNNNNNNNNNNNNNNNNNNNNNNNNNNNNNNNNNNNNNGGUGGGGGGAAAUUCAGACCGUUUUCCCACUCUCUGCCCGAGAUCCAGCGGNNNNNNNNNNNNNNNNNNNNNNNNNNNNNNNNNNNNNNNNNNNNNNNNNNNNNNNNNNNNNNNNNNNNNNNNNNNNNNNNNNNNNNNNNNNNNNNNNNNNNNNNNNNNNNNNNGUACUACCGCUGGCCCCUUGGUAGUGCAUAAGCACUACUACCGCCGGGAAAGUCUUCGCAAAAGGGUCCGUCCACGAACUACCACUAGGUAGGUGGAACAAGGCACCUGGAGCGGUACUACCGCUGACCAGGGGGUGGUACUACCGCUGGCUAGCGGUACUACCGCUGUCAAGUGGCGGUACCACCGCCAGACAGCGGUACUACCGCUGGCUGCAGNNNNNNNNNNGCUAGGUAGGUGGAACAAGGCACCUGGAGCGGUACUACCACUGACCAGGGGGCGGUACUACCGCUGGCUAGCGGUACUACCGCUAUCAAGUGGCGGUACCACCGCCAGACAGCGGUACUACCGCUGGCUGCAGCGGUACUACCGCUGGCAGUCCAGCGGUACUACCGCUGGCACCAGCGGUACUACCGCUGGGGACCAUUUUGCAGAGAUGCUCAAGACGAAAGAGGCGAGGGCCGCUCCAAACAAGGAAGGGAAGAAUUGUGAAGUGUGCGUGUGUAAAGAUAGAUUCCACCCAAACCUUUNNNNNNNNNNGGACCAUUUUGCAGAGAUGCUCAAGACAAAAGAGGCGAGGGCCGCUCCAAACAAGGAAGGGGAGAAUUGUGAAGUGUGCGUGUGUAAAGAUAGAUUCCACCCAAACCUUUCCACUACGGAUCCCCUCUUAAUAGUACGGCUUUCCUAUGACUCAAAUAAAGAGAAUCGUAGAGAGCGUCGUGUUUCCGUUCCAGAAGAGAGGGGACGUGUCGUCUUGUGCCGUUGACGAGUGUUACUGAAACCUUGACACACACGAUUAGUCCUGUACGGUACUGUCAUCAAUNNNNNNNNNNNNNNNNNNNNNNNNNNNNNNNNNNNNNNNNNNNNNNNNNNNNNNNNNNNNNNNNNNNNNNNNNNNNNNNNNNNNNNNNNNNNNNNNNNNNGGUGAUGUGAGGGCUAGAUUAUUGACUCUAGUGCAAGUGGGAGACUGUUGGAAUUAUGCCCUAGAGGCAAUAAUAAAUGUAGUUAUUAUUAUAAUUCCUGUAUCAAGAUAAUAGUUUAUUAUCCAUGCUAUAAUUGUAUUGAAUGAAGACUCAUUUACAUGUGUGGAUACAUAGACAAAACACCAUCCCUAGAAUGCCUCUAGUUGGCUAGCCAGUUAGUCAAUGAUAGUCAGUGUCUUCUGAUUAUGAACAAAGUGUUGUUGCUUGAUAACUGGAUCACGUCAUUGGGAGAAUCACGUGAUGGACUAGACCCAAACUAAUAGACGUAGCAUGUUGAUCGUGUCAUUUUGUUGCUACUGUUUUCUGCGUGUCAAGUAUUUGUUCCUAUGACCAUGAGAUCAUAUAACUCACGGACACCGGAGGAAUGCUUUGUGUGUAUCAAACGUCGCAACGUAACUGGGUGACUAUAAAGAUGCUCUACAGGUAUCUCCGAAGGUGUUCGUUGAGUUAGUAUAGAUCGAGACUGGAAUUUGUCACUCCGUGUGACGGAGAGGUAUCUCGGGGCCCACUCGGUAAUACAACAUCACACACAAGCCUUGCAAGCAAUGUAACUUAAUGUAAGUUGCGGGAUCUUGUAUUACGGAACGAGUAAAGAGACUUGCCGGUAAACAAGAUUGAAAUAGGUAUACGGAUACUGACGAUCGAAUCUCGGGCAAGUAACAUACCGAAGGACAAAGGGAAUGACAUACGNNNNNNNNNNNNNNNNNNNNNNNNNNNNNNNNNNNNNNNNNNNNNNNNNNNNNNNNNNNNNNNNNNNNNNNNNNNNNNNNNNNNNNNNNNNNNNNNNNNNGCGGCCACGCUCGGUGAGCUGCAGCAGCUGCAGGGACGGCAUCCCUCUCGCUGCCGCCGGUGCCGCGAGGCGCGACCUCCCGGGAGCAGCAGGCCGGGCGCACGGCCCGAGGGGGAGAAGAUCUUGUAUGCGCACGACACCUCCGGCGGCGACAUCGCCCUCCUUCAUCGGUCCGCGGAGCUCGGCUGCAAAGACCGGCGAGCAGGCCGCGAGCACGCACCGGUGCGCGGAGACCGUCUCGCCGCCGACCUCGAACACCACGUCGGCGUCCUUCUCGGUCUCGAGGAGCUCUCCCAGGUGCCGGCCCAGGUCGCACGGGGGCACGGAGACCAAGCCAGUGGUGUACACAGCGCGGAAAUCCUGGACGACGGCGAUGUCGCACCGGAUGGUGAACGAGUCGUUCCUGAGAUGCUCGGAUGCCUCCAGGUCCGUCCUUUUGAUGAACUGCGCCGCGCAGGCCGACAAGCUUCCCGGGGUAUAGCUUCUCACCUUCUCCAGCGAGAGCAACUCAGCUUGCUCCGCCUCAGUCCCCGCCUCGCCGGCAAGGCAGAACAAGUGCUGCGACUUCGUACGCGUGGUGGUGGAGAACGCGAAUGGAUAAGCUACGAGUGGAGGAGGACAGGGGCUGUUUUGCAAAAAGUUAACGUUUUUUCCACUUAAUUUAGGACCGCAGGUUGAUUACGAAAAAACAGGGGGAUGUUUUUGUAAAAAUACCACGACGGACGACCAGAAACCCUAUUUGCUUUAUUAUUAGGGAGAGAUAUAUAAAAAGCACGAAGAGGCAGAUCCAACUCGCCAUCUUAGCCGUCUAAUCAUGUAAUCAACGGUUUAAAAACGUUGUUAACGAAACUAGCCAGAUUUCGUUAGCGCUAAUUGCCCACCCACAUCUAAAAACGCCGUUAAGCCUCGAUCCCUCGCUCGCACUCGCACCGGCUCCCCCCGCUCUGUCUGCUCGCCGCGCUUCCCCCGCUCGCCGCUGCCGCGCCGUGCCGCUCGCCCCGCUCGCCGGCCGCGCAUCCCCCGCUCGCCGCGCCGNNNNNNNNNNNNNNNNNNNNNNNNNNNNNNNNNNNNNNNNNNNNNNNNNNNNNNNNNNNNNNNNNNNNNNNNNNNNNNNNNNNNNNNNNNNNNNNNNNNNCGUUCCCCAACAGUGGCAUCAUGAGCUAGGUUCAUGCGUAGAUGUCUUCUCGAGUAGAACACAAAAGUUUUUGUGGGCGGUGAUGUGCGUUUUGCUGCCCUCCUUAGUCUUUUCUUGAUUCCCGGUAUUGUUGGAUUGAAGCGGCUUGGACCGACAUUACUCGUACGCUUACGAGAGACUGGUUUCAUCGUUACGAGUAACUCCGUUGCUCAAAGAUGACUGGCAAGUGUCGGUUUCUCCAAUUUAGUUGAAUCGGAUUUGACCGAGGAGGUCCUUGGAUGAGGUUAAAUAGAAACUCAUAUAUCUCCGUUGUGGUGUUUGCGUAAGUAAGAUGCGAUCCUACUAGAUACCCAUGGUCACCACGUAAAACAUGCAACAACAAAAUUAGAGGACGUCUAACUUGUUUUUGCAGGGUAUGCUUGUGAUGUGAUAUGGCCAACGAUGUGAUGUGAUAUAUUGGAUGUAUGAGAUGAUCAUGUUGUAAUAGAUAAUAUCGACUUGCACGUCGAUGGUACGGCAACCGGCAGGAGCCAUAGGGUUGUCUUUAUACUAACGUUUGUGCUUGCAGAUGCGUUUACUAUUUUGCUAGGAUGUAGCUAUAGUAGUAAUAGCAUAAGUAGCACGACAACCCUGAUGGCAACACAUUGAUGGAUGAUCAUGGUGUGGCGCCGGUGACAAGAAGAUCGUGCCGGUGCUUUGGUGAUGGAGAUCAAGAAGCACGUGAUGAUGGCCAUAUCAUGUCACUUAUGAAUUGCAUGUGAUGUUAAUCCUUUUAUGCACCUUAUUUUGCUUAGAACGACGGUAGCAUUAUGAGGUGAUCUCUCACUAAAAUUUCGAGACAAAAUUGUGUUCUCCCCGACUGUGCACCGUUGCUACAGUUCGUCGUUUCGAGACACCACGUGAUGAUCGGGUGUGAUAGACUCAACGUUCACAUACAACGGGUGCAAAACAGUUGCGCACGCGGAACACUCGGGUUAAGCUUGACGAGCCUAGCAUGUGCAGUCAUGGCCUCGGAACACAUGAGACCGAAAUGUCGAGCAUGAAUCGUAUAGUUGAUAUGAUUAGCAUAGAGAUGCUUACCACUGAAACUAUUCUCGACUCACGUGAUGAUCGGACUUGAGAUAGUGGAUUUGGAUCAUGUACCACUCAAAUGACUAGAGAGAUGUACUUUUUGAGUGGGAGUUCUUAAGUAAUAUGAUUAAUUGAACUAAUUGUCAUGAACAUAGUCUAAUGGUCUUUGCGAAUUACGAUGUAGCUUGCGCUAUAGCUCUACUGUUUUAUAUGUUCCUAGAGAAAAUUUAGUUGAAAGUUGAUAGUAGCAAACUUUGCAGACUGAGUCUGUAAAACCGAGGAUUGUCCUCGUUGCUGCACAGAAGGCUUAUGCCCUUAAUGCACCACUCGGUGUGCUGCACCUCGAGCGUCGUCUGUGGAUGCUGUGAACAUCCGACAUACACGUUUCUGAUGACUACACGAUAGUUCAGUACAAAAAUACUUAAUGGCUUAGAAGCAAGGCGCCGAAAACGUUGUAAAACGUCACGGAACAUAAGUGAUGUUCUAAAGAGAUGAAAUUGUGAUUUCAUGCUUGUGCCCUUGUUAAGAGGUACGAGACCUCCGANNNNNNNNNNNNNNNNNNNNNNNNNNNNNNNNNNNNNNNNNNNNNNNNNNNNNNNNNNNNNNNNNNNNNNNNNNNNNNNNNNNNNNNNNNNNNNNNNNNNGAUGCUUGAUACGUCUCAAACGUAUCUAUAAUUUUUUAUGGUUUCAUGUUGUUAUCUUGUCAACUUUGGAUGUUUUAUAUACCUUUUUUUAUCUUUUUUGGGACUAACUUAUUAAUUCAGUGCCAAGUGUCAGUUCCUGUUUUUUCUGUGUUUUUGACUCUUUUCAGAUCUGAUUUUGGAACGGAGUCCAAACGGAAAAAAAUCCCCGAAAUAUUUUUUUUCCAGAAUAGAAGAAGAUCGGGGGACUUGAGGGCCAAGGCAGGAGGCCCAGAGGGAGCCCACAAGCCCUGACGCCGCGGCCAGGGGGCCCGCGGCAACCAGGCUUGUGGCCUCCCUGGCGCUCCCCUGCCCUAGCUCUUUGGCCUAUAAAUUCCCUAAAAUCCCAGAAAAAAUCAGGGCAUCCACGAAAACACUUUUCCGCCGCCGCAAGAUUCCGUUUCCGCGGUAUCUCAUCUGGAGACCCUUCCCGGUGCCCUGCCGGAGGGGACUUUGGAGUUGGAGGGCUUCUACAUCAACAUCAUCGCCUCUCCAAUGACUCGUGAGUAGUCCACUUCAGACCUACGGGUCCGUAGUUAGUAGCUAGAUGGCUUCUUCUCUCUCUUGGAUCUUCAAUACAAAGUUCUCCAUGAUCUUCAUGGAGAUCUAUCCGAUGUAACCCUCUUUGGCGGUGUGUUUGUCGAGAUUCGAUGAAUUGUGGAUUUGUGAUCAGAUUAUCUAUGAAUUAUAUUUGUGUCUUUCCUGAUUUCUUAUUUGCAUGAUUUGAUAUCCUUGUAAGUCUCUCCGAGUUUUGGGUUUUGUUUGGCCAACUAGAUCUAUGAUUCUUGCAAUGGGAGAAGUGCUUGGUUUUGGGUUCUUACCGUGUGGUGACCUUUCCCAAUGACAGUAGGGGCAGCAAGGCACACACCGUGUAGUUGCCAUCAAGGGUAACAAGGUGGGCUCUGUCGUAGAUAUGAGAUUGUCCAUCUACAUCAUGUCAUCUUGCUUAAGGCGUUACUCUGNNNNNNNNNNNNNNNNNNNNNNNNNNNNNNNNNNNNNNNNNNNNNNNNNNNNNNNNNNNNNNNNNNNNNNNNNNNNNNNNNNNNNNNNNNNNNNNNNNNNACCAACCAUAUAACUCGAAUACGCAUAAAACAACGUCGAACCUUAAGUGUGCAGACCCUGCGGGUUCGAGAACUAUGUAGACAUGACCCGAGAGACUCCUCGGUCAAUAUCCAACAGCGGUACCUGGAUGCCCAUAUUGGAUCCUACAUAUUCUCCGAAGAUCUUAUCGGUUGAACCUCAGUGUCAAGGAUUCAUAUAAUCCCGUAUGUCAUUCCCUUUGUCCUUCGGUAUGUUACUUGCCCGAGAUUCGGUCGUCGGUAUCCGCAUACUGCUACGCCAACAAAAGACCUUCCAGCGGCGCCAGAAAUAGUUGUGUUGACGGCACCAGGAAUCCUUCUGCUACGGCUAUGCCUUAAGGGACUUCCUAGGCAAAUAUGCAAAGGAUUUCGCCCGUGGCCUUGGAGCCUUGCGUUGGUGUUCCCUCGAAGUGGAAAGGGUGAUCUAGUGCAGUGGUGGUAAGUAUUUCCCUCAGUUUUGAGAACCAAGGUAUCGAUCUAGUGAAGGAGUAUCACAAGGGCGUGCACAAACACAAAAACUUGCUAUCAACGCUAUGAAGGGGUUGUCAAUCCCUUAUAGAUUGUUUGCCAAGUGAGAACUGAAAGCAACAAAGUAACAAAGCAAAGUAAAAGCGAAAGUGGAAACGAUAGGUGUGAAUAGACCCGGGGGCCGUAGUGUUUACUAGUGGCUUCUCUCAUGAAAGCAAGUAGAUGGUGGGUGAACAAAUUACUGUCGAGCAAUUGAUACAACCGCGCAAAGUNNNNNNNNNNNNNNNNNNNNNNNNNNNNNNNNNNNNNNNNNNNNNNNNNNNNNNNNNNNNNNNNNNNNNNNNNNNNNNNNNNNNNNNNNNNNNNNNNNNNCGCAGAAACGCGAUCUAGAGGAAAAACCGUGGAGGUAUGUGGUCGGGCUGCCGUGGAAAAAUCGUCUCAAAUCAGCCCCAAUACCUCCGUAUAUAUAGGUGGGAGGGAGGGGACCUUGCCUUGGGGCUCAAGGAGCCCCAAGGGGGUCGACCGAGUCCAAGGGGGGAAGGCUCCCCCCCAAACCGAGUUGGACUUGGUUUGGUGGGUGGGAGUCCUUCCCUUCCUUCCCACCUCCCUUUUUUUUCUUUCUCUUUGAUUUUUCUUUGUAUGGCGCAUAGGGCCCUUUUGGGCUGUCCCACCGGCCCACUAAGGGCUGGUGCGCCACCCUUAUGGCCUAUGGGCUUCCCCGGGGUGGGUUGCCCCCCCGGUGAACUCCCGGAACCCAUUCGUCAUUCCCGGUACAUUCCCGGUAACUCUGAAAACCUUCCGGUAAUCAAAUGAGGUCAUCCUAUAUAUCAAUCUUCGUUUCCGGACCAUUCCGGAAAUCCUCGUGAAGUCCGUGAUCUCAUCCGGGACUCCGAACAACAUUCGGUAACCAACCAUAUAACUCGAAUACGCAUAAAACAACGUCGAACCUUAAGUGUGCAGACCCUGCGGGUUCGAGAACUAUGUAGACAUGACCCGAGAGACUCCUCGGUCAAUAUCCAACAGCGGGACCUGGAUGCCCAUAUUGGAUCCUACAUAUUCUACGAAGAUCUUAUCGUUUGAACCUCAGUGCCAAGGAUUCGUAUAAUCCCGUAUGUCAUUCCCUUUGUCCUUCGGUAUGUUACUUGCCCNNNNNNNNNNNNNNNNNNNNNNNNNNNNNNNNNNNNNNNNNNNNNNNNNNNNNNNNNNNNNNNNNNNNNNNNNNNNNNNNNNNNNNNNNNNNNNNNNNNNCCUGGUCAGCGGUAGUACCGCUCCAGGUGCUUUGUUCCACCUACCUAGUGGUAGUUCGUGGACGGACCCUUUUGCGAAGACUUUCUCGGCGGUAGUAGUGUUUGUGCACUACCAAGGGGCCAGCGGUAGUACCGCUGGUGUCAGCGGUAGUACCGCUGGAGGCCGAGCGGUAGUACCGCUGCAUCCAGCGGUAGUACCGCCAGGCAGCGGUAGUACCGCUCCUGCUCGGCGGUAGUACCGCUGGAGCUCGGGCAGAGAGUGGGAAAACGGUCUGAANNNNNNNNNNUCCAGGCAGCGGUAGUACCGCUGGAGCUCGGGCAGAGAGUGGGAAAACGGUCUGAAUUUCCCCCCCACUAUAUAAAGGGUUCUUCUAGCUGAGGAACCCUAUCUCUUACCUCUCCAAGCUCCAUUGUUGCUCCCUAAGCUCAAAAGUGCCCGAUCUCUCUCCCUAGCCAAUCAAACUUGUUGANNNNNNNNNNAACGGAGUAGCAAGUAACAACAUUAGUGAUAGCAACAACAAAGUAACAAGUAACAACAGUAGUGACAGCAACAGCAACAGCAAAGUAACAAGUAACAACAGUAGUGAUAGCAACAGCAAAGUGGCCCAAUCCCUCUUGUAGCAAGGGACAAGCCUAGGCAAAGUAACGUAGCGAGGACCAGUAGUAAGAGACUCGUAGGCAGUGGAUCGGUGAUGGAUGAGUGUGACGAAUGUGAUUCAUCAUGUAACAGCUAUAACACGGAGAUAUAUGUGGCUAGCUCCCGUUCGUCUAUCUAAUGUAGGCAUGUAUUCCGUAUGUAGUCAUACGUGCUUAGGGAAAAGAACUUGCAUGACAUCUAUUGUCCAUCCCUCCCAUGGCAGCGGGGUCCUAAUGGAAACUACGGGAUAUUAAGGUUCUCCUUUUAAUAAAGAACCAGACCAACGCAUUAACACGCGGUGAAUACAUGAACUCCUCAUACUAUGGUCAUCUCCGGGAGUGGUUCCGGCUAUUGUCACUGGGGGGUUGCCGGGUCAUAACACAUAGUAGGUGACUACAACUUUCAUUUGUGCACAAAAACAACACCAUGGCAAUUGUGCUGAAAACAUCGUUAGUCCGGGUUAGCUCCAUUCAAAUCAUGCAAAUUAGAGUCCAAAACAAGGGCAAAAGAGUUCGGAAAAGUAGAUACGACGGAGACAUAUUGUUGGGGCAUAGUUUAUGCCUAAGCAAUUUUGGUGAGUGAUGACAGUACCGUACAGGACUAAUCGUGUGUGUCAAGGUUUCAGGUAACACUCGUCAACGGCACAAGACAACACGUCUCCUCUCUUCUGGAAUGGAAGCACACCGCUCUCUACGAUUCUCUUUAUUUGAGUCAUAGGAAAUCCGUACUAUUAAGAGGGGAUCCGUAGUGGAAAGGUUUGGGUGGAAUCUAUCUUUACACACGCACACUUCACAUUCUCCCUUUCCUUAUCUUUUGGAGAGGCCCUCGCCUAUUCGUCUCGAUUAUCUCUGCAAAAUGGUCCCCAGCGGUAGUACCACUGGUGUCAGCGGUAGUACCGCUGGACUGCUAGCGGUAGUACCGCUGCAGCCAACGGUAGUACCGCUAGCCAGCGGUAGUACCGCCCCUGGUCAGCGGUAGUACCGCUCCAGGUGUUUUGUUCCACCUACCUAGCGGUAGUUCGUGGACGGACCCUUUUGCGAANNNNNNNNNNCUCGCGGUAGUAGUGCUUGUGCACUACCAAGGGGCCAGCGGUAGUACCGCUAGUGUCAGCGGUAGUACCGCUGCAGCCAGCGGUAGUACCGCCAGGCAUCGGAAGUACCGCUCCUGCACAGCGGUAGUACCGCUGGUACUCGGGCAGAGAGUGGGAAAACGGUCUGAAUUUGCCCCCACUAUAUAAAGGGUUCUUCUAGCCGAGGAACCCUAUCUCUUACCUCUCUAAGCUCCAUUGUUGCUCCACAAGCUCAAAAGUGCCCGAUCUCUCUCCCUAGCCAAUCAAACUUGUUGAUUCUUUAGGGAUUGGUUGAGAAGGCCUAGAUCCACACUUCCACCAAGAGAAAAGUUGAUUCCCCCACCAAUACCUUGCGGAUCUUGUUACUCUUGGGUGUUUGAGCAUCCUAGACGGUUGAGGUCACCUCGAAGCCAUAUUCCAUUGUGGUGAAGCUUCGUGGUUUAGUUGGGAGCCUCCAAGCUUUGUGUGGAGUUGCCCCAACCUUGUUUGUAAAGGUUCGGUCGCCGCCUUCAAGGGCACCUAUAGUGAAUCACGGUACCUUGCAUCGUGCGAGGGCGUGAGGAGAAUACGGUGGCCUUAGUGGCUUUUUGGGGAGCANNNNNNNNNNNNNNNNNNNNNNNNNNNNNNNNNNNNNNNNNNNNNNNNNNNNNNNNNNNNNNNNNNNNNNNNNNNNNNNNNNNNNNNNNNNNNNNNNNNNNNNNNNNNNNNNNNNNUUUGUCAUAUUAUUUGUGAACCCGUAUAGUGUUUACCUUAACUUGUUAAGAUUAAUUAAAAAGCGGUCGUUGUCUAUUCACCCCCCCCUCUAGCUAACCAUAUCGAUCCUUUCAAUUGGUAUCAAAUCCACGUCUCUUUAUUAAGGGUUUAACCACCCGAAGAGUAUGGAAGGCGNNNNNNNNNNCGAUCCUUUCAAUUGGUAUCAGAGCCACGUCUCUUUAUUAAGGGUUUAACCACCCGAAGAGUAUGGAAGGCGGAGAGGAAGCUAACCAUGGGCAACCCGAGGACAUGGACUUGACUUCGGUCACAAGGGACGACUUGAAUACGGCUNNNNNNNNNNNNNNNNNNNNNNNNNNNNNNNNNNNNNNNNNNNNNNNNNNNNNNNNNNNNNNNNNNNNNNNNNNNNNNNNNNNNNNNNNNNNNNNNNNNNGGGAGGCCACAAGCCUGGUUGCCGCGGGCCCCCUGGCCGCGGCGUCAGGGCUUGUGGGCUCCCUCUGGGCCUCCUGCCUUGGCCCUCAAGUCCCCCGAUCUUCUUCUAUUCUGGAAAAAAAAUAUUUCGGGGAUUUUUUUCCGUUUGGACUCCGUUCCAAAAUCAGAUCUGAAAAGAGUCAAAAACACAGAAAAAACAGGAACUGACACUUGGCACUGAAUUAAUAAGUUAGUCCCAAAAAAGAUAAAAAAAGGUAUAUAAAACAUCCAAAGUUGACAAGAUAACAACAUGAAACCAUAAAAAAUUAUAGAUACGUUUGAGACGUAUCAAGCAUCCCCAAGCUUAACUCCUGCUCGUCCUCGAGUAGGGAAGUGAUAAAGAAUGAAUUUUUGAUGCUUUCUAUGCUACCUAGCAUAGAUGUCCUUUGUAACUCCUCUUAUGUGACGUGAAUUUUCAGAUCCUUUAGAUUCAAAACAAUAGUUUGCUAUUGACGUGGAGACAAUAAUACUUCAAGCAAACUAGCAAGGUAAUCAUGAACUUUCAAAAUAACAAGGCCAAAAGAAAGUUAUCCCUACAAAAUCAUAUAGUCUCGCUAUGCUCUAUCAUCCUUGCACAACGAAUUUAAAUCAUGCACAACCCCGGUAUUGGCCAAGUAAUUGUUUCACACCUUUACUUUCUCAAACCUUUUUAAUUCUCACGCAAUACAUGAGCCUGAGCCAUGGUUUUAGCACUAUAGAUGGUCUGGAGUGUGGUGGAGGUUGCAAGACAAAAUAAGGAGAAGAUGAUCACAUUAACUAGGCAUAUCAAUGAGCUGUGGAGAUGCUCAUCAAUAGAUACCAAUGUGAAUGGGUAGGGAUUGCCAUACAAAUGAUGCACUAGAGCUAAGAGUAUGUGAAAGCUCUUAAAGAAAACUAGUGGGUGUGCAUCAACUUGCUUGCUCACGGAACCUAAGGCAAUUUUGAGGAAGCCUAUCAUUGGAAUAUACAAGCCAAGUUNNNNNNNNNNUCACACCUUUACUUUCUCAAACUUUUUCAACUCUCACGCAAUACAUGAGCGUGAGCCAUGGUUUUAGCAUUAUAAGUGGAAUGGAGUGUGGUGGAGGUUGCAAGGCAAACAAGGAGAAGAUGGUCACAUUGACUAGGCAUAUCAACGAGCUAUGGAGAUGCUCAUCAAUAGAUAUCAACGUGAAUGAAUAGGGAUUGCCAUACAAAUGAUGCACUAGAGCUAAGAGUAUGUGAAAGCUCUUGAAAACUAGUGGGUGUGCAUCUAACUUGCUUGCUCACGAAGAUCUAAGGCAAUUUUGAGGAAGCCUAUCAUUGGAAUAUACAAGCCAAGUUAUAUAAUGAAAAUUUCCCACUAGCUAUAUGGUGGUGACAAAGCAAGAGACUCUCAAUCAUGAAGAUCAUGGUGCUUAAUAUGCACAAGUGUGGAAAGGUGGUAGCAUUGUCCCUUCUCUCUUUUUCUCUCAUUCUUUUGGGUGGGCUCUUUGGCCUCUUUUUUUUGGUGGGCAUCUUUGGCCUCUUUUAUUUCCUCACAUGGGACAAUGCUCCAUUAAUGAUGAUCAUCACACUUUCAACUCAAAACUUAGAGCAACGAUGACUCUAUAUGGAAUGCCUUCGAUAGUGUACCGUGGCAAUGAUCUAGCAUGACAUAGACAUUAAUGGAAACAUCAUGCUAGCUAUAUUACGAUCAUGCAAUGGCAAUGUAGAAGUGGUGGCACAUGUCAUGGUGGUAGUUGCAUGGCAAUAUAUCUCGGAAUAAAUUUGAAAAAAGCCAUAGUAGGUAGGUAUGGUGGCUGUUUUGAGGUAGGCUAAUGGUGGUUUUUGUGCACCCGCGGAAGUUGCAUGGCACUAAGAAGAUAGUGAUGGUGGAAGGUGAAAGUGCAUCUAAACCAUGGACUCAACAUUAGUCAUGAAGAACUCAUAUACUUUCUUGCAAAAGUUUUAUUAGUAAUCGAAACAAAGCAUUCAAUGCAUACUCCUAGGGGAAGGGUUGGUAGGUAUAAACCAUCGCGCGAUCCCGACCGCCACGCAAAGGAUGACAACCAAUAGACUAAUCAUGCUCAGAUUUCAUCACAUAGCGGUUCACCAUACUUGCAUGCUACGAGAAUCACUAACUUCAACACAAGUAUUUCUAGAUCCACAACACCUUACUAGCAUAACUUCAAUAUUACCACAACCAUAUCUCAAAACUAAUUGAGAUGAAUCAAACUUCUCUAACUAUUCAAUGCACAUGAAGGUGGAAGUUUUCGUAUCCCUUUGGAUAACUACCCCUUUUGAGACUACUUUCAAAGCAUAGAUCAACUACCAAGCCACACACCGCUACGCUCUAAAAGAUAUAAGUGAAGCACAUAGAGCAAAAGUAUCUAGCUCAAAAGAUAUAAGUGAAGCACAUGUGAGCUGAAUUGUCUAACAAAAGAUAUAAGUGAAGCUCGACAACAUCACGGUGAGUGCAUGUCUCUCUCUCUAGGUGUGCAGCAAGGAUGAUUGUGACACAACAAAAAUAAAAGACUCCUACGAUACAAGACGCUCCAAGCAAAAACACAUAACAUGUGGUGAAUAAAAAUAUAGCCCCAAGUAACGUUACCGAUGGAUUGAAGACGAGAGAGGGGAUGCCUUCCUGGGGCAUCCCCAAGCUUAGGCUUUUACGACAUCCUUGAAUCUCUUGGGGUGCCUUGGUAAUCCCUAAGCUUGAGAUCUUGCCACUCUUUUAUCUCUUUGUCCAUAAGAACUUCACCCAAAACUUGAAAACUCCACAACACGAAACUUAAACAGAAACUCAUGAUAACAUUAGUAUGAGAAAGCAAACCACCACUUCCUUAGGUACUGUAGGAAACUUAAAUUCUACUUAUGCUGAUGUUGGGUUACUGUAUUUUCAAUAUUCCAUGGCUAAUACCCCCCCGAUACUAUCCAUAGUUUCAUCAAAAUAAGCAACCAACACAACAAAAACAGAAUCUGUUAACAACAGACCAUCAUGUAGCAAUCUGUAUAUUUCGUAUACUUCUGGUACUUCAAAAAUUCUGAACAAUUACGACAGUCUAAAGAAUUUGCGUAGCAAUCAGCAGAAAAAACAAUCAACUCAAAAGCUAUUACAUAAAAAAAUGAAAAUUCUUUUCGUGAGCAGAAAGUUUCUGUCUUUUCCAGCAUGACCAAACGAUCAUCCCCAAGACUAAUCAUAACGGUUUUGCUUGGCACAAACGCAAAAAGAAACACAAAAAACACAAUCAUAAUAGAAUCAUGAAAGUGUGGAAAACACAAAACAGAAAGAAAAAGGAUAGAUUCGUUGGGCUGCGUCCCAACAAGCGCUUUUGUUUAACGCCCUUAGCUAGGCAUUCAAUGAUGCUCUCACAAAAGACAAGAAUUGAAGCACAACGAGAGCAUCAUAAAGCAUGUGAAAAUCACAUCUAAGUCUAACAUACUUCCUAUGCAUAGGCAUUUUAUAGGAAAACAAAUUGUCAAGACAACCAAUAGCUGCCAUAUGCAAGGAAGAAGAAAGAGACAAGGGCAAUCUCAACAUCACGAGAGGUGAUUUGGUAACAUGAAAGUUUCUACCAAAAUAUUUUCCUUUCUCAUAGCAAUUACAUGUGGGAUCAUAUUCAAACUCAACAAUAUAGCUAUCCCAUAGGAUAUUCUUUUCAUGAUCCACAUGCAUGCAAAGUUGAUGCUCUUAAAAAAUAGUGGGAUUAUUAUCAAAUAAAGUCACGACUUCUCCAAUCCCACUUUCAGUAUUGUUGCAAAUAUCAUAUUCAUCAUGAGGUCUGAACAAAUUUUCAAGAUCAUAAGAAAGAUCACCACCCCAAUCAUGAUUAUUGCAACAAGUAGUGGACAAAGCAAAACUAGCAUCCCCAAGCUUAGGGUUUUGCAUAAUUUUAGCAUGAUUAUCACUAAUAGAAUUUAUAGUGAAACCAAAGCAAUCAUGAUUUUCAUCCAAGGAGACCUCGUGAAUCACUUCAUAAAUUUCUUCCUCGCAAUUUUGAGAUUCAUGCAUCUCAAGCAAAACUCCAUAAAGAUAGUCAAGUGCACUCAACUCACUAGCAAUUCGUUCCACAUAAGUGGGUCUCUUAAAGAGAUUAGCUAGUGGAUGAGGAUCCAUAUCACUAGAUUUUCAGCAAGCGAAGAUGCAAGCAUAUUGAAGGCACAUGGCACACAAGCGAACAAAAAGCAACCGAGAGAAAAGGGCGAACGAAAAGGCAAAGGAGAAAGGCAAAAAGGCAAAUGAAAACGGAAAAUGUGAAGUGGGGGAGAGGAAAACGAGAGACAACUGGCAAAAAAGUAAAUGCAGGAGAUGAGUUUGUGAGACCUACUUGGAUAGAUCUCUCCUUCCCCGGCAACGGCGCCAGAAAUACUUCUGCUACUGCAACAAAAGACCUUCCAACGGCGCCAGAAAUAGGUGUGUUGACGGCACCAGGAAUCCUUUUGCUACGGCUACGCCUUAAGGGACUUCGUAGGAAAAUAUGCAAAGGAUUUCCCCCGUGGCCUUGGAGCCUUGCGUUGGUGUUCCCUUGAAGCGGAAAGGGUGAUGUAGCGCAGCGGUGGUAGGUAUUUCCCUCAGUUUUGAGAACCAAGGUAUCGAUCCAGUGAAGGAGUAUCACAAGGGCCUGCACAAACACAAAAACUUGCUCCCAACGCAAUGAAGGGGUUGUCAAUCCCUUAUAGAUUGUUUGCCAAGUGAGAACUGAAAGCAACAAAGUAACAAAGCAAAGUAAAAGCGAAAGUGGAAACGAUAGGUGUGAAUAGACCCACGGGCCAUAGUGUUUACUAGUGGCUUCUCUCAUGAAAGCAAGUAGACGGUGGGUGAACAAAUUACUGUCGAGCAAUUGAUACAACCGCGCAAAGUNNNNNNNNNNGGGGGCCGUAGUGUUUACUAGUGGCUUCUCUCAUGAAAGCAAGUAGAUGGUGGGUGAACAAAUUACUGUCGAGCAAUUGAUACAACCGCGCAAAGUCGUGACGUCAUCUAUGGCAAUGAUUAUAUCUAUAGGCAUCACGUCCAAAACAAGUAGACCGAUACUUUCUGCAUCUACUACUANNNNNNNNNNNNNNNNNNNNNNNNNNNNNNNNNNNNNNNNNNNNNNNNNNNNNNNNNNNNNNNNNNNNNNNNNNNNNNNNNNNNNNNNNNNNNNNNNNNNAUAUAGGAUGACCUCAUUUGGUUACCGGAAGGUUUUCGUGCAUUACCGGAAAAGUUUCGGGCUCAUCGGUAGUGUACCGGGAGUGCCUGGAGGGGUGCCGGGGACCAUCGGGAGGGGUGUCACGCCCCAAGGGGUCUCAUGGGCUAUGGGAAGAGAUAAACCAGCCCCUAGUGGGCUGGAAUAAGUUCCCACUAAGGCCCAUAAGGUUUGAGAAGGAAAAAACACAAGGUGGAAAGGGUUUCCAAGUGGGAAGAUGAAAUCCUACUCCAAGUAGGAUUGGAGUAGGACUCCUCCACCUCCAAUUUCGGCCAAACCUUUAGGUUUUGAGGCUGCCUCCUCCCCUCCCUCCCACCUAUAUAUACGGAGGUUUUAGGGCUGAUUUGAGACGACUUUUCCACGGCAGCCCGACCACAUACCUCCACGGUUUUUCCUCUAGAUNNNNNNNNNNGUGCUUGGGGGUCCUUGGACCCCAAGGCAAGGCCCCCUCUCUCCCACCUAUAUAUAUGGGGGUUUUAGGGCAGAUUUGAGACGACUUUCUCACGGCUGCCCGACCNNNNNNNNNNNNNNNNNNNNNNNNNNNNNNNNNNNNNNNNNNNNNNNNNNNNNNNNNNNNNNNNNNNNNNNNNNNNNNNNNNNNNNNNNNNNNNNNNNNNUCACAUGGUGAUGUGAGGGCUAGAUUAUUGACUCUAGUGCAAGUGGGAGACUGUUGGAAUUAUGCCCUAGAGGCAAUAAUAAAUGUAGUUAUUAUUAUAAUUCCUGUAUCAAGAUAAUAGUUUAUUAUCCAUGCUAUAAUUGUAUUGAAUGAAGACUCAUUUACAUGUGUGGAUACAUAGACAAAACACCAUCCCUAGAAUGCCUCUAGUUGGCUAGCCAGUUAGUCAAUGAUAGUCAGUGUCUUCUGAUUAUGAACAAAGUGUUGUUGCUUGAUAACUGGAUCACGUCAUUGGGAGAAUCACGUGAUGGACUAGACCCAAACUAAUAGACGUAGCAUGUUGAUCGUGUCAUUUUGUUGCUACUGUUUUCUGCGUGUCAAGUAUUUGUUCCUAUGACCAUGAGAUCAUAUANNNNNNNNNNGUCCCUAGCAAGCCUCUAGUUUGCUAGCCAGUUGAUCAAAGAUAGUCGGUGUCUUCUGAUUAUGAACAAGGUGUUGUUGCUUGAUAACUCGAUCACGUCAUUAGGAGAAUCACGUGAUGGACUAGACCCAAACUAAUAGACGUAGCAUGUUNNNNNNNNNNNNNNNNNNNNNNNNNNNNNNNNNNNNNNNNNNNNNNNNNNNNNNNNNNNNNNNNNNNNNNNNNNNNNNNNNNNNNNNNNNNNNNNNNNNNACCCGCGUUCGGAAUCAUCCGAAUCCGACCCCGCGGUUGGAUCCGGAAUGCGAUUCCGGUUAACCGAGCCCCCCCGUUAGUCUAUAUAUAGCCCCCAUGCCAUUAACUAGAGAGCCACUCCCCCUCUGCCUCGAAAUCCGUGCCACCUACCUGAAACCCUAGCCUCCCACCUGCUCUCUCUCUCCUCCCUCGCGCCGCCGGCCCAGAUCGGGCCCGGCCGAGCCCAUCCGGCGCGCCGCCGCCAACCGCCGCCUCCCGUGCGCCCCGCGCCUCCUGCUGCAGCCGAGCGCAGCCAGCCCAGCUCGUUGCCGGCCGCCGCGGGCAGCCCCACCGCCACCACCGGAGCACCUCGCCCCUGCCUACUCCUCGUGCCCGUCSCCCCCACUGGAGUCUCCCUGCCGGCCGAGCCCGUGGCUGCCCCGCCAGCAACCGCCGGCCUUGCGGCCUGUGCCCCGCCGGCGGCCAGAUCCGGCGAGGUCCGGCCAGAUCCAGCCGGAUCCGGCCCCUCCCGACCGCCUCUGCCUGUAGCCGGCGCCCUCCACCGGCUCCUGGUCGGCGCGCCAUGCCCUCGUGCGCACGGCCAGAGGAGGACGACGAGGUCCUGUGGCUCGCCCUCCCGUGGCACGUGGGCCAGCCUCCCACGCGGCCCUAGUUCGGCCCACCUCGUCGAGACCGACCCCAGGCCCACCUCGAGCCGACCCAAGAAGCCUCCGCUCCAACCGUCAGCCUGUGGCCCGAGGUGAGCUAUCCCUUGCGCGUGCGCUGUUUUGUUAUGUAGCGCCUGCCACUUUCGGCCCGUGUAGGGUNNNNNNNNNNNNNNNNNNNNNNNNNNNNNNNNNNNNNNNNNNNNNNNNNNNNNNNNNNNNNNNNNNNNNNNNNNNNNNNNNNNNNNNNNNNNNNNNNNNNUCGAAGUAAUUUCGCCCCCUGAUGGCCGGAACUGGCCCUCCCUCGUCUGCACAAGACAUACCCAUGGCGCUAACGCAUCACAUAGGAUUUCCCAUGCUGCUUCUGGGCAAGAUUUCAUGUGUCGCCUUGCAGAUCUGCAAUUUUCCACGCUGAAACCCUAGAAGUGCAAUAAAUGUCUCAAAUAUUACAAGCGUGUCAGAAAAAUAUGGGGCCCUCACACGUCUCAUUCGAUGGCCUCCUUUGUGAGCAAAGAAAGUUUCUAGUCCAACGGAGCAGCAGGGCGAGCACUUCCUUCAUAAACCUGACAACUUCCCUCUCGAUACCGAGAGAAUACCUCGGAGAUGGUGCGGUUUACAAACGGCCUUGUGUGAGGCCUAUUCCAAACGCACCAAACUUUUACCACACCCUACAGGGGCCAUGUGAUGACGUCGUGCCAGAUUCCGUGGAUUUCUUGCAUCAUACGAUUUUCCGUUCAUUCAAACGGUUGGACUAGUCAUGUCGUCGAAGUAAUUUCGGCCCCUGAUGGCUACAAAUACCCCUCCCUCAUAUGCAAAAGGGGUACGUGUGUCGCUAAUACAUCACAUAGGAUUUUCCAUGCCGAUUAUGGGCAUGAUUUCAUGUGUCGCCUUGUAGAUCUGCAAUUUCCAACGCAGAAACCCUAGAAGUGCAAUAAAUGACUCAAAUAUUACAAGCGCGUUAGAAAAAUGCGGGGCCCUGACACAUCUCAUUCGAUGGCCUCCUUUGAGAGCGCGGAAAGUUUCGAGGCUAACGGAGCAGCAGGACCAGCACUUCCUUCACAAACCCGACAACUUCCCUCUCGAUACCGAGAGACUACCUCGGAGAUGGUGCGGUUUACAGACGGCCUCAAGUGAGGCCCAUUCGAAAUGUGCCCAAACUUUUAGCACACCCUAGAGGGGCCAUGUGAUGACGCCGUACCAUAUCUCGUGGAUUUCUGGCAUCAUACGAUUUUCCGUUCAUUCAAAUGGUUGGACGACUCAUGUCGUCGAAGUAAUUUCGCCCCCUGAUGGCUGGAACUGCCCCUCCCUCGUGUGCAAAACGGAGACGCAUGUCGCUAAUACAUCACAUAGGACUUUCCAUGCUGCUUCUGGACAUGAUUUCAUGUGUCGCCUUGCAGAUCUGCAACUUCCGACGUUGAAACCCUAAAAGUACAAUAAAUGUCUCAAAUAUUACACGCGCGUCAGAAAAAUGCGGGGCCGUGACACGCCUCAUUCGAUGGCCUCCUUUGAGAGCACGGAAAGUUCUAAGGCCAACAGAGCAGCAGGACCGGCACUUCCUUCACAAACCCGACAACUUCCCUCUUGAUACCGAGAGACUACCUCGGAGAUGGUGCGGUUUACAAACGGCCUCGGGUGAGGCCUAUUUGAAACGCGCCCAAACUUUUACCACACCCUACACGGGCCAUGUGAUAACACCGUGCCAGAUCCCAUGGAUUUCUGGCAUCAUGCGAUUUUACGUUCAUUCAAACGGUUAGACGAGUCAUGUCGUCGAACUAAUUCGCUACGUGAUGGUCGGAACUGCCCCUCUCUCGUCUGCAAAAGGGAGACGCAUGUCGCUAAUACAUCACGUAGGAUUUUCCAUGUCGAUUCUGGGCAUGAUUUCGUGUGUCGCCUUGUAAAUCUGCAAUUUCCGACGCUGAAACUCUAGAAGUGCAAUAAAUUUCCCAAAUAUUAUUGGCGCGUGACAAAAAUGUGGGGUCGUGAUAGUCUCAUUUAAUGGCCUCCUUUGAGAGCAUGGAAAGUUUCGAGGCCAACGGAGCUAGCCAAUGUAUGCAUGGGAUAAUUAAUUAAAUGCUUAGAUUUGUUCCCGUAUUAAAUCUUGGUAAAAAUAAGGGAUACUAAUUUCAGAAUAUAUGCCCGAAAUCAAGGCUAUGAUGGAUUUUGAAAAAUAAUCUGGACCUAGAAUGUUGAAUAUUGUGACAUGGACAGAGUACGUAUAGUGGUAAUUUUUUUCCUUUCCAUAUAAAUGUCUUGUUUUAGUUAGGCUAUGUGUAUCUUUUGCUGCAAAAGUUGGAAGGGUCGGCUCUAUUUUUAUCUAACAAAUUUGUUUUAGUUUAUUUUACACUUACAAUGAGCAGCCGAAAACCUAUGAGUGUAGUACUCACUAUUAGAAAAAGGGCCUUUAGCCACGGUUCGGUCAGCCAUGACUAAUGCUAGCCCCGGUUCGGCCCCGAACCGGGGCUAAAGACCUUCCACGUGGCGGGGCUGGAAGCGAGGGGGAGGAGGGGUAUUAGUCCUGGUUCGUAUUACGAACCGGGGUUAUUUCUUCGUUGUUUCUUUGAGCAAUUUUUAGGGUUUACGGUUUUGCACUAAAUUGGAUGGGGCUAUUUUGCUGCCCCAAUUUUCCCAUUUAUUUGUUUUGGGCACUUUUUAAUUCUUAUUUUGCAUUAAAUUGGAUGGUACAUACACAGCAAUAAAAGAAUAACUAUAUUGCACAUCAUCGUCAUGAAUAUAUUACAUCAUCUCACCCGUCGUGCUUUGUCGAACAUAUUACAAAAUGUAGAGGCGAGUUACACAUAUGCACAUAUGUCUCUUUUACACUAUAACAUUUCAUAACAUUCUCACCGACGAGCAAUAAUAUACUCCCUUCACACCUAGGACCUGUGCAUCUAAGAAUCCGGCAAUUUCCUCUUGAAUUGCUCGUACACGUUGCUGCGGUAGAAGACCGUGAUGACCCACAAGUAUAGGGGAUCAAUCGUAGUCCUUUCGAUAAGUAAGAGUGUUGAAUCCAACGGGGAGCAGAAGGAUUUGACAAGUCGUUUUCAGCAAGGUAAUAUCUACAAGCACUUAAAUUGUCGGUAACAAGUGAUUGUGCGGUGAGAUGAUUCGUAGCGAGCAACAAGUAACAAAAGUAGAAACGGUGCAGCAAAGUGGCCCAAUCCCUUUUGUAGCAAGGGACAAGCCUGGACAAAGUCUUAUAGGAGGAAAACGCUCCCGAGGACACACGAGGAUUUCUGUCAUGCUAGUUUUCAUCAUGUUCAUAUGAUUCGCGUUCGUUACUUUGAUAGUUUGAUAUGUGGGUGAACCGGCGCUUGAGUACAGCCCUUACUUGGACAAGCAUCCCACUUAUGAUUAACCCCUCUCGCAAGCAUCCGCAACUACGAAAGAAGAAUUAAGACAAAGUCUAACCAUAGCAUUAAACUAGUGGAUGCAAAUCAGCCCCUUGCGAAGCAACACAUAAACUAGGGUUUAAGCUUCUGUCACUCUAGCAACCCAUCAUCUACUUACUACUUCCCAAUGCCUUCCUCUAGACCCAAAUAAUGGUGAAGUGUUAUGUAGUCAACGUUCACAUAACACCACUAGAGGAAAAACAACAUACAACACAUCAAAAUAUCGAACGAAUACCAAAUUCACAUGACUACUAUUAGCAUGACUUAUCCCAUGUCCUCAGGAACAAAAGUAACUACUCACAAAGCAUAAUCAUAUUCAUGACCAGAGAGGUAAUGAGUAGCAUCAAGGAUCUGAACAUAAACUCUUCCACCAAGUAAUCCAACUAGCAUCAAGUACAAAGAGUAAUUAACACUACUAGCAACCUUACAAGUAGCAAUCGGAGUCGCGAGACAGAGAUUGGUGACAAGUGAUGAACUAGGGUUUGGAGAUGAGAUGGUGCUCAUGAAGACGUUUAUGGUGAUGAGUCCCCUCCGAUGAGAGGAGUGUUGGUGAUGACGAUGGCGAUGAUUUCCCCCUCCGGGAGGAAAGUUUCCCCGGCAGGAUCAUCCUGCCGGAGCUCUAGAUUGGUUCUGCUCAAGUUCCGCCUCGUGGCAGCGGCGAAUCCAUGAAAAAGCCUCCUUUUGAUUAUUUUUUUCCGGACGAAGCCCUUCAUAUAGCAGAAGAGGGGGGCAGAGGGCCAGCUGGGUGCCCACAAGCCCCCUAGGCACGGCCAGGGGGGUGGUGGAGCCUAGCAGGCUUGUGGCCACCUGCUGGCACCCCUCUGGCACUUCUUCGGCUCAGUAUUUUUUAUAAAUCCCGAAAAAAUCCUCGUUGAUUUUUAUGGAGUUUAGAGUUGCGCAGAAUAGGUAUCUCAAACUUUCUCCACUUUCAGGCCAGAAUUCCAGCUGCCAGCAUUCUCCCUCUUCAUGUAAACCUUGCAAAAUAAGAGAGAAAAGGCAUAAGUAUCGUACCGUGAAGUGAAAUAAUAGCCCAAGAAGCGAUAAAUAUCAACAUGAAAACAUGAUGCAAAAUGGACGUAUCAGACCGUACCGCAAUCGUUCGAUCUAAUUUAAAGAAUGGGUCAAUAUAUAUAUAUAUCAAUGAAACCGAACAUAAUUCACGGUAAUAAAAUAAAGUUGUGAGUAUUGUUUAUCGUACUUCGAUUUUUUUAUGUCCCGGUUUUUCCCCUUCUCAUGGGUCGUCUUGCGAAUGAACUCGCAAACAUAGUAUCCACAUAAAUUGUUCCCAUGUUCCAGCCUCAAGCACUUUACGAAAAGAGAGUUCAAUCAAAAACAUAAUCAAUAAUUAUAAUGGUACUGAAACUAGAAUAAAGAGAUGCACGGAUCUAGCUAGUAGUUACUUACAUCUAUUUGUUUAAAUGUAAGCUCUGGCUUCCAAUCACCCCGAGCUUUGGCGGUGAACCAUUUCCAAGCCCUGCCAAGAAAAGGAAAUGAAUAAAGGUGUUCUAUAUUAAUUCCUUGCUAUCAGGAAAUGAACGAGAAGUUGCCGAUAUAGUGCCAUAAUGAUUGAAAUUACCUCUGGAGGCAUUCUUGCAUGUUCGUCCAUUCAUCGAGGCGUGUGCAUUUCGGGUCCAUGACUAUUACUUCUCCCUUGUCAGGUACAAUGAUUAACAAAAUAAAGUGGAACCUGCGCAUGCAUAAUGAGUCAAUUAUACACUUAUAAUAACAUCGAGUAAGCGAAACUAGAAUGNUGUAGUAACACUCACUUGAAGUUGUAAGGAAAUAGUAUUUCCCUUUUGGUACCGGAAAACCUUAACCCUUGUACCAAGUUAUUCUCUGUAUCGCGGGGACUCGUUGCGAGACUUUGGUGAUGAAUGAAAUAUGGGUUAGUGAACCCAAUGUCAUAGAUUUGUCCUCUUUUGCAUUCGAGAAUCUUCAUUCUGCAAAAUUAAUAUAGUGAUGAGUAAGAUUAUACAUGAAAGAAUGAGCUGAAUAAGACUUUAAUGACAUAAAUUAAUAAUACUUACAAACAAUAGGCACUAAUGAUAGAUUUGUCGAGGGCGUCUUGUUGGUAUAAUUGAAAUAAUUCAUCGAAUUCAAUCAUUACCACGCCGUCUCCAUGCCCGAAAUGAUCGUUUUAAAAUUCAAGGUAUAUCUAGUUUGCCUGUUGAGCACAUGCUUGCAUGUACCAGUCAUGCAAUCUUCGCAUUUUUGUUGGUAGCUCGUUGACUAACUCAGGUUUGACCAGAGGAGCCCCGUACUAGUAUGUGUAUGCUAUGUCAGUGAAUACCUCCAAAUGGUUUAAGUACUCAUCAAUAGACAUGCCUUGAGCCCUGGCCGCUUCUUCGUAUUGUGCAAGAAAUUUUGGAUCGAUGUCAGCUGUUUCAUCAUUCCUCUGUUGGACCGUAGCUCUACUCGAGCACACAUUUGUAUCAGAAUACACUUUGAGCGGGGGGGCACGAUUGGUUUUUCUGUUGUCUGAGAUGGGCAAUUGAUUUCCCGCUGGCGUACUACUCUUCAACCGCUUCUUUUUUUCCUGAGCCGACUUGAUAAUAGAGCGUUCAUAGUCUGCUGGCAACGGUGGCGGGGAUCUGUAAGGUUUUUCAGCAUUUUCACGCACGCGGCGUGUUCUUCUCGGGUGUCCGGGAACUCUGGCUCUUUCGGUUUCUUCUUGUUAGACACUUGAGCCUUCCACUGUUCAUGUUGGGCAUCUACCCUCUUAAUAUUGUCCUCUCCAGUGUAGUCACAAGGUCUCUUCUCCAUAUUCUUAUGAGGUACUUUUGGGAGGGGCGACAACUUACGUUUUGGUGAUCGGAUACCCUUUCUGCCGCCACUAUUAGCGGGGUUACUUUUACGCUUUUUGCUCUGAUCCUCGGUGGAUGGAGACGGCUGACGGGGAGGUGGAGACGGCUGAUGCGGCGGUGAAGACGGAUGCGCUGGAGACUGGUGAGGCGGCAAAGACGACGGUUGCGCUGGAGAUUGGUGAGGCGGCGAAGACGACCGUUGCGCUGGAGACUGGUGAGGUGGAGGCGAAGAAGGAUUGCUGGUAUGAGGAGUCGGUGGCCUUGGCAUCCAAUUUGGAAGCCAGAUGUGCUCCUUUGUCCAUACAACGGCUUGUUUCUUGACUUCUCCAAGUUGAGUCAAAUCCCUAUCUUCCCCUGCAGGGUGGUCGAGCUUCAGCUCCUCAUAAUCUUUCAUCACUUCAUCCACCACCACGACAGCGUACUCUUGUGGAACCGGAGAGCAAUGCCAAGUUGGAUUACGUCCAAUUGGUAUGGCCAUGCCGACUAAUACGUCUCCAUCGUAUCUACUUUUCCAAACUCUUUUGCCCUUGUUUUGGACUCUAAUUUGCAUGAUUUGAAUGGAACUAACCUGGACUGACGUUGUUUUCAGCAGAAUUGCCUUGGUGUUAUUUUUGUGCAGAAAUGAAAGUUCUCCAAACUUCCUAAAAAUUUACGGAGAUUAUUUCUGGAAAAUAUGAAAAAUACCUGCACAAAGAUCCACCGAAGGGGGUGGGCCAGUGGGCCAGAAGCCCAGUAGCCGCCACCCCUGGUGGUGUCUAGCAAGCUUGUGGGGCCCAUGUGGCUCUGCCGCCCCCAAUCUCAGCUCUAUAAGUUCACUUUCGUCCGAGAAAAAAUCAAGAGAGAAGAUUUCGUCGCGUUUGCGAUACGGAGGCGCCGCCACAUCCUGUUCUUCAUCUGGAGGGCAGAUUUGGAGUCCGUUUUGGGCUCCGAAGAGGGGAAAUCGUCGCCAUCGUCAUCAUCAACCUUCUUCCCUCUCCAAUUCCAUUAAGCUCUUCAUCGUUCGUGAGUAAUCUAUUCGUACGCUCGCUGGGCGGUGAUGAGUAGGAUGAGAUCUAUCAUGUAAUCGAGUUAGUUUUGACGGGGAUUGAUCCCUAGUAUCCACUAUGUUCUGAGAUUGAUGUUGCUACUACUUUGCCAUGCUUAAUGCUUGUCACUAGGGCCCGAGUGCCAUGAUUUCAGAUCUGAAAUUAUUAUGUUGUCACCAAUAUAUUAGUGUUUUAGAUCCGAUCUUGCAAGUUGUAGUUACCUACUAUGUGUUAUGAUCCGGCAAUCCCGGAGUGACAAUAACAAGAACCACUCCCGGUGAUGACCAUACUUUGAGGAGUUCAUGUGUUCACCAAGUGCUAAUGCGUUGGUCCGGUUCUUUAUUAAAAGGAGAACCUUAAUAUCCCGUAGUUUCCUUUUGAACCCCGCUGCCACGGGAGGGGUGGACAAUAGGUGUCAUGCAAGUUCUUUUCCCUAAGCAUGUAUGACGACACACAGAAUGCAUGCCUACAUCACAUUGAUGAACGGGAGCUAGUCACAUAUAUCUUCGUGUUAUAACUGUUGCAUGAUGAAUAUUAUCCAAACAAAUCACCGACCCAUUGCCUACGAGUUUGUCCCACUACUGCUGUUACUUGUCUUGCUCUGCUGCUACUGAUGUUACUUGUCUUGCUUUCUGCUACUGCUGUUACUUGUCUUGCUCUGCUGCUACUGUUGUUACUUGUGUUGUUCUGCUGCUACUCUUGUUACUAGUGUCGCUUGCUACUGUUGCUACUUGCUACUAUUGUCACUACUAAUGUUCCAUGCCACUGCUAUUACUCGUUACACUGCUGCUACCUGCUACAAUUUUGGUUCGCUGGUCGUUGACGGGAACAGACAAUUUCCGUCAACAGGCAACUUCUGGCGUCAUUGAUACAAUCCUUAGGAAUAGUCUGCCGUCAAUAGAUCGUUUCUGACACCGUUGUUAUCAUACUACUUUGCUGUUGAUACUUUGCUUGCAGAUAUUAAUCUUUCAGGUGUGGUUGAAUCUCACUCAUUCAGCUGCUAAUACUUGAGAGUAUCCUCUCACUUCCCUUGGCGAAUCAACAAAUUGGGUUGAAUACUCUACCCUUGAAAACUACCUCGAUCCCACGCGUUGGUGGGCCAUCAACAACAUUCUUCUAGUUUCAUUGUUGGGGAGUGCUAGCAGCAUUCUUCUGGUGCCGUUGCAGGGGAAGGUCUGUUGACACGGAGUCAGCAUUUUUCUGACACCGUUGCCGGGGAAGGUCUGUUGACACGGAGUCAGCAUUUUUCUGGCGCCGUUGCCGGGGAGGUAUUGCUAUAUUCUCUGAGUCACUUGGGAUUUAUAUCUGUUGAUCACUAUGAAGAAUUUGAAGGACCCAAAAACCAAAGUCUUGCCCUCAACUACGAGGGGAGGUAAGGAACUACCAUCUAGCUCUGCACUUGAUUCACCUUCAGUUAUGAGUAAGUUUGCGACAUCACCUCCUGCUAGAAAUUCUCAUAUGUCGCAUGUGCUUGAUGAUGCUUAUGAUGCUACUGCUAGAGAUGCUAUGCUUGAUACUAUGUCUGAUGAUACUAUGCUUGAUACUAUGCCUGAUGAUGCUAUGCCUGAUACUGCUAGAGAUGCUAUGCCUGAUACUGGUUUGCCUGAUACUGCUAGAGAUACUACUUUGCCUGAUGUUCCACUAGGGGUGUUCCUUGAUGCUCAUAUUGCUAGAGUUACUGCCAAUGCUCGUGAUGCUUCUGAUACUGCCGAUACUAUUGAGAUAGAACCUGCUUUUGCUCCUGCUAGAUCUAGCUCUCCUAGAUAUGAAUUGCCUGAUAUACCUGACGGUUACAUUAUGGAGGGAGAGAUAGCUGAGGAUUUUAUUGCGUGUAAGGAUGCCUAUGACGCUGAGAAAUUACUUAUCAAGUGGAAGGAAAAAUAUCUGAAAGCUAGGAUGAAAUACGACCCGAAGUUUGCGACUUCACCUAUCUUUAUCACCGAUAAGGAUUAUGAAUUCUCGGUCGAUCCUGAGAUAAUCUCUCUAGUCGAAUCUGAUCCUUUUCACGGUUAUGAGUCUGAGACGGUCGUGUCCCAUCUUACCAAACUACACAAUAUAGCCACCCUUUUCACUAGUGAGGAGAAGAUCCGCCACUACUACAUCCUUAAGUUGUUUCCUUUCUCUUUGAAGGAUGACGCUAAAGCCUGGUUCACCUCUCUUGCUCCUGGAUGUGUGAGUAGUCCCCAGGAUAUGGUCUAUUACUUCUGUGAGAAAUAUUUCCCUGCCCAUAAGAAGCAAGUUGCCUUGCAGGAAAUAUACAACUUUGCUCAACUCCGAGAAGAGAGUCUCCCACAAGCAUGGGGGAGGCUCGUCCAGCUACAGAAUGCUUUGCCUGAUCACCCUCUUAAGAAGAACGAGAUACUUGAUAUCUUCUAUAACGGACUUACCGAUGCCUCCAGAGACCACCUAGAUAGUUGUGCCGGUUGUGUUUUUAGGGAACGAACUGUAGAACAAGCUGAGACCCUACUGAAUAACAUCUUGAUCAAUGAUAAUGCUUGGACUAUUCCCGAACCACCUCCUAAGCCAACUCCGAAGAAAAGAGGUAUUCUAUUCCUCAGUCCCGAAGAUAUGCAAGAAGCCAAGAAAUCUAUGCAAGAGAAAGGCAUUAGAUCUGAAGAUAUCAAAAAUCUACCACCUAUCGAAGAGAUCCAUGGUCUCGAUAACCGGAUACGAGUAGUAGAAGUGAAUUCUCUAUGUAGGUUUGAUGAGAGUGAUAUUCCUUUUGACAAACCUGCUAGCCUAUGCUUUGAUGAAUUUGACAACUUUGUUGCCAAACAACAGAGUUUCAAUGAUUAUGUUAGCAGACAUUUGGAACAAAGUACUCAUAUGCUUAGCCAUUUAAGUGCUUGUGUAGACAGAAAUGUCAAUGAUCUGAAGCUUCUGAGUAAACAUGCCUCUAUGAUUACUACUCAGGUAGAACAAGUACUUAAAGCUCAGAAUGACUUGCUCAAUGAAUUAAAUGACAACUCUGUCAGAGUCAUUACUAGAGGAGGCAAAAAUGACUCGGGAACCUUUGUAUCCUGAAGGUCAUCCUAAGAGAAUUGAUCAAGAUUCUCAAGGAAUUAAUUGUGAUACACACAGUCAUCCUAAGGAGAAUAGGAAGGAUGAUAGAAACCUACAUGCCAGUUCACCAAAUACUAUCACACCUGAAGAACCUAAUGAUAUUUCUGUGUCUGAUGCAGAAACACAAUCUGGUGAUGAACAUGAACCUGGUGACAAUAUGGACAGUGAUGUUCAUAAUAAUGCUCAACCUAGCAAUGAUGAGGAUGUGGAGAUUGAACCUAUGGUUAAUCCUGAUAACCCACAACCUAAGAGAUACGAUAAGAAUGACUUCACUGCUAGGAAGCAUGGUAAAGAAAGGGAGCCAUGGGUUCAGAGAUCUAUGCCCUUUCCUCCUAAGCCAUCCAAGAAAAAGGAUGAUGAGGAUUUUGAGCGCUUCGUUGAGAUGAUAAGACCCAUCUUUCUGCAGAUGCCGUUAACUGAUAUGCUCAAAAUGUCUCCGUAUGCCAAGUACAUGAAAGAUAUCGUGACUAAUAAACAGAAGAUACCAGAUCUUGAGAUCUCCACCAUGCUUGCCAAUUACACUUUCAAAGGUGGAACUCCUAAGAAACUUGGUGAUCCCGGAGUGCCCACUAUACCUUGCUCCAUUAAAGGAAACUACGUAAGAACUGCCUUAUGUGACCUUGGAGCCAGUGUUAGUGUUAUGUCGCUCUCUCUUUAUCGUAGACUUGAAUUGGAUAAGUUGACACCCAUUGAAAUUUCUCUGCAAAUGGUCGACAAAUCAACUGCUUUCCCUAUCGGCAUUUGCGAGGAUGUGCCUGUUGUGGUUGCUAACACCACUAUCUUAACAGACUUUGUUAUCUUGGAUAUUCCCGAGGAUGAUUCCAUGGCUGUCAUCCUCGGAAGACCCUUUUUAAACACUACAGGGGCUGUUAUAGAUUGCAACAAAGGCAAUGUCACUUUCCAUGUCAACGGUAAUGAGCACACAGUGCACUUUCCGAAGAAACGAUAUCAAGUACAUUGCAUCAAUGCUAUCGAAAAGACUUCAUCGAUUCUCAUUGGGAGCUUUGAAUGCCCUAUUCCUCGUGUCAAGCUGAAGUAUGAUUUGCUUGUUGGGGACAUACAUAUCCCCAUUGAGGUGACUUAGUGGCUAUUCGAAAAUUCUCCAUUCUCUCUUGCGAUUCGAGAAGGUUUUGUCAUGAGGACUUGAUCAACCCCAUUGACGGAUUUCUUUCGAUGACCAUGAAAUGGAUGAAUCAAAGAGUCACAUACCUUUGUUUUGAGCUUUCAUUUUUUGUUGCUUCGAAGAAAAAUGAUAGAAUUAGUUUAGUUUUUCCUGUUUUCCGUUUUAGCGUCCCGGAGAAAAAUACCCCGGAAAUAAAAGUUCUCCGAUGGUCCUGAAAAUUUAGUAUGAUUUUUUCUGGAUUAUUUGAAAAAUACUGGGCCUGAGAGCUAGCCUGGGGGCCUGACCAGUGGGCCACAAGCCCUACAGCCCCCCCUGGUGGCGGCUAGCAAGCUUUUGGGGCCCACAGGGACCCCCUCCACUCAUUCCAGCUCCCAUCCUCUUCUUCCACCUCCAGAAAAAAUUGUUUCGCAGCUCAAACCCGUGUUCUUGCUCAUUUGGCUGGGAUUUUCGAUCUCCUUGCUCAAAGCACCUUUCUCCGUACCGUUUUGGGGAAAUUACUCCUUGGUAAGUGACUCCUCCAUUGGUCCAAUUAGUUUUUGCACUAGUGCUUUAUCCUUCGCGUAUUCUUGCUACCUUGGUGACCCUGUUCUUGAGCUAGAAAUGUUGAUUUUAGCUCGCCCCAAGUAGUUCUAGCGCGUGAUACAGUCUCUAGGCACUAGUAGGAGUAGUUGCUACGAUUUGGGUUAAUUCUUAUUCACUUUUCUUUCGAAGUCUCUAAAAAUUUCAGAAUUUUUCAGAGCUAGAAAAAGAAAAGAUGAGGAGGUUCUUAAGAGGCUCUUCAAGCCAUAACCCCAAGGAGGAUGAGAAGAACCACCCCAAUUACGUAGUCCCUUGAGUCACACAAGUUCGAGCGUGCGAGUGGCCAAGUGAUGAAUUUUUGCGCGCCGCUGGGCUUUAUGAAGACUUUUAUUACUUAGUGGAGAACGCAGGUCUUACUGCGUUCGUUGAAGAUAAGUGCUCACAAUACCUCCUCCUCACCAAUAUUUUCAUUCAAAGCUUCAACUUUUAUCCAAGGAAGAAUCCUCCCAUGGUUGAGUUCAUGUUGUACGAUAUCCCCCAGUGCAUGACGCUACAGGAUUUUUGCAAUGUAUGCAAAUUACCUUAUGUUGGGGAUAUUCGUGACCCUCGUCCACGGGAUUUGGAGGAUUUCAUUGGUACUAUUGCUGUUGGAGAGGAGAGAGGAGUGUCUCGCGCUAGAAUUGCUAGCAUACAUUUUCCUGUGCUUCGGUACUUCUCAUUAUUUGUGGGAAAAUGUUUGAUUGGCCGUGGGGAGGCUGGAUCACUUAGUUCUCUAGACCUUGCGGUUCUGCGCGAAGGCCUAUAUAACGAUAAGACUUAUAGCCUAGGUGCUAUAGUAGCCAGCGGUUGAACACCAACCGUUCCAAGAGUGUCGUCUAUGGAGGUAUCUAUGCUACCCGUCUUGCCAGACACUUUGAGAUACCCGUUAGACUAGGAGAGGAAGGAGAGAUGCUUCUCCCUGAGAAAUAUCUGGAUUAUGACAACAUGGUUCGCCAUGAUUUUGUGGAUAGAGAUGCUAGUAGACGGAUGAUUUAUAACCUGGUAUUUAGUCAAGGUACUCGAGAGACUAUUACUUUGCCUGCUCCUUCUUUGUUCGAUCUUCAUGCAGGCAGGUACACUAUUACGCCCUCAGACAUCUACGCAUAUUGGGGCUUGGCCCAACCACAGGUGCCUAUGCCCGAGCCGCCAUUCGAGUACCAGACGCCAGUUUAUCAGUGGGAGCCAGAGGAGCUCACACAGCAGUGGCAUCCACAGUCUGCUCUAGAGUACCCCGGAGCUGGUUAUUUCCCACCUUGGGAGUAGACCAAGUUAGGCCAAAAUGCUAAGCUUGGGGGAGUACGUGUUCUCACUGACAUUACAUUCAUGCUUAUGCUUUCACUUUGUUAGUCGGUGUUUACACUUUGCCACUUACUAUCCAUGCUAGUUUAUUUUCGUUUUCUUGUUUUGUGUUCUUUUGAGAAAAACCAAAAAGAUUUUCCUUUCUUCUGUUGCUUGUUGGGAGCUUUCCCGUGUAAAUAGUUUUCUUUUUCUUUGGGUCAAGGUAGAAGAUAUUGGUUACAAUGUUUAGUGGUUCUUGCAUGCAUACCUGUUUAGCUUUCAAAGAGCCAUAUUACUUUGUCUUCUCCUUUGUGUUUGCCUGCAGAUUCAGCUUAGUCCAUUGCACGAGCACUCUUAUUAUUAUUCACAUCGUUCGAUCGUGCAAAUGAAAGGCAAUAAUGAUGAUAUAUGAUGAAGUGACUGAGACUGGAAAAGCUGGUAUGAACUCUAUUUAUUUUGUUUUUGUAAAUAUGACUAGCUUGUCAUCCCAGAUUCAGCUUUGUUGUGAGAGAACCAUGUUUGCAAUGACAACUUAGAGAUCAUAGUUUCUGAUGCCAUGCUUAUUUAGCUAGGAGCUUAUAAUGGUUUGUCUUGAAUGCCAACAUAGAUUUUGAGAUGACUAUGAUGUAGUAUGAUAGGAUGGUAUUCUCCUUUGAAUGAUUCAAGUGGCAUGACUUGGCGCAUGUUCAUGCAUGUAGUUGAAACAAAAUCAACAUAGCCUCUAUGAUGUUCGUGUUCAUGGUGAUUUAUAUCCUGUUCAUGCUUGCAUUCACUGUUAGUCAAACUCAUUGCAUCUUGAUGACUGUUGUCGCUCUCUAGUUGGUCGCUUCCCAGUCUUUUGCUAGCGUUCACUUGUACUAAGCGGAAGACUGCUUGUGCAUCCACUUCCAUAAACCCAAAAGUUUUUCCAUGAGAGUCCACCAUACCUACCUAUUUGCGGUAUCUACCUACCAUUCCAAGUAAAUUUGCAUGUGCCACUCUCUAAACCUUUAAGAAAUAAUCUGUUUUGCAUGCCCGAACCGCUCAUGUGGUGACAGGGGGCUAUUGGUAUCUUCCAUGCUAGGAGUGUUAUCAUCGAGAUGUGUUUAUUCACUGUCAGUCACGAGAAAGGGACUGGUAAUUGGUAUGCCCAGUUUCACGCUUAAAUCAAAAGCAUAACUGUAAAACAAGACUCCCCCCGGAUUGAUGUUAAUAUGGACAGUACCCAAGGAUUCGGCUAGCCGUGGAGUGUGAUUGAUUGAUGGUGGGGGAGUUAAAACUUUACUUUUCUGUUUGGGAACCGCCUAUAGCAUGAGUAGCAUGGAAUAUAUUGAGAACUCUUGGUCAUUGCGUUGACAAUGAAAGCAUGCCACCCAAAAUUAUUAUCUCUAUUUUCAAAGCUUGAGCUCUGGUACCUCUGCAAAUCAAUGCUUCCCUCUGCAAAGGGCCUGUCUAUUUAUUUUCCUGUUAAGUCAUCCUCCUCUUUUAUAAGCACCAUUUUUAUGCUUUGCUUUUGAUUGAUAUUGAGUAUGACUAUGACUGGAUCUUCGUUGCUAUGAAUUACAAUGUUUAGUCAGCCCUUGAUCUUUGAAAGUGCUCUGCAUUUAUGCUUUGCUAUCUCAGAAAGAGCUAGCACGAUACUACCUAUUCAUAUUGCUUCAUGCUUGUUUUGAUUGAAGUGUUGGUAUUUGAAACUCAUUAUUAUUUGCUCGUUAGCUGAUUAUGCCAUUGAUAUUAGUUUACCGUGAGACCUUUGUGUCACUUGCUUAUGUGGUUAACUUUUGAUCUUGUUGAAAUUCUGGUUAUGAGUUAGACAUACUUGCAACAACAAGAUCAAACAGAGUUUGUCAAAGUUUUUCUUUCUCUCUCAGUUUGUCAACUGAGUUGCUUGAGGACAAGCAAGGUUUUAAGCUUGGGGGAGUUGAUACGUCUCCAUCGUAUCUACUUUUCCAAACUCUUUUGCCCUUGUUUUGGACUCUAAUUUGCAUGAUUUGAAUGGAACUAACCUGGAUUGACGUUGUUUUCAGCAGAAUCGCCUUGGUAUUGUUUUUGUGCAGAAAUGAAAGUUCUCCAAAUGUCCUGAAAAUUUACGGAGAUUAUUUCUGGAAAAUAUGAAAAAUACCUGCGCAAAGAUCCACCGAAGGGGGUGGGCCAGUGGGCCACAAGCCCUGUAGCCGCCACCCCUCCCCCCCCCCAAGGGGNCCCCCAAGGUGGCGGCUAGCAAGCUUGUGGGGCCACGUGGGUCUUCCGCCCUCAUUCUCAGCUCUAUAAGUUCACUUUCAUCCCAGAAAAAAUCAGGAGAGAAGAUUUCGUCGCGUUUGCGAUACGGAGGCGCCGCCACAUCCUGUUCUUCAUCUAGAGGGCAGAUCUAGAGUCCGUUUUGGGUUCCGGAGAGGGGAAAUCGUCGCCAUUGUCAUCAUCAACCUUCUUCCCUCUCCAAUUCCAUGAAGCUCUUCGUCGUUUGUGAGUAAUCUAUUCGUAGGCUUGCUGGGCGUUGAUGAGUAGGAUGAGAUCUAUCAUGUAAUCGAGUUAGUUUUGACGGGGAUUGAUCCCUAGUAUCCACUAUGUUCUGAGAUUGAUGUUGCUACUACUUCGCGAUGCUUAAUGCUUGUCACUAGGGCCCGAGUGCCAUGAUUUCAGAUCUGAAAUUAUUAUGUUGUCACCAAUAUAUGUGUGUUUUAGAUCCGAUCUUGCAAGUUGUAGUUACCUACUAUGUGUUAUGAUCCGGCAACCCCGGAGUGACAAUAACCGGAACCACUCCAAGUGAUGACCAUAGUUUGAGGAGUUCAUGUGUUCACCAAGUGCUAAUGCGUUGGUCCGGUUCUUUAUUAAAAGGAGAACCUUAAUAUCCCGUAGUUUCCUUUUGGACCCCGCUGCCACGGGAGGGAUGGACAAUAGAUGUCAUGCAAGUUCUUUUCCCUAAGCACGUAUGAUGACACACGGAAUGCAUGCCUACAUCACAUUGACGAACGGGAGCUAGUCACAUAUCUCUUCGUGUUAUAACUGUUGCAUGAUGAAUAUCAUCCAAACAAAUCACCGAUCCAUUGCCUAAGAGUUUGUCCCACUACUGCUGUUACUUGUCUUGCUCUGCUGCUACUACUGUUACUUGUCUUGCUCUGCUGCUACUGUUGUUACUUGUCUUGCUUUGCUGCUACUGAUGUUACUUGUCUUGCUCUGCUGCUACUGUUGUUACUACUGUCGCUUGCUACUGUUGCUACUCGCUACAGCUGUCACUAUUGUUGUUCCUUACCACUGCUAUUACUCGUUACACUACUGCUACCUAAUACAAUUUUGGUUCGCUGGUCGUUGACGGGAAUAGACAAUUUCUGUCAAAGGGCAACUUCUGGCGCCAUUGAUACAAUCAUUAGGAAUAGUCUGCCGUCAACAGAUCAUUUCUGACACCGUUGUAUCAUACUACUUUACUGCUGAUACUUUGCUUGCAGAUAUUAAUCUUUCAGGUGUGGUUGAAUCUGACACAUUCAGCUGCUAAUAAUUGAGAGUAUCCUCUCACUUCCCUUGGUGAAUCAACAAAUUGGGUUGAAUACUCUACCCUCGAAAACUGCCUCGAUCCCAUGCGCUGGUGGGCCAUCAACAACAUUCUUCUAGUUUCGUUGCUGGGGAGUGCUAGCAGCAUUCUUCUGGUGCCGUUGUAGGGGAAGGUAUGUUGACACGGAGUCGCCGACCGUCACCGUCAACCUUAACUUAGGAAGUUUCACCUUAGCUCACAAGGUGUGCUCUCUGUGAUAUCAUCCGCUGGGUAGCGACGAGGAGGAUACGUCGUCGGUGCAUCAUCACCCUCAUCCUGGAGCUGCGUGGAAGCGACACUGCUUUUCCGAUUCGAUGCAGCUUCUAUCAUGAGCCGCUCAGAUUGGCCGCUACCUUGUUGUCUGCCGAUUUGAUCCUGCUACAGCCGCUUUACUGCUUCUUCUAGAUUAUGCAGUCGGUCUGCCUCAGCCGCUUUAUCAGGGGGGGGGGGCCUCUGAUGGCUUCUAUCGGGAAAUCACUUCCUUUCCUCGGAGAACACAAGAAUCCAUGGCGGGGAGCCUGGUAAGCCUCGUGCUCGCCCUUUGUGUUCCUUAUUCAGAAGGGCGCGUGUGAGCUUGUCGUUCUCUCUAUCGGGUAAGAACCAUCCCUCUUCAACAUCUUGUAUUGCACGUCUAAUCUCCUCGAUGGGUAGGGUAUUAUCUUUGUGUCCUUGGUUAUAUAUUGCCUUCCCUUCUGCGUCCAACAAGCCCACAUGCCCGUAAAACCAGUUUCUUGCCCGUUUGAGCCAUCUUAAGGGCUCUUGAGUGAUAUUUUUGUCCAGAUAUGAUGCCUCAAGUUCUUCCCACUUAGCCAUCUUACUGUGUAGCCACCAGGCCCCAUAAUAUGGUGGUACUUCUUCUUACCUCCAUUCGUCUUAUUUGUUGCAGACUUUUUCAAGGCGUCCUCUGAUUUCUUGUACGCCACAAAUUCAGCCGAGUAGUCUUUAAUAUUCUCAUAGUCGUGAUCGAAAUCUGGAGUCUUAUCUUUCAAGAUAAAAUCCUGGUGCAAUCUUUUUUUCCAUCCCCUGAAUAGAUCGGCCAUCUUCUUAAGAGACCACUCCUUGACUUUUUUCUCUAGGGCCUCUUUUCGCCUAUUCAUUUCAUCCUCAUUUGGCUCCUCCUCAUCUGGAUCAAGCUCUGGCGCCGGCAGGGUGAAAUGAAGCAUGAGCUUUCUCCAAAGUUUUCUUUGGCUGUUGUGCCGACAUAUCAGACUCCUUCCUCCCUUGGCUUAAUCCAUUAUCGAGUUGUGAUAGGGAUGUGGUCCCUAACAACAAAUCUGCAUGCCGUCACAAACUUCUGGUUGGGCCUCCUUUCGUCCGUACUGAGCUCACUUUGAAUUUAGGUUGAAUUUUCUCCAUAAAUUCUCAUAUAUUUUCAAUUUUUUCCAUUAUUUUUGUUUUGUUAUUUGCUUUAUUUAUUUUGGCUUUUUCUACUUACACCUAAAUACUUACACCUAAAUAUUUAGUUUUCAAAUUUGAAUUCUUUGAAAUUUGUGAAUAACUUACUUUCAUUUUUUCAUAUUAAAGAUUUUUUUCUCUUCUAUUUUAGUUUUCUAUUAAAGAUUUUAACGAAAAACUUUAUGAAAAUUCUUUUGAGUUGAUCUUUUUUUGUUUCUUUUUAGUUAAUGUUUUACUUGAAUCUUUUUAACAAAUAAGCACUUUGAUAACUUUAGUUGAUUAUUUUUAAUNUUAGUUGAUUCUUUUUAGUUGGCUAUUUUUUUGUUUUCUAUUAAAUAUUUUAACAAAUUUUUAACAAUUUGUGACUUCAUUUGGUAUUUUUCGUGCAUUUACUUUUUUUUAGCUGGUUGACCCUGAAAUUGAAAAGCACUACAAAUGAACUCUGAAAAUGUUGAAAGUUGGCAUGGUAUCAUCAUUUCACCCACAUUGCAUGUGCUAAAAAGUCGAGAGGGUUACGACAAAAACUGGUUACACUUCGUGUACAAAACGGAUAAUCUCUCUCGAAGUAUGAGGGUUUCGAACGAGAACUCAUCUUUACAAAGGGAUUUCAUUAUUUUGAACUUAUUUGAACUACAUACUUUUUGUGUGUUCAAAAUGCACCAUUCAAAGGCACAUCACAAAUUUUCAACAAUUUCUGACUUCAUUUGGUAUUUUCCGUGCAUUUACUUUUUUUAGCUAGUUGACCCUAAAAUUGAAAAGCACUACAAAUGAACUCUGGAAAUGUUGAAAGUCGGCAUGGUAUCAUCAGUUCACCCACAUAGCAUGUGCUAAAAAGUUGAGAGGGUUACGACAAACACUGGAUGCGCUUUGUGUACAAAACGGACAAUCUCUCUCGAAGUAUUAGUGUUUCGAAUGAGAACUCAUCUAUUACAAAGGGAUUUCAUUUUUUUCAACUUAUUUGAACUCCAUACUUUUUGUGUGUUCAAAAUGCACCAUUCAAAGGCACAUCACAAAUUUUCAAUAAUUUCUGACUUCAUUUGGUAAUUUCCGUGCAUUUACUUUUUAGUUUAGCUAGUUGACCCUGAAAUUGAAAAGCACUACAAAUGAACUCUGAAAAGGUUGAAAGUUGGCCAUGUAUCAUCAUUUCACCCACGUAGCAUGUGCUAAAAAGUUGAGAGGGUUACGACAAAAACUGGAUGCACUUCGUGUACAAAACGAUCAAUCUCUCUCGAAGUAUCACGGUUUCAAACGAGAACUCAUCUGUUACAAAGGGAUUUCAUUUUUUUCAACUUAUUUGAACUCCACAGUUUUUAUGUGUUCAAAAUGCACCAUUCAAAGGCGCAACACAACUUUUCAACAAUUUCUGACUUCAUUUGGUAUUUUCCGUGCAUUUACUUUUUUUGAGCUAGUUGACCCUAAAUUGAAAAGCACUACAAAUGAACUCUGAAAAUGUUGAAAGUUGGCAUGGUAUCAUCAUUUCACCCACAUAGCAUGUGCUAAAAAAGUUGAGGGUUACGACAAAAACUGGAUGCACUUCAUGUACAAAACGGACAAUCUCUCUCGAAGUAUCAGGGUUUCGAACAAGAACUCAUCUGUUACAAAAGGAUUUUAUUUUUUUGAACUUAUUUGAACUCAGUAAUUUUUGUGUGUUCAAAAUGCACCAUUCAAAGGCACAUCACAAAUUUUCAACAAUUUCUGACUUCAUUUCGUAUUUUCUGUGCAUUAACUUUUUUUGAGCUAAUUGACCCUGAAACUGAAAAGCACUACAAAUGAACUUUGAAAAUGUUGAAAGUUCGCAUGGUAUCAUCAUUUCACCCACAUAGAAUGUGCUAAAAAGUUGAGAGGGUUACGACAAAAACCGGAUGCACUUCGUGUACAAAAUGGACAACCUCUCUCGAAGUAUCAGGGUUUCGAACGAGAACUCAUCUUUUACAAAGGGAUUUCAUUUUUUUGAACUUAUUUGAAUUCCAUACUUUUUGUGUGCUCAAAAUGUACCAUUCAAAGGCACAUCACAAAGUAUCAUUAGUACACAUCACAUAAAGUUUAAUACAUUAGUACACAUCACAUAAAGUUUAAUACAUUACAUAGAUUUAUAUUUUGAUCCCUUGCAUAUGAUCGCUUUGGCCGUAACCAUGGAGCAUCUUCAUUAUCUAACGGGAUGCUUGGGUCAAUUCUCACUAUGAAGGGCGGAAUUUCAUCAAACUUAUUAUAAUCUGCUGACAUGUCUGUCUUGUCCUCAAUCCCCAUGAUGUUUCUUUUCCCUGAAAGAACUAUGUGACGCUUUGGCUCAUCGCNNNNNNNNNNNNNNNNNNNNNNNNNNNNNNNNNNNNNNNNNNNNNNNNNNNNNNNNNNNNNNNNAUCCUGAGCCACAUCAUUGGCUAGGACAAAUGGCUCGUCUGUGUAACCAAGAUUCUUGAGAUCAACUGUUGUCAUUCCGUACAACUGGUCUACCUUUACCCCUUCUGCAUUCAUGUUCACCCAACUACACCGAAACAAAGGGACCUUAAAAGUAGGUCCGUAGUCAAGUUCCCAUAUCUGCUCUAUGUAACCAUAGUAUGGGUCCUCUUUCCCAUUCUCGUCUGUCGCAUCAUAGCGGACACCACUGUUUUGGUUGGUGCUCUUUUUAUCUUGGGCGGUCGUGUAAAUUGUAUUCCCGUUUAUCUCGUACCCUUGGAAAUGUAAUACAGUCGAAGAAGGUGACGCGGCCAACAAGUAGAGUUGAUCUCCAAUAGUGUUGUCAUUCAUGAGACGUGCUCGUAACCAACUACUGAAAGUAUCCAUGUGUUUUUCUUCAAUCCAGGAGAUAGCCUUCCCUGGGAACUCGGGGCGUACAAAAUUCUUGUGGUCCUCGAUAUACGAAGCCGUGAAGGUGGAACAUUUUAGAACUGUGCACUGUGCUUGAGUGAAAGAAUGCCCAUCCCUACAUAUCAUCUCUUUUUUUCCUAGUGUGCCUUUUCCACUUAGUCUCCCCUCAUGUCGCGAUUCAGGAACACCAAUCGGCUUAAGGUCAGGAAGAAAGUCUACACAGAACCCAAUGACCUCCUCUGUUCCAUAGCCCUUGGAGAUGCUUCCUUCUGGCCUAGCACGGUUAUGAACAUAUUUCUUUAAGACUCCCAUGAACCUCUCGAAGGGGAACAUAUUGUGUCGAAAUACAGGACCGAGAAUGGAAAUCUCGUCGACUAGGUGAACCAGGAGAUGCGUCAUAAUAUUGAAGAAGGACGGGGGGGAACACCAACUCAAAACUGACAAGACAUUGGACGUUCUCGAUCCUUCUGUAGCCUUUCCAGACGUUUUCGGUCGAUUACCUUCUAAGAUAUGGCAUUGAGGAAUGCACAUAGCUUCACAAUGGGUAAUCGAACAUCUUCUGGUAGAAGCCCCCUCAAUGCAACCGGAAGCAACUGCGUCAUAAUCACGUGGCAAUCAUGAGACUUCACGUUCUGGAAUUUUUUUGUGCCAUAUUUAUUAUUCCCUUUAUAUUAGAUGAGAAGCCAGAGGGGACCUUCAUACUGCUCAGGCAUUCAAAAAAGAUUUCCUUCUCUGCUUUGGUAAGAGCGUAGCUACUUAAGUAUUGACACACUUUAUCAGUCUUCUUGGCGUAUGGGUCUUUCAUACAUUGCUGCUCCUCCCAUGCUUCUAUUGUAUCUUUUUUCUUUCCAUACACUCCCAGGAAGCCUAGCAGGUUCAGGCAAAGAUUCUUCGUCACGUGCAUCACGUCGAUUGAAGACCGGGCCUCUAGGUGUUUCCAAUAGGGUAGCUCCCAAAAUAAAGAUUUCUUUUUCAACAUGGGCACGUGUCUGGUAAUGUCGUCUUUCGGAACAAAUUGACCGCCAGGACCCUUUCCAAAGAUUACUAUUUGAUCCAAAUACUUGACCAUAGCCAAUAACUCAUCACCAGUAGGGAGGUUAGGCUUCUUCCAGUGAUGUGCCUCACCGUUGAAAUGCUUGCCUUUAUUUCCUACGGGAUGAUUGGUCGGAAGAAAUUGACGACACCCCAAGUAGACAACCUUAUUAGAUUUUUCCAAAUAUGUACCUUUAGUCUUAUCUAAACAGUGUGUGCAUGCAUUUUAUCCCUUGUUUGACUAUCCUGAAAUGUUACUAAGAGCAGGCCAAUCAUUGAUAGUUACGAACAACAAUGCCCAUAGGUCAAAUUCCUGCUGUUUGUGCUCAUCCCACACAUCUACACCUGGUUUGGCCCACAACUGCAAAAGUUUAUCAACUAAUGGCCUUAGGUACACAUCAAUGUCGUUGCCGGGUUGCUUCGGUCCAUGGAUGAGCACUGGAAUCAUAAUGAACUUCCGCUUCAUGCACAACCAAGGAGGAAGGUUGUAGAUACAUAGAGUCAUGGGCCAGGUGUUGUGUCUGCAGCUCUGCUCCCCAAAAGGAUUCAUGCCGUCUGUACUUAGACCAAGCCAUAAGUUCCUUGGGUCAUCUGCAAAGUUCGGACACUCCCUCUCGAUUUUCCUCCACUGCGACCCAUCUACGAGGUGUCUCAACUUUUUCCCGUCUUUCUUACGCUCGUGUUUGUGCCAUCGCAUCAACUUGGCAUGCUCAUUGUUUCUGAACAGACAUUUCAACAGUGCUAUUAUAGGAGCAUACCACAUAACCUUAGCAAGAACCUUCUUCCUGGGGGGCUCGUCAUCGCCCUCAACAUCACCAGGUUCAUCCUAUCUGAUCUUGUACGGACAUGCAAUGCAUACCGGGCAUUUAUCCAUAUUCUCGUACUUCUCACCGCGGUACAGGAUGCAGUCAUUAAUGCACGCAUGUAUGUUAUGCACAUAUAAUCCAAGAGGACAGAUAGCCUUCUUUGCUUCGUACGUAGUCUCGGGCAAUUCGUUAUCCUUUGGAAGCUUCGGCUUCAAUAUUUUCAGUAACUUAUCAAAUCCCUUGUCAGAUAAACCAGUUUCUGCCUUCCAUUUCAACAGUUCCGGUGUGGUACCGAGCUUUGUGUUGUCAUCUUCGCAAUUUGGGUACAACAACUUUUUAUGAUCCUUUAGCAUGGCCUCCAAUUUCAGCUUCUCCUUUUGUGUAUCGCAUUCUCUCUUUGCAUCAGAAAUGACCCGACCAAGACCAUCAGCGGGCUCAUCUAAUGUCGGUUGUUCUUCACCUCCUUCUUCUUCAUUGUCUUCCAUUGUAGUAUCACCGUAUUCUUCAGUGAACAUAGGAUAGUUGUCAUCAUCUUGUUCUUCUUCAUUGUCUUCCAUCCUAACCCCUCUUUCUCCGUGCAUGGUCCAACAAUAAUAUGUGGGCAUGAAACCUCUCUGAAGCAAGUGGAGAUGAAUGUUUUUCGAGCUAGAGUACUCCUUCAUGUUUCCAUAGACUACACAUGGACAAGGCAUAAAAUUAUCCACUUUGUUUGCCUCGGCCACAUUGAUAAAUUUAUGUAGGCCUUUUAUAAAUCCGGAACCGCGUCAUUCGCCGUACAUCCAUUGCUUCCGUGCAUCGAUCUAGCAUCAUACAUGAAUAGUGAAAUGACCACCGUACAUUGACACAUGCAAUAUUUUUGUAUCAAUUACAGAUGAAAAGGAUAAGGUUGCUAACCUCGGUCGAGGAUACCAUUUUGUGUGAACUUAGUGUGCCUCGGGCAUUAGUCUCGGUUCAUAAUGUACUUCGAAGUACGUCGGUCACCGUACAUCCAUUGGCGGUUCAUCUCUAUUAUGAAACUAAGUAUAUAAAAAACCACUGCAGAGCAUAUAUGACCAAAUUAAUACAAGUUCAUCAUCACAUUAAAACCAAAGCACAGUAGUGAUCAAAUGUUAUUAUUGGAAAAAAUAAAUACAUAAAGUUCUCUCAUAAAACAACAUACAACUAUGUAAAACAUUUAAAUGCAACAACAAAUGCGAUCAAAAUCGUAACUAAGGUAACAAUUGACCCAACAGCAUAAUGAUACCAAGCCUCUUUAUCAAUGGCAUAUUUUCUAAUAUUCCAAAUCUUCAAGCGCAUUUCAUCCAUCUUCAAGCGCAUUGCAUCCAUCUUCAACUGCAUCGCAUCAAUCUUCAUCUUGCGAUCAUCGAUGACAUCGGUGACAUGCAACUCCAGUUCCAUAUUCUUCUCCUCAAUUAUUUUCAAUUUUUCCUUCAAGUAUUUUCUUUCUUUUUCAACCAAAUUUAACUUCUCGACAAGAAUUUCUAUGUGGGUCGGAAUUUCUGGUUCACAUACCUCCUAGAUUAAAAUAUAUAUGUCACGUUGGUCGUCAUAAUUGUCAUAAACACUAAAUGAAAAAAUAGUUAUAAAAGAUAAUAUAUACCACAUCUGAAUCAUAGACAGGACGAGGGCCGGCGGAGGCGGAUACUAAAACCAUCGUACUAUAUAAUAACAAAAAAUAAUGAAACUAAGUAAUUUAUACAAGUAUGUAUCUAAAUCAUACAAGUAAGAUUUUUUUUCUUUUAAAAAGAAGACAAGAACAAGAGGCUCACCACGGUGGUGCUCGCGACGAGAUCGGCGCGAGCGAUCGUCAAAGGUGAGGACGGGCACGGGACGACACCCUACACAUGUGCAGACUCUAAGAAGUUAAUUUGAGCAUUUGAAAUGAUCUAGUGACAGAUGAAAGGAUGAAGUAGCUACCCUUUUAAAACACUUGUGCAGUUGGUGCACGGGCAAACCUAGACAAAUAUUGAGGAAAAUGGAGUUUGGAGGUCGAGCUUGGAGAGGAGACAGCUUAAGUAGUGUGGCUCGGGCAUUUCAUCGAACACUUCAUGUGCAUGAGCUAGAGGGGCAAGAGCCUNUGGUCACACUUCAACAGCCAAAAAACAGAGGAGACGGUGGGCAGGGGCGAGGGUUUAUAUAGGCAACACUUUAGUCCCGGUUUUUGUCUAAAACCGGGACUAUCAGCCUACCCUUUAGUCCCGGUUAUUGCCACAAACCGGAACUAAUACUCUACGGCAAGCCGCAUGGCAGUCGCUGGAUCUUUAGUCCUGGGUUUUGCCCUAAACCGGGACUAAUGCCCCGGCAAACCGAACCGGGACCAAUGCCUGGCAUUGGUCCUGAUUUUCGUUUGAACCGGGACUAAUGGUCUUUGGGCCCUCGCAGAAAGACCCUUUUUCUACUAGUGUAUUGUGUGUAGAGUUUGCAUGAAUGAUGAUCUAAUCUAUUUUCCGUACUGUUUCAUUUCUUCAAAUAGCAUAUGUCGAGAGCACGCCGUUGGGGGAACAAAAUUUAAACCGACAAAACAUGGUAUGAGCAUCACGCCUGAUCCUUUACCACUAAAGUGUGAUAUUAAUUAAAAUACAUGUGAUUAUCAUAUAAAUUAGGAUCGGGAGGACAGGAUACGGAAGCAUCUACAAAACCCAAAAUUCUUGCCAUCGACGUAUAACACGGCAUGGGUAGCUAUGGUUCCAUUGCCGGGUUCUGUUGGAAUUUGGGCCCAUAUUUGGGGUAGCCCAACUAGCAAAUCCUCAAAUCUCAAAGUGGCCCAUGUGUACAAGCAAGUGGUGGGAGUGGUAAGUUUAGUCCCACAUGGAAAGUUGGAGGAGAUGUACACUGCUACUACAACAAAAGACUUUCCAAUGCCGCCAGAACUAGCCGUGUUGACGGGAGAUUGUUCUUGAUACUCCUCAGCAACGGCACGAGGAAUCCUUCUGCUACCGCUACGCCUUAAGGGACUUCCUAGGCUAAUAUGCAAAGGAUUUCCCCCAUGGCCUUGGAGCCUUGCGUUGGUGUUCCCUCGAAGCGGAAAGGGUGAUGUAGCGCAGCGCUGGUAAGUAUUUCCCUCAGUUUGAGAACCAAGGUAUCGAUCUAGUGAAGGAGUAUCAGAAGUGCCUGCACAAACACAAAAAGCUUGCUCCCAACGCUAUGAAGGGGUUGUCAAUCCCUUAUAGAUUGUUCGCCAAGUGAGAACUGAAAGCAACAAAGUAACAAAGCAAAGUAAAAGCGAAAGUGGAAACGAUAGAUGUGAAUAGACCCGGGGGCCGUAGUGUUUACUAUUGGCUUCUCUCAUGAAAGCAAGUAGACGGUGGGUGAACAAAUUACUGUCGAGCAAUUGAUAGAACCGUGCAAAGUCGUGACGUCAUAUAUGGCAAUGAUUAUAUCUAUAGGCAUCACGUCCAAAACAAGUAGACCGAUACUUUCUGCAUCUACUACUAUUACUCCACACGUCGACCGCUAUCCGGCAUGCAUCUAGUGUAUUAAGUCCAAAAGAAUAGAGUAACGCCUUAAGCAAGAGGACAAGAUGUAGAUGGACAAUCUCAUAUCUACGACAAAGCCUACCUUGUUACCCUUGAUGGCAACUACACGAUGUGUGCCUUGCUGCCCCUACUGUCACUUGGAAAGGUCACCACACGGUAAGAACCCAAAACCAAGCACUUCUCCCAUUGCAAGAAUCAUAGAUCUAGUUGGCCAAACAAAACCCAAGACUCGGAGAGACUUACAAGGAUAUCAAAUGAUGCAUAAAAGAAAUCAGGAAAGACUCAAAUAUAUAUCAUAGAUAAUCUGAUCACAAAUCCACAAUUCAUCGGAUCUCGACAAACACACCGCCAAAGAGGAUUACAUCGGAUAGAUCUCCAUGAAGAUCAUGGAGAACUUUGUAUUGAAGAUCCAAGAGAGAGAAGAAGCCAUCUAGCUACUAACUAUGGACCCGUAGGUCUGAAGUGAACUACUCACGAGUCAUUGGAGGGGCGAUGAUGUUGAUGUAGAAGCCCUCCAACUCCAAAGUCCCCUCCGGUAGGGCACCGGGAAUGGUCUCCAGAUGAGAUCUCGCGGAAACGGAAGCUUGCGGCGGCGGAAAAGUUUUUUCGUGGAUCUCUUGAUUUUUUUCUGUAUUUUAGGGAAUAUAUAGGCGAAGGACAGGGAGGCCACAAGCCUGCUGGCCGCCCCCCUGGUGGCGAAAAGGGGGCUUGUUGGCCCCCUGUAGCCCUCCUGGCUUGGCCCUCAAGCCCCCUGAUCUUCUUCCGUUCGGGAAAAAAUAAUUUCGGGGAUUUUAUUUUGUUUGGACUCCGUUCCAAAAUCAGAUCUAAAAAGAGCCAAAAACAAAGAAAAAACAGGAACUGGCACUUGGCACUGAAUUAAUAAGUUAGUCCCAAAAAAGAUAUAAAAGGUACAUAAAACAUCCAAAGAUGACAAGAUAACAGCAUGAAACCAUCAAAAAUUAUAGAUACGUUUGAGACGUAUCAAGCAUCCCCAAGCUUAGCUCCUGCUCGUCCUCGAGUAGGGAAGUGAUAAAGAAUGAAUUUUUGAUGCUUUCAUGCUACCUAGCAUAGAUGUCCUUUGUAACUCCUCAUAUGUGACGUGAAUGUUUAGAUCUAUUAGAUUCAAAACAAUAGUUUGCUAUUGACGUGGAACCAAUAAUAAUUCAAGCAAACUAGCAGGGUAAUCAUGAACUUUCAAAAUAACAAGGCCAAAAGAAAGUUAUCCCUACAAAACCAUAUAGUCUGGCUAUGCUCUAUCAUCAUUGCACAACGAAUUUAAAUCAUGCACAACCCCGGUAUUGGCCAAGUAAUUGUUUCACACCUUUACUUUCUGUAACAUUUUCAACUCUCACGCAAUACAUAAGCGUGAGCCAUGGUUUUAGCACUAUAAGUGGUGUGGAGUCUGGUGGAGGUUGCAAGACAAAAUAAGGAGAAGAUGAUCACAUUAACUAGGCAUAUCAAUGAGCUGUGGAGAUGCUCAUCAAUAGAUAUUGAUACGUCCAUUUUGCAUCAUGCUUUCAAGUUGAUAUUUAUUGCUUUAUGGGCUUUUAUAUUACUUUGUGGUACCAUAUUUAUGCCUUUUCUCUCUUAUUUUGCAAGGUUUAUUUGAAGAGGGAGAAUUCAGGCAGCUGGAAUUCUGGACUGGAAAAGGAGCAAAUCUUUGUCCACUGUUUUGCACAUCUCCAAAUGCCCUGAAAAGUUACGUGGAUUUUUUGGGAUUAUAUAAAAAAAUACUGGGCGAAAGAAUUAUCGGAGGGAGGCUGCCAGGGCGACACAAGCGGAGUGGGGGCUUGUGCGCUCCCUAACGACCCACUAGCCCCCCUCUUUUUCUAUAUGAAGGGUUUUGGUCCAGAAAAAAUCAAUAGGGAGCUUUUUCGUGGUUUUGCGGCCGCCACGAGGCGGAACUUGAGCAGAUCCAAUCUAGAGCUCCGGCAGGACGAUCCUGCCGGGGAAACUUCCCUCCCGGAGGGGGAAAUCAUCGCCAUCGUCAUCACCAACACUCCUCUCGUCGGAGGGGAGGCAUCUUCAUCAACAUCUUCAUCACCACCAUCUCCUCUCGAAUCCCUAGUUCAUCUCUUGUAAUCAAUCUCUGUCUCACGACUCCGAUUGGUACUUGUAAGGUUGCUAGUAGUGUUGAUUACUCUUUGUAGUUGACGCUAGUUGGAUUACUUGGUGGAAGAGUUUAUGUUCAGAUCCUUGAUGCUAUUCAUUACACCUCUGAUCAUGAUUAUCAUUAUGCUUUGUGAGUAGUUACUUUUGUUCCUGAGGACAUGGGAUAAGUCAUGCUGAUAAUAGUCAUGUGAAUUUGAUAUUCGUUCGGUAUUUUGAUAUGUUGUAUGUUGUUUUUCCUCUAGUGGUGUUAUGUGAACGUCGACUACAUAACACUUCACCAUAUUUGGGCCUAGAGGAAGGCAUUGGGGAGUACUAAGAAGAUGAUGGGUUGCUGGAGUGACAGAAGCUUAAACCCCCAGCCUAUGUGUUGCUUCCUAAGGGGCUGAUUUGAAUCCACUAGUUUAAUGUUAUGGUUAGACGUUGUCUUAAUUCUUCUUUUGUAGUUGCGGAUGCUUGCGAAAGAGGUUAAUCAUAAGUGGGAUUCUUGUCCAAGUAAGGGAAGUACCCAAGUGCCGGUCCACCCACAUAUCAAACUAUCAAAGUAACAAACGCGAAUCAUAUGAACAUGAUGAAACUAGCAUGACAGAAAUUCCCAUGUGUCCUCGGGAGCGUUUUUCCUCCUAUAAGACUUUGUUCAGGCUUGUCCCUUGCUACAAAAGGGAUUGGCCCACUUGCUGCACCGUUGCUACUACUUGUUACUUGUUAAUUUUUGCUUGCUACGUUUCACCUCGCUACACAAUCACUUGUUACCGCUACUUUCAGUGCUUGCAGUUAUUACCUUGCUGAAAUCUGUUUAUCAGAGCCUUCUGCUCCUCGUUGGGUUCGACACUCUUACUUAUAGAAAGGACUACAAUUGAUCCCCUAUACUUGUGGGUCAUCAAGACUCUUUUCUGGCGCCGUUGCCGGGGAUCGAAGCGCCUUUCGUAAGUGGAAAUUGGUAAGGAAACAUUUAUAUACUGUGCUGAAAUUUAUUGUCACUUGUCACUAUGGAAACUGUUCCUUUGAGGAGUUUGUUCGGGGUAUCUUCACUACGAACAGAAGCACGAGGAGUUGUUCCUCAACCUAAGGUACCUACUGAAAAUAUCUUUUAUGAAAUUCCUUCGGGUAUGCUUGAGAAACUGUUGGCUAAUCCUUUCAAAGGAGAUGGAUCUGCACAUCCAAACUUGCAUCUAAUCUAUGUAGAUGAAGUUUGUGUUUUAUUUAAGCUUGCGGGUUUGCCCGAGGAUGAGGUAAAGAAGAAAGUCUUUCCUUUAUCUUUGAAGGAUAAGGCAUUGACAUGGUAUAGGCUAUGUGAUGAUACUAGAUCACGGGGCUACAAUCGGUUGAAAUUGGAAUUUCAUCAAAAGUUCUAUCCUAUGCAUUUAGUACAUCAUGAUCGGAACUUUAUUUAUAACUUUUGGCCUCGUGACAGGAAAAGCAUAGCUCAAGCUUGGGGGAGGCUUAAAUCAAUGCUAUAUUCAUGCCCUAAUCAUGAGCUCUCGAGAGAAAUCAUCACUCAAAACAUUUAUGCUCGGCUUUCUCAUGAAGAUCGCUCCAUGCUUGACACUUCUUGUACCGGUUCUUUUAUGAAGAAGGAUAUUGAUCACAAGUGGAAUUUAUUGGAAAGAAUCAAAUGCAACUCUGAGGAUUGGGAGCUGGAGGAAGGUAAGCAGUCAGGUAUGAAUUUCAAGUUUGAUUGCGUUAAAUCAGUUGUUGAGACAAACACUUUUAGAGAUUUUAGCGCCAAGUCUGGACUUGACUCUAAGAUAGUAGGUUCUCAUUGUGAAUCUAUUGCUGCUCAUUUUGAUCUUCCCAAAGAGAAGUGGUUUAAAUAUCAUCCUCCUGUAGAAAGCAACAUAGCCAAAACCAAUCUAGUUGAGGAGAAAUUCAUUUCUUUUAGUGAUCAUGUUGUUCCUUGUGCUUACACUGAGAAACCACCAUACCCUGCUAGGAUAAAGGAUUAUUCUAAAGCUCCAACUGUGAUACGUAGGGGUUACAUUAGACCACUUGCACCCCCUGAGGAGAUUAGAGUUGAACCUAGUGUUUCCAUUAUCAAAGAUCUCUUAGCCGAAGACAUAGAUGGGCAUGUUAUCAAAUUUUGUGAGGACUCCGCUAGAAUUGCUAAACCUCACGUAGAGGACAAAUACGGACCUGUAGUUGGCUUUCCCGUUGUUUCUGUCAAGAUAGGAGAUCACUGUUACCAUGGUUUAUGUGAUAUGGGAGCUAGUGUUAGUGCAAUACCCCGUUCUCUAUAUGAUGAAAUCAAAGAUGAGAUUGCACCUGCUGAGUUAGAACCCAUUGAUGUCACUAUUACGCUAGCUAAUAGAGACACUAUCUGCCCCCUGGGAAUUGUGAGAGACGUAGAAGUCUUGUGUGGUAAGACGAAGUAUCCUACUGAUUUCCUUGUCCUUGGUACUGCACAAAAUAACUUUUGUCCCAGCAUAUUUGGUAGACCCUUCCUCAACACUGUCAAUGCUCACAUUGAUUGCAUUAAGCAGACUCUCACAGUUAGUUUCGAGGGUGUGCCUCAUGAAUUUAACUUCUCUAAGUUUGGAAGACAACCCCAUGAAAGAGAGUCGUCUGGAAGGGAUGAAAUUAUUGCUCUUGCCUCUAUUUCCGUACCUCCUACGGAUCCUUUCGAGCAAUAUCUUCUUGAGCAUGAAAAUGAUAUGCAUAUGGAGGAGAGAGAUGAGAUAGAUAAAAUUUUCUUAGAACAAUAUCCUGUUCUCAAGAAUAAUCUGCUUGUUGAACUGCUUGGGGAUCCUCCCCCACCAAAGGGUGAUCAUGUGUUCGAGCUUAAACAGUUGCCUGAUACUCUUAAGUAUGCCUAUCUUGAUGAGAAGGAGAUAUAUCCUGUCAUUAUUGGUGCUCUCCUCUCAGAGCGCGAAGAGAAGAAGUUACUAAAAACUCUGAGGAAGCACCGAGCUGCUAUUAGAUAUACUCUUGAUGAUCUUAAGGGUAUUAGUCCCACUCUAUGUCAGCACAAGAUUAAAACUGAUCCUGACUUCAAACUAGUUGCUAAUCGUCAAAGGAGAUUGAAUCCUAAGGUGAAAGAGGUCGUUAGAAAAGAAAUAUUAAAGCUUCUGGAAGCAGGAAUCAUUUAUCCUGUUGCUCAUAGUGAUUGGGUAAGUCCAGUACAUUGCGUACCUAAGAAGGGAGGUAUCACCGUCGUUCCUAAUGAUAAGGAUGAACUAAUCCCACAAAGGUUAUUACCGGCUAUAGGAUGGUGAUAGACUUCCGGAAACUGAACAAGGCAACCAGGAAAGAUCAUUAUCCUUUGUCGUUUAUCGAACAAAUUCUAGAAAGGCUAUCAAAGCACACACACUUCUGCUUUCUAGACGGUUAUUCAGGUUUCUCGCAAAUACCUGUUGCACAAUCUGAUCAAGAGAAACCACUUUCACCUUCCCCUUCGGUACCUUUGCUUAUAGAUGUAUGCCUUUUGGCUUAUGCAAUGCACCUGCCACCUUCCAAAGAUGUAUGAUGGCUAUAUUCUCUGACUUCUGUGAAAAUAUUGUCGAUGACUUCUUCGUUUACGGGUCUCCCUUUGAUGAUUGCCUCAACAACCUUGAUCGAGUCUUACAAAGAUGCGAAGAUAUCAACCUUGUCUUGAAUUGGGACAAGUGCCACUUUAUGGUUAAUGAAGGCAUCGUCUUAGGACACAAAAUCUUUGAAAGAGGCAUUGAAGUUGAUAAGGCUAAGGUUGAUGCAAUUGAGAAAAUGCCUUGCCCCACAGAUAUCAGAGGUAUACGAAGUUUCCUAGGUCAUGUUGGUUCCUAUAGAAGGUUCAUUAAAGACUUCUCUAAGAUUUCUAGGCCUCUUACCAACCUCUUGCAGAAGGAUGUUCCUUUUUGUUUUUGAUGUGGAUUGUGAGGAAGCCUUUGAAAUACUUAAGAAGACUUUGAUAACCGCACCUAUUGUUCAACCACCUGACUGGAACUUGCCCUUUGAAAUCAUGUGCGACGCUAGUGAUUAUAGUGUUGGUGUUGUUCUAGGACAAAGAGUUGACAAGAAGUUGAAUGUUAUUCACUAUGCUAGUAAAACUCUAGACAGUGCCCAAAGAAACUAUGCCACUACAGAGAAGGAAUUUUUAGCAGUCGUGUUUGCAUGUGAAAAGUUCAGAUCUUAUAUAGUUGACUCCAAAGUCUCUAUUCACUCUGAUCAUGCUGCUAUUAAGUACCUCAUGGAGAAGAAGGACGCUAAGCCUAGACUGAUCAGACGGGUUCUCCUGCUACAGGAAUUUGAUUUGCACGUCGUUGACCAAAAGGGUGCUGAUAACCCUGUAGCAGAUAACUUGUCUAGGCUAGAGAAUGUCCUUGAUGACCCACUACCUAUUGAUGACAGCUUUCCUAAUGAGCAACUAAAUGUCAUCCGCACUUCACAUAGUGCACCGUGGUAUGCCGAUUACGCAAACUAUAUCGUAGCCAAAUACAUACCACCCAGUUUCACCUAUUAGCAAAACAAAAAAAUCUUCUUUCAUUUGAGACACUUUUUUUGGGAUGAUCCUCACCUUUAUAAGGAAGGAGUAGAUGGUGUUAUUAGACGUUGUGUGCCUGAACAUGAACAGGGACAGAUCUUGCAUCAGUGUCAUUCCGAAGCCUACGGAGGACACCAUGCUGGAGAUAGAACUACCCAUAAGGUAUUGCAAUCAGGUUUCUAUUGGCCCACUCUCUUCAAGGAUGCCCAUAAGAUUGUCUUGUCUUGGGACAAAUGCCAAAGAAUAGGGAAUAUCAGUAAGCGUCAAGAAAUGCAUAUGAACUAUUCACUUGUCAUUGAACCAUUUGAUGUCUGGGGCUUUGAUUAUAUGGGACCCUUCCCAAGUUCCAAUGGGUACACUCACAUCUUAGUUGGUGUGGAUUAUGUCACUAAGUGGGUAGAAGCUAUCCCCACUAAAAAUGCUGAUCACUACACCUCCAUUAAGAUGCUUAAAGAAGUCAUAUUCCCAAGAUUUGGAGUCCCUAGAUAUCUGAUGACUGAUGGCGGUUCACACUUCAUUCAUGGUGUUUUCCGCAAGAUGCUCGCUAAGUAUGAUGUCAACCAUAGAGUUGCAUAUCCUUAUCAUCCUCAGUCUAGUGGUCAAGUGUAGUUGAGUAAUAGGGAGAUCAAAUUGAUCCUACAAAAGACCGUCAAUAGAUCUCGAAAGAAUUGGUCUAGAAAACUUGACGAUGCACUAUGGGCUUAUAGGACUGUUUAUAAGAAUCCCAUGGGCAUGUCACCGUAUAAAAUGGUUUACAGUAAGCCCUUCGUUUACCUCUUGAGCUGGAACACAAAGCUUAUUAGGCAAUCAAAGAGCUCAACUUUGAUUUCAAACUUGCCGGUGAGAAGCGGUUGUUUGAUAUCAGCUCGAUAGAUGAAUGGAGGGCCCAGGCAUAUGAGAAUGCCAAGUUGUUCAAGGAAAAGGUUAAGAGAUGGCACGACAAAUGAAUACAGAAACGGGAGUUCAAUGUAGGUGAUUAUGUCUUGCUAUACAAUUCUCGUUUGAGAUUCUUUGCAGGCAAGCUUCUCUCUAAAUGGGAAGGUCCCUAUGUUAUCGAGGAACUAUAUCGUUCUAGUGCCAUCAAAAUCAAUAACACGGAAGGAAAUUUUCCUAGAGUGGUCAAUGGGCAAAGAAUCAAGCAUUACAUCUCUGGUACUCCCAUAAAUGUUGAGACCAAUAUCAUCAAUGUCAUAACUCCAGAGGAGUACAUAAGGGAUGUUUAUCAGCCUGUUUCGGACCCUGAAAACGAAGAGCUAUCUGUUUCGGUAAGAAAUUGGACUCCGAUGCUUUUCCAAUAGGAAAUUUCCUCCGUUUUGGAAUUUUUGGAAAAUUAGAAAAAAAAGCAGUCUGGAGAGCACACGAGGCGGCCACAAGCCCUGCCACUGCCCCUACCCCCUGGUGGCGGAGGGCAAGCUUGUGGGCACCUCGUGUGCCUCCCGGACUCCGUUUUCUUGCAGUGCACUCCUUUUGGUCCAGAAAAAAUCAAUAUAUACUCGCUCGAAGGUUUUGAUCUCCGUAUCGCGCAGUUUUCCUAUGUUUUUGUUUCGAGCUUAUUGUGUGCCGCAGAUUUAGAGCAAAGAUGUCUCAGGAAUCUGUUGGGGAGAAUGAUCUUCUCAAGAUUCAUAAGAAGAGAUCUAUGUGGCCGAUGAUCGUGCUAACUCUAGGAUUAAUGGGGACUUGGAACCAUGUGGCUGGACCACUGAUGAGGAAGAGGACUAUGAGCCCAAAGGGAAGGAACAAACGAGUUCCGAUGAAGAGGAGGCUCCUCUACCUCAACCUCGACGCACUCAUGCGGAGUUCAAGAAGUCAAGCCUCCCUGACCAUAGGAAGAAGCCUAAGACCUUGUUUAUCCCUUCUCGUUUCUUGCGGGAGAGUAAACAGGAACUUUCCCAUAGAGUGUUCAAACUUGAGGAGGAAAAUGACGAUAUAAGUGAGCAGAACUUUUUGCUCAAGUGGAAAUUAGACAAGCUCAAGACUGCUUCAACAACUCCACCACCAUCACCACCGAAGGAAGAAAACUAAGCAUUGGUAUCGGCAAUCCCCUUGGCUUCUACCAAGCUUGGGGGAGUUGCCCUGGUAUCGUAUCACCUUUAUAUCUUUUGCUUUUACCAUUGUUUUAGUUCUUUCCUUUUCAGUUUUUAUUUCUUCUCUUAGAGGAAUAAGUCUUUAGUGUUUAGUUUGAGUCUUUUGCUUUUGUCUCUCCCUCGAUGUAUUCGAGCUUACGAGCUAUAUAAUAAAGAGUAUCUUAGUCAAGGGCUUUGCUUUGUGAAGUGAUCAAUAGUAUGAAAAGAACGAUAGCAUGAAAGAUCAUGAGACGAUCUUAUGGAAAGUGAUAACUUCACUUAUGACACGUACGACGAUUGAAACUUGUUGAGAAUAAAUCAACACAGACCUCAGUCAUUGUUGCAAUUAAUAAGAAGUAAUAAGGAAAGAGAGGUUCACAUACAAAUAUAUCAUCUUAGACACUUUUUACAAUUGUGAGCACUCACCAAACUAUUACAUGCUUAGGAGUAGAUGUUGGACAAAGAAGACAACAUAAUGAAUUGUGUUUGCUUGGUUCCAAAAAAUGUUAUAUGAUUAGAGAUCCCUUAGCAUGUGACCAUUGCUUCCACCUCAUAUUAGCCAAAACUCCCGCACCAAGUAGAGAUACUACUUGUGCAUCCAUAAACCUCCAACCCAGUUUUGCCAUGAGAGUCCACUAUACCUACCUAUGGAUUGAAUAAGAUCCUUCAAGUAAGUUGUCAUCUGUGCAAGCAAUAAAAAUUGCUCUCUAAUAUGUAUGAUCUAUUAGUGUGUGGAAAAUAAGCUUUGUACGAACAUGUGAUGAGGAAGACAUCAAAGCGACAGACUGCAUAAUAAAGUUCUUCAUCAGAGGAGGCAAUAUAAAGUGGCAUUCCUCUGCACUAAGAGGACACACAUUCAAACCUCAAAACCGCAUGACAACCUCUGCUUCCCUCUGCGAAGGGCCUAUCUUGUACCUUUACAUUUUGCCCUUGUAAGAGUCAUGGUGAUCUUCACCAAUUCCCUAUUUUUGCCUUUUUCUUGGCUACCGUCACAUGCUUGGGAAAGAUCUAUAUUCAUAUAUCAACUUGGAGUUGAGUACUUAUGCUUUAUUAUUGUUGACUUUACCAUUGAGGUAAAUCGUUCGGAGGCAAAACUACAAGCCCCUGUCUUCCUUUGUGUCCAGCUGAAACUUUGACACCAUGAGUACCACGUGAGUUUUAACAAUUGUGGAAAACAAAAGAGAUGAUUGAGUAUGUGGGUUUGCCUUACAAGCUCUUAUUUGACUCUUUCUGAUGUUGUGAUAAAUUGCAAUUGCUUCAAUGACUAUGGAUUAUUGUUGGUUACUUCUCGGUAAGGUUUUUGCUUCAUGCUUUGCUUUGUGAAGGAAUUAUUACUCUCCCAUAAGAAUCUUUAUGAUGUAUUGAUGUUCUUUGUGUGAUCAUGAUGCCGUCAUGUAUGUAUUAUGUUUUAUCGACACCUUUGUCCCUAAACAUGUGGACAUGUUUAUGGAACUUGGUUUUCGCUUGAGGACAAGUGAGGUCUAAGCUUGGGGGAGUUGAUACGUCCAUUUUGCAUCAUGCUUUCAUGUUGAUAUUUAUUGCUUUAUGGGUUGUUAUAUUACUUUGUGGUACCAUAUUUAUGCCUUUUCUCUCUUAUUUUGCAAGGUUUAUUUGAAGAGGGAGAAUUCAGGCAGCUGGAAUUCUGGACUGGAAAAGGAGCAAAUCUUAGUCCACUAUUCUGCACAUCUCCAAAUGCCCUUUAAAGUUACGUGGAUUUUUUUGGGAUUAUAUUAAAAAAAAUUGGGCGACAGAAGUACCGGAGGGGGGCUGCCAGGGCGCCACAAGCCCUACCACCGCCACCCCCUGGUGGCGGAGUGGGGGCUUGUGGGCUCCCUGACGGCACACUAGCCCCCCUCUUUUGCUAUAUGAAGGGUUUUGGUCCAGAAAAAAUCAAUAGUGAGCUUUUUCGUGGUUUCGCCGCCGCCACGAGGCGGAACUUGAGCAGAUCCAAUCUAGAGCUCCGACAGGACGAUCCUGCCGGGGAAACUUCCCUCCCGGAGGGGGAAAUCGUCGCCAUCGUCAUCACCAAGACACCUCUCGUUAAAGAGGAGGCAUCUUCAUCAACAUCUUCAUCAGCACCAUCUCCUCUCCAAUCCCUAGUUCAUCUCUUGUAAUCAAUCUCCGUCUCACGACUCCGAUUGGUACUUGUAAGGUUGCUAGUAGUGUUGAUUACUUUUUGUAGUUGAUGCUAGUUUGAUUACUUGGUGGAAGAGUUUAUGUUCAUAUCCUUGAUGCUAUUCAUUACACCUCUGAUCAUGAUUAUGAUUAUGCUUUGUGAGUAGUUACUUUUGUUCCUGAGGACAUGGGAUUAGUCAUGCUGAUAAUAGUCAUGUGAAUUUGAUAUUCGUUCGGUAUUUUGAUAUGUUGUAUGUUAUUUUUCCUCUAGUGGUGUUAUGUCAACGUCGAGUACAUAACACUUCACCAUAUUUGUGCCUAGAGGAAGGCAUUGGGGAGUAGUAAGUAGAUGAUGGGUUGCUGGAGUGAGAGAAGCUUAAACCCCAGUCUAUGCAUUGCUUCGUAAGGGGCUGAUUUGGAUCCACUAGUUUAAUGCUAUAGUUAGACGUUGUCUUAAUUCUUCUUUUGUAGUUGCGGAUGCUUGCGAGAGAGGUUAAUCAUAAGUGGUAUAAUUGUCCAAGUAAGGGCAGUACCCAAGCGCCGGUCCACCCACAUAUCUAACUAUCAAAGUAACGAACGCGAAUCAUAUGAACAUGAUGAAACUAGCAUGACAGAAAUUCCCGUGUGUCCUCGGGAGCGUUUUUCCUCCUAUAAGACUUUGUUCAGGCUUGUCCCUUUCUACAAAAGGGAUUGGGAAACUUGCUGCACCGUUGCUACUACUUGUUACUUGUUACUUUUUGCUUGCUACGUUUCACCUCGCUACACAAUCACUUGUUACCGCUACUUUCAGUUCUUGCAGUUAUUACCUUGCUGAAAUCCGUUUAUAAGAGCCUUCUGCUCCUUUUUGGGUUCGACACUCUUACUUAUCGAAAGGACUACGAUUGAUCCCCUAUACUUUUGGGUCAUCAGAUAUCAAUGUGAAUGAGUAGGUAUUGCCAUAAAAAAAGAUGCACUAGAGCUAAGAGUAUGUGAAAGCUCUUAAAGAAAACUAGUGGGUGUGCAUCCAACUUGCUUGCUCACGAAGACCUAAGGCAAUUUUGAGGAAGCCUAUCAUUGGAAUAUACAAGCCAAGUUAUAUAAUAAAAAUUUCCCACUAGCUAUAUGGUGGUGACAAAACGAGAGACUCUCAAUCAUGAAGAUCAUGGUGCUUAAUAUGCACACAAGUGUGGAAAGGUGGUAGCAUUGUCCCUUCUCUCUUUUUCUCUCAUUUUUUGUGGGAUCUUUGGCCUCUUUUUUUAUUUUCUUAUUUCUAUUUUGGUGGGCAUCUUUGGCCUCUUUUAUUUCUCACAUGUGACAAUGCUCCAUCAAUGAUGAUCAUCACACUUUCAACUCAGAACUUCGAGCAAUGAUGACUCUAUAUGGAAUGCCUUUGGUAGUGUACCGCGACAAUGAUCUAGCAUGGCAUAGACAUCAAUGGAAACAUCAUGCUAGCUAUAUUAUGAUCAUGCAAUGGCAAUGUAGAAGUGGUGGCACAUGUCAUGGUGGUAGUUGCAUGGCAAUAUAUCUCGGAAUGACUUUGAAAAAGCCAUAGUAGGUAAGUAUGGUGGCUAUUUUGAGGGAGGCUAAUGGUGGGUUUUGUGCACCGGCGAAAGUUGCACGGCACUUAGAAGAUAGUGAUGGUGGAAGGUGAAAGUGCAUCUAAACCAUGGACUCAACAUUAGUCAUGAAGAACUCAUAUACUUGUUGCAAAAGUUUUAUUAGUAAUCGAAACAAAGCAUUCAACGUAUACUCCUAGGGGAAGGGUUGGUAGGUAUAAACCAUCGCGCGAUCCCGACCGCCACGCAAAGGAUGACAAUCAAAAGACUAAUCAUGCUCAGAUUUCAGCACAUAGCGGUUCACCAUAUGUGCAUGCUACGGGAAUCACUAACUUCAACACAAGUAUUUCUAGAUCCACAACACCUUACUAGCAUAACUUCAAUAUUACCAAAACCACAACUCAAAACUAAUUGAGAUGAAUCAAACUUCUCUAACUAUUGAAUGCACAUGAAGGUGGAAGUUUUCGUAUCCCUUUGGAUAACUACCCCUUUUGAGACUACUUUCAAAGCAUAGAUCAACUACCAAGCCACGCACCGCUGUGCUCUAAAAGAUAUAAGUGAAGCACAUGGAGCAAAAGUAUCUAGCUCAAAGGAUAUAAGUGAAGCACAUGUGAGCUGAAUUGUCUACCAAAAGAUAUAAGUGAAGCUCGACAAAAUCACGGUGAGUGCAUGUCUCUAUCUCUUGGUGUGCAGCAAGGAUGAUUCUGACACAACAAAAAUGAAAGACUCCUACGAUACAAGAUGCUCCAAGCAAAAACACAUAACAUGUGGUGAAUAAAAAUAUAGCCCCAAGUAACGUUACCGAUGGAUUGAAGGCGAAAGAGGGGAUGCCUUCCCGGGGCAUCCCCAAGCUUAGGCUCUUACGGCAUCCUUGAAUCUCUUGGGGUGCCUUGGUCAUCCCCAAGCUUGAGCUCUUGCCACUCUUUAUCUCUUUUUCCAUAAGAACUUCCCCCAAAACUUGAAAACUUCACAACACGAAACUUAAACAAAAACUCGUGAUAACAUUAGUAUAAGAAAGCAAACCACCACUUCCUUAGGUACUGUAGCAAAAUUAAAUUCUACUUAUGCUGAUGUUGGGUUACUGUAUUUUCAAUCUUCCAUGGCAAAUACCCCCCGAUACUAUCCAUAGUUUCAUCAAAAUAAGCAACCAACACAGCAAAAACGGAAUCUGUUAACAGAAGACCAGUCUGUAGCAAUCUGUAUACUUCGUAUACUUAUGGUACUUCAAAAAUUCUGAAAAAUUACGGAAGUCCGAAGAAUUUGCGUGGCAAUCAGCAGCAAAAAGAAUCAACUCAAAAUCUCUUACAGAAAAAAAAGAAAAUUCUUUUCGUGAGCAGAAAGUUUCUGUCUUUUCCAGCAUGACCAAACGAUCAUCCCCAAGACUAAUCAUAACGGUUUUGCUUGGCACAAACGCAAAAAGAAACACAAAAAACACAAUCAUAACGGAAUUAUGAAAGUGUGGAAAACACAAAACAGAAAGAAAAAGGAUAGAUUCGUUGGGUUGCCUCCCAACAAGCGUUAUUUUUUAACGCCCUUAGCUAGGCAUUCGAUGAUGCUCUCACAAAAGACAACAAUUGAAGCACAACGAGAGCAUCCUAAAGCAUGUGAAAAUCACAUUUAAGACUAACAUACUUCCUAUGCAUAGGCAUUUUAUAGGAGAACAAAUUGUCAAGACAAUCAAUAGCUGCCAAAUGCAAGGAAGAAGAAAGAGACAAUAGCAAUCUCAACAUAACGAGAGGUAAUUUGGUAACAUGAGAGUUUCUACCAAAAUAUUUUCCUCUCUCAUAGAAAUUACAUAUGGGAUCAUAUUCAAAUUCAAUAAUGUAACUAUCACAAAGGAUAUUCUUUUCAUGAUCCACAUGCAUGCAAAGUUGACGCUCUUCAAAAAUAGUAGGAUUAUCAUCAACUAAAGUCAUGACUUCUCCAAAACCACUUUCAAUAUCAUUGCAAAUAUCAUAUUCCUCAUGAGGUUUAAACAAAUUUUCAAGAUCAUAAGAAAGAUCAUCACCCCAAUCAUGAUUAUUGCAACAAGUAGUGGUCAUAGCAAAACUAGCAUCCCCAAGCUUAGGGUUUUGCAUAUUUUUAGCAUGAUUAUCACUAAUAGAAUUUAUAGUGAAACUGUUGCAAUAAUGCUUUUCAUCCAAGGAGCCCUCGUGAAUCACUUCAUAAAUUUCUUCCUCGCAAUUUUCAGAUUCACGCAUCUCAAGCAAAACUCCAUAAAAAUAGUCAAGUGCCCUCAACUUACUAGCAAUUGGAUCAACAUAAUUGGAUCUCUUAAAUAGAUUAGCAAGUGGUUGAGGAUCCAUAUCACUAGAUUUUCAGCAAGCGAAGAUGCAAGCAUAAUGAAGGCACAUGGCACACAACCGAACAGAAAGCAAGCGAGAGAAAAGGGCGAACGAAAAGGCAAACGAAAAAGGCAAAGGAGAAAGGCAAAUGAAAACGGCAAAUGUGAAGUGGGGGAGAGGAAAACGAGAGGCAACUGGCAAAAAAGUAAAUGCAAGAGAUGAGUUUGUGAGACCUACUUGGAUAGAUCUCUCCUUCCCCGGCAACGGCGCCAGAAAUACUUCUGCUCGUGCAACAAAAGACCUUCCAAUGGCGCCAGAAAUAGGUGUGUUGACGGGAGAUUGUUCUUGAUACUCCUCAGCAACGGCACCAGGAAUCCUUCUGCUACGACUAUGCCUUAAGGGACUUCCUAGGAAAAUAUGCAAAGGAUUUCCCCCGUGGCCUUGGAGCCUUGCGUUGGUGUUCCCUCGAAGCGGAAAUGGUGAUGUAGCGCAGCGGUGGUACGUAUUUCCCUCAGUUUGAGAACCAAGGUAUCAAUCCAGUGAAGGAGUAUCACAAGUGCCUCCACAAACACAAAAAGCUUGCUCCCAACGCUAUGAAGGGGUUGUCAAUCCCUUAUAGAUUGUUCGCCAAGUGAGAACUGAAAGCAACAAAGUAACAAAGCAAAGUAAAAGCGAAAGUGGAAACGAAAGAUGUGAAUAGACCCGGGGGCCGUAGUGUUUACUAGUGGCUUCUCUCAUGAAAGCAAGUAGACGGUGGGUGAACAAAUUACUGUCGAGCAAUUGAUAGAACCGCGCAAAGUCGUGAUGUCAUCUAUGGCAAUGAUUAUAUCUAUAGGCAUCACAUCCAAAACAAGUAGACCGAUACUUUCUAUAUCUACUACUAUUACUCUACACGUUGACCGCUAUCCAGCAUGCAUCUAGUGUAUUAAGUCCAAAAGAACAGAGUAACGCCUUAAGCAAGAUGACAUGAUGUAGAUGGACAAUCUCAUAUCUACGACAAAGCCCACCUUGUUACCCUUGAUGGCAACUACACGAUGUGUGCCUCGUUGCCCCUAUUGUCACUCGGAAAGGUCACCACAUGGUAAGAACCCAAAACCAAGCACUUCUCCCAUUGCAAGAAUCAUCGAUCUAGUUGGCCAAACAAAACCCAAGACUCGGAGAGACUUACGAGGAUAUCAAAUCAUGCAUAAAAGAAAUCAGCGAAGACUCAAAUAUAUAUCAUAGAUAAUCUGAUCACAAAUCGACAAUUCAUCGGAUCUCGACAAACACACCGCCAGAGAGGAUUACAUCGGAUAGAUCUCCAUGAAGAUCAUGGAGAACUUUGUAUUGAAGAUCCAAGAGAGAGAAGAAGCCAUCUAGCUACUAACUACCCCCCCCUAGGUCUGAAGUGAACUACUCACGAGUCAUUGGAGGGGCGAUGAUGUUGAUGUAGAAGCCCUCCAACUCCAGAGUCCCCUCCGGCAGGGCACCGGGAAGGGUCUCCAGAUGAGAUCUCACGGAAACGGAAGCUUGCGGCGGCGGAAAAGUAUUUUCGUGGAUCCCUUGAUUUUUUUUCUGUAUUUUAGGGAAUAUAUAGGCGAAGGAGUUAGGUCAGGGGGGCGCCAGGGAGGCCACAAGUCUGCUGGCCGCCCCCCCCCCCCCNCCCCCCCCCCCGGUGGCGGAUAGGGGGCUUGUGGUCCCCAUGUAGCCCUCCUCGCUUGGCCCUCAAGCCCCCUGAUCUUCUUCCGUUCAGGAAAAAAUCAUUUCGGGGAUUUUAUUCCGUUUGGACUCUGUUCCAAAAUCAGAUCUGAGAAGAGCCAAAAACACAGAAAAAACAGGAACUGGCACUUGGCACUGAAUUAAUUAGUUAGUUCCAAAAAAGAUAUAAAAGGUACAUAAAACAUCCAAAGGUGACAAGAUAACAACAUGAAACCAUCAAAAAUUAUAGAUACGUUUGAGACGUAUCAUACACCACCUUAUAAGGUGGAGUAUUGUAGCACUUGUAAGUGAGUGAGAAGAGGAGAGCCUCUCGCGACUCCUCCUCCUCCUCCUCCGUUAAUGUUUUCUGAACCGCACUAUAAAAGGCACGCGCCGUGGGCGCUGUAUACACACCGAAACCAAUCUAGGGUUUUGCCACUCCUCGUUCCUUGCACCGCCACCAUAGUCUAUUCCAUCCCGAGCGCCGGCGUCCACCGGCGAACAGGAGAGCAGGUCUUCGGAACCAGCCGCCUUUGUGAUCUGUACGGGAGAGGGAAAAUUAGUUUUUUGGGAAGCACUCUACGCGACUACUCGCUGCUUCCACAACGGGUCGUCUACCUAGCAAGUCGGGCGGUGUUGCGUACCACCGCCUCAAGCGUCGUCUACUUCGUCCCGUCAUUGUCAACAACAUAGCUGCACCGAACAAGUCUGCUUCAUCUGCAAAUGGUCGAUAUGUGCGUCGUGUUCCCGUUGGCCUGAUGAACAUGUUAGAUGUGUACAUGUUUUGCUAUACUGUGUUGCUGCUAUUCAUGUUGUCUACUGCAUCUAGUAUGUUAGAGUUUCACAUGUUAGUAGCUAGUAUCGUCAUGCUUUAUAUUCUGGAAUUAAUCAUGGAAAUUUUGCCUAUUUAUUCAACAAUCCAAAAACCUAAUUAUUGUUAUAGGCAAUUUCCUGAGUUAAGCAUGGGACAUCUAUCUGAUGCUUUGAGGCCGGACAAGUUUACCGGUUUGGACUUUAAGAGAUGGCAGUACAAGACCACGUUGUGGUUGUGAUCUCUGAAUGUGUUCGAGGCUAGUCAGCGUUUACCUGAAAAAACUAUAUCUGACGAGGAUCAGAACAAGUUGAAGGAAACCAAUACUGCCUUUGUGGGACUUGUUUUGAGUGCUCUUAGCAACAAGUUGGUCGAUGUGUACAUGCACAAUACAGAUGGCAAAGAGCUCUGGGAGGCACUGAUCGCUAAGUUCGGUGUAGCAGAUGCUUGGAGUGAACUGUACAUCAUGGAGAGCUUCCAUGACUUCAAGAUGGCUAACAGCCGUUCUGUAGUCGAACAGGCUCAUGAGAUAUAGUGCAUUGCUAAGGAACUUGAGCACUCUAAGUGUGACUUACCUAAAAAGUUUGUGGCUGGCUGCAUUAUUGCUAAGCUACCUUCCUCGUGGAGGAAUUUCGCCACAACUCUCAAACACAAGAGACAGGAGAUAUCGGUUGAAAACCUGAUAGCAUCUCUUGAUGUUGAGGAGAAGGCUCGGGCUAAGGACACUGCUGAGAGAGGUGGUGAAGGUCAGUCUAGCGCCAACAUGGUGCACAAAAACCAUCACCACGGCCAGAGCAAGGCUAAGAGAAAACCUGCCUUCAACAUGUCCACCAAGACUACUUCUUUCAAGAGGAAGAAGAUGAUGAUGAACAAAGCUGAGCUAAAGUGCUACACUUGUGGAGAGCCCGGCCACUUCUCUGUGGACUACCCAGAUCGUGCAGACAAGAAAGGGAAGGCCAAGAAUGUCAAUAUGGUGACCGUUAGCAAUACUGAUGGGUAUGGUAAUUUACCGUAUGUGCUUUCAGUUUUUCAAUCUCCUUGCUGGUGGAUUGAUACGGGUGCUAAUGUUCAUGUGUGUGCUGACAUUUCUAUGUUCACUUCUUAUCAGGUCGAACAGGAUUCUUCCGUCUUAAUGGGGAAUGGAUCACAUGCUACUGUUCGUGGUGUUGGCAUGGUAGAUCUGAAGUUUACUUCGGGGAAGAACGUGCAGCUGAGGAACGUGCAGCAUGUCCCCACUAUGAACAAGAAUCUCGUUAGUGGAUCUCUUCUUUGCAGAGAUGGAUUUAAGUUAGUCUUGGAGUCCAAUAAAGUAUGUGACAAAGUUUGGACAAUUUAUUGGUAAAGGGUAUGAGUGCGGAGGCUUGUUCCGCUUUUCAUUAUCGGAUUUUUGUAAUAAGUCAGUAAACCAUAUUUGUGGCAGUGUGGAUUCGGAUGCUAAUGUGUGGCACUCUCGUUUAUGUCAUAUUAAUUUUGGUUUAAUGAGCAGACUUUCCAGCUUUAGUUUAAUUCCUACUUUCACCGUUGCCAAAGGUUCUAAGUGACAUAGCUGUGUGCAAUCUAAGCAACCUCGAAAGCCUCACAAGGCAGCCGAGGAGAGAAAUUUGGCACCUCUAGAACUCAUACAUUAUGAUAUGUGCGAGAUGAAUGGUGUGUUGACAAAAGGUGGAAAUAGAUAUUUCAUGACGUUAAUUGAUGAUGCUACUAGAUUCUGCUAUGUUUAUUUGUUGCAAACUAAGGAUGAGGCUUUAGACUACUUUAAAAUCUAUAAGGCUGAAGUAGAAAAUCAAUUAGAGAGAAAGAUCAAGCGUCUUAGGUCGGAUCAUGGUGGAGAGUAUUUCUCUAAAAUCUUUGAUGAAUUCUGUGAGGAACACGGUAUUAGUCAUGAGAGGACGCCUCCCUAUUUGCCCCAAUCAAACAGGAUUGCUGAGAGGAAAAACCGCACGCUGACCGACUUGGUGAAUUCCAUGUUGGACACUGCUGGUUUAUCUAAGGCAUGGUGGGGGAGGCUUUAUUGACUUUGUGUCAUGUCCUAAAUAAAGUUCCAAACUAGAACAAAGAGAAAACCCCUUAUGAGGAGUGGGUUGGGAGAAAACCAUCACUUUCGUAUUUGCGCACUUGGGGAUGCUUGGCGAAAGUCAACGUUCCAAUUCCAAAGAAACGCAGACUCGUACCAAAGACAGUGGAUUGUAUCUUUCUAGGCUAUGCUCAGCGUAGCAUUGGUUAUAGAUUUUUAGUGGUUAAAUCUGAGGUACCCGAUAUGCAUGUUGAUACUAUUAUGGAAUCUCGUGAUGCAACAUAUUUUGAGAAUAUGUUUCCUAUGAAAGAUAUGCAUAGCUUUGCUGAAUUUUCUUCUGAGUUAAUUCCUAAAUCUAGUACAUCUAAUGAUUACUCUGAACAACCACAUGUUGAGAAAGUCCUUGAGAAGUAUGAUAAUGAAGCUCCUAAACGGAGUAAGAGACAGAGGGUUGAAAAUUCCUUUGGUGAUAACUUCAUUGUGUACCUUGUGGACAAUACUCCUACGUCCAUUGUAGAGGCAUUUGCAUCUCAAGAUGCAGAUGACUGGAAAGAAGUUGUCCAUAACGAGAUGGACUCCAUUCUUUCUAAUGGAACGUGGUAAUUAUCUGAGCGACCAUAUGGUUGUAAGCCAGUGGGUUGUAAGUGGGUGUUCAAGAAGAAGCUAAGGCCUGAUGGUACUAGUGAGAAGUACAAGGCACGACUUGUAGCCAAGGGCUACACUCAGCGAGAAGGCGAAGAUUACUUUGACACAUAUUCACAUGUUGCUAGACUAACCACCAUUCGUGUACUACUUUCCCGGGCUGCCUCUUAUGGUCUGAUCGUUCAUCAAAUGGACGUAAAGACAGCUUUCCUUAAUGGAGAGUUCGAAGAGGAAAUCUAUACGGAUCAGCCUGACGGGUUUAUGGUAAAAGGUGAAGAGAAAAAGGUGUGCAAAUUGUUAAAAUCUUUUUAUGGGCUGAAGCAAGCACCUAAGCAAUGUCAUGAGAAGUUCAACAGAACUUUAACUUCUGCGGGCUUUGUCAUUAAUGAGGCUAAUAGGUGCGUUUACUACCGCCGUGGUGGGGGCGAUAGUGUUAUAUUGUGCUUGUAUGUUGAUGACAUACUGAUUUUCGGUACAAGCAUGAGUGUGAUAAACGAGGUCAAGUCUUUCCUAUCAAAGUGCUUUGAUAUGAAGGAUCUGGGAGAAGCUAAUGUAAUUCUGAACAGUAAGCUUAUUAAGGAUGAGAGUGGGAUUACGUUAACGCAAUCACACUAUGUUGAGAAGAUCUUGAGUUGUUUCGGCUUUACUGAUAGCAAGCAUUCUCCAACACCUUAUGAUCCGAGCAUGACACUUUGAAAGAACAAGAGGAUAGAGAGAGAUCAAUUGAGAUACUCUCAAAUAAUCGGUUCACUCAUGUACCUUGCGAGCGCGAUUGGGCCUGACAUCUGCUACUUCUCAAACAACAGCGCCAGAAAUUGACACGUUGAUGGAGAUUGGGCUUGCGUUGGUUUUUCCCUUGAAGAGGAAAGGGUGAUGCAGCACAGGAGCAGUAAGUAUUUCCCUCAGUUUGAGAACCAAGGUAUUGAUCCAGAAGGAGGGUCUCGUCAAGUCCAACGUACCUGCGCAAACACAAACAAACUUGCACCCAACGCUUCAAAGGGGUUGUCAAUCCCUUCAAGAUUGUUUGCAAAAGUGAGAUAUUAAGGCGGAAAGUCCAACGUAGUAAAAAGUGUAAGGCUGAAAAUAUGGUGAGGAGUAGACCCUGGGGGCCAUAGUGUUCACUAGAAACUUCUCUCAAAAUAGCAAGUAUUACGGUGGGUGAACAAAUUAUUGUCGAGCAAUUGAUAGAACCGUGCAAAGUCAUGACGAUAUCUAAGGCAGUGAUCUAGCAUAUAGGCAUCACGUCCGAGACAAGUAGACCGAUACUUUCUCCAUCUUCUACUAUUAAUCCACACAUCGAUCGCUAUCCAGCAUGCAUCUAGUGUAUUGAGUUCAUGACGAACAGAGUAACGCUUUAAGCAAGAUGACAUGAUGUAGAGGGAUAAUCUCAAACCAAUGAUGAAAACCCCAUCUUUUUACCCUUGAUGGCAACAACACGAUACGUGCCUCGCUACCCCUUCUGUCACUUGGUGAGGUCACCGCACAGUAUGAACCCAAAACCAAGCACUUCUCCCAUUGCAAGAAUCGUAGAUCUAGUUGGCCAAACAAAACCCACAACUCGAAGAGAAUUACAAGGAUAUGAAAUCUUGCAUAAGAGAGAUCAGAAGAAACUCGAAUAAGAUUCAUAGAUAAUAUGAUCAUAAAUCCACAAUUCAUCGGAUCUCGACAAACACACCGCAAAAUAAGAUUACAUCGGAUAGAUCUCCAUGAAGAUCAUGGAGAACUUUGUAUUGAAGAUCCAAGAGAGAGAAGAAGCCAUCUAGUUACUAGCUAUGGACCCGUAGGUCUAUGGUGAACUACUCACGCAUCAUCGGAGAGGUCAUGGUGUUGAUGGAGAAUCCUUCCGUGUCUGAAUCCCCCUCUGGCAGGGCACCAGGACGUGCCCCAGAUGGGAUCUUGCCAAGACAGAAGCUUGUGGCGGCGGAAAAGUGAUUACGAUGCUCCCCUGAUUUUUUUUGGGAAUAUUUGGGAAUUUAUAGGCACAAGAUCUAGGUCAGGGGACCUCCAGGGGGCCGACAAGCCUGCAUGGCGCGGCCCCUGAUACGUCUCCAUCGUAUCUACUUUUCCAAACUCUUUUGCCCUUGUUUUGGACUCUAAUUUGCAUGAUUUGAAUGGAACUAACCUGGACUGACGCUGUUUUCAGCAGAAUUGCCAUGGUGUUGUUUUUGUGCAGAAAUGAAAGUUCUCGGAACGUCCUGAAAAUUUACGGAGAAUAUUUCUCGAAAAUAUGAAAAAUACCUGCGCAAAGAUCCACCGGAGGGGAUGGGCCAGAGGGCCACAAGUCGUGUAGCCCCCUCUGGUGGCGGCUACCAAGCUUGUGGGGCCCACAUGGCUCUGCUGCCCCCAAACUUAGCUCUAUAAAUUCACUUUCAUCCCAGAAAAAAUAAAGAUAGAAGAUUUCGUCGCGUUUGCGAUACGGAGACGCCGCCACAUCCUAUUCUUCAUCUGAAGGGCAGAUGUGGAGUCCGUUUUGGGCUUCGGAGAGGGGAAAUCGUCGCCAUCGUCAUCAUCAACCUUCUUCCCUCUCCAAUUCCAUGAAGCUCUUCAUCGUUCGUGAGUAAUCUAUUCAUAGGCUCGCUGGGCGGUAAUGAGUAGGAUGAGAUCUAUCAUGUAAUCGAGUUAGUUUUGACGGGGAUUGAUCCCUAGUAUCCACUAUGUUCUGAGAUUGAUGUUGCUACUACUUUGCCAUGCUUAAUGCUUGUCACUAGGGCCCGAGUGCCAUGAUUUCAGAUCGGAAAUUAUUAUGUUGUUAGCAAUAUAUGUGUGUUGUAGAUCCGAUCUUGCAAGUUGUAGUUACCUACUAUGUGUUAUGAUCCGGCAACCCCGGAGUGACAAUAACCGGAACCACUCCCGGUGAUGACCAUAGUUUGAGGCGUUCAUAUGUUCACCAAGUGCUAAUGCGUUGGUCCGGUUCUUUAUUAAUAGGAGAACCUUAAUAUCGGUAGUUUCCUUUUGGACCCCACCGCCACGGGAGGGAUGAACAGUAGAUGUCAUGCAAGUUCUUUUCCCUAAGCACGUAUGACGACACACAGAAUGCAUGCCUACAUCACAUUGACGAACGGGAGCGAGCCACAUAUCUCUCCGUGUUAUAACUGUUGCAUGAUGAAUGUCAUCUAAACAAAUCACCGACCCAUUGCCUACGAGUUUGUCCCACUGCUGUCGUUACUUGUUUUGCUCUGCUGUUGUUACUACUGUUGCUGCUGCCGUUACUUGUUUUGUUGUGCUGCUGUUACUACUGUUGCUGAUGUCGUUACUUGUUUUGCUCUGCUGCUGUUACUACUGUUGUUGCUUCCAUUACUUGUUUUGCUCUACUGCUGUUACUAUUGUUGCUGAUACUGUUACUUGCUGCUACUGUUACUUGCUUUGUCGUGCUGCAACUCCUACUUGCUACUGUUGCUACUUGCUACUGCUGUCACUACUGUUGUUCCUUGCCACUGAUGUCACUUCUGCUACCUGCUACAAUACUUUUUCUUGCACCGUUGCCGGGAAAGAAUAUUUCCCGUCCACGGGCAACUUUUGGCGCCAUUGAUACGACAGUUAGGAAUAGUCUUCCGUCAAGAGAUCGUUUCUGGCACCGUUGUUACCAUACUACUUUGUUGUUGACACUUUUCUUGCAGAUACUAAUCUUUCAAGUGUGGUUGAAUCUGACACAUUCAGCUGCUAAUACUUGAGAAUAUACUUUCACUUCCCGUCGUGCGAACCAACAAAUUUGGGUUGAAUAGUCUACCCUCAAAAACUGCCUCGAUCCCACGCGAUGGUGGGCUAUUGCAAGACAAUUUCUAAUUGUUGAGCAAUCAAGAAUAGCAUUUUUCUAGCCAUUGCCAGGGAUCUGCUAACAGCAUUUUUCUGGCGCCGUUGUUGGGGAGGCGAUUGCUGUAUUCUCUGAGUCACUUGGGAUUUAUAUCUGUUGAUCACUAUGAAGAAUCUAAAAGAUCCAAAAACCAAAGUUUUGCCCUCAACUACGAGGGGAGGUAAGGAACUGCCAUCUAGCUCUACACUUGAUUCACCUUCAGUUAUGAGUUAGUUUGCGACACCACCUCCUGCUAGAAAUCUUGAUAUGUCGCCUGUGCUUGAUGAUGCUUAUGAUGCUGCUAUGCCUGACACUGUUAGAGAUGCUAUGCCUGGUGAUGCUAGAGAUGCUAUUUUGCCUGAUGAUGUUAUGGUUGAUACUGCUUUGCCUGAUGAUGCUAGAGAUGCUAUUUUGCCUGAUGAUGCUAUGCUUGAUACUGCUAGAGAUACCACUUUGCUUGAUAUGCCACUAGGGGUAUUCCUUGAUGCUCAUAUUGCUAGAGUUACUGCCAAUGCUCGUGAUGCUUCUGAAACUGCCGAUACUAUUAGAUAGAACCUGCUGUUGCUCCUGCUAGAUCUAGCUCUCCUAGAUAUGAAUUGCCUGAUAUACCUGAGGGUUAUGUUAUGGAGGGAGAGAUAGCUGACGAUUUUCUUGCGUGUAAGGAUGCCUAUGACGCUGAGAAAUUCUCUGUCGACCCUGAGAUAAUAUCUCUAGUCGAAUCUGAUCCUUUCCACGGUUAUGAGUCUGAGAUGGCCGUAGCCCAUCUUACCAAACUACACGAUAUAGCCACCCUUUUCACUAGUGAGGAGAAGAUCCGCAACUACUAUAUCCUUAAGUUGUUUCCUUUCUCUCUAAAGGAUGACGCUAAAGCCUGGUUCACUUCUCUUGCUCCUGGAUCUGAAGGAUAUGGUCUGUUACUUCUGUGAGAAAUAUUUCCCAGCCCAUAAGAAGCAAGCUGCCUUGUAGGAAAUAUACAACUUUUCUCAACUCAAAGAAGAGAGUCUCCCACAAGCUUGGGGAAGGCUCAUCCAGCUACAGAAUGCUUUGCCUGAUCACCCUCUUAAGAAGAACGAGAUACUCGAUAUCUUCUAUAACGGACUUACCGAUGCUUCUAGAGACCACCUAGAUAGUUGUGUCGGUUGUGUUUUUAGGGAACGAACUAUAGAACAAGGUGAGGUCCUUCUGAAUAACAUCUUGAUCAACGAUAAUGCUUGGACUAUUCCCGAACCACCUCUUAAGCCAACUCCUAACUAAAGAGGUAUUCUAUUCCUCAGUCCCGGAGAUAUGCAAGAAGCCAAGAAAUAUAUGCAAGAGAAAGGCAUUAGAUCUGAAGAUGUCAAAAAUCUACCACCUAUCGAAGAGAUCCAUGGUCUCUAUAACCCGAUACAAGUAGUAGAAGUGAAUUCUCUGCGUAGGUUUGAUGAGAGUGAUAUUCCUUUUGACAAACCUGCUAGCCUAUGAUUUGAUGAAUUUGACAACUUUGUUGCCAAACAACAGAGUUUCAAUGAUUAUGUUAGCAGACAUUUGGAACAAAGUACUCUUAUGCUUAGGCAUUUAAGUGCUUGUGUUGACAUAAAUGUCAAUGAUCUGAAGCUUCUGAGUAAACAUGCCUCUAUGAUUACUACUCAGGUAGAACAAGUACUUAAAGCUCAAAAUGACUUGUUCAAUGAAUUAAAUGACAACUCUGUCAGAGUCAUUACUAGAGGAGGCAAAAAGACUCAGGAACCAUUGUAUCCUGAAGGCCAUCCUAAGAGAAUUGAUCAAGAUUCUCUAGGAAUUAAUGUUGAUACACCCAGUCAUCCUAAGAAGAAGAAGGAUGAUAGAAACCUACAUGUCAGUUCACCAAAUACUAUCACACCUGAAGAACCAAAUGAUAUUUCUGCGUCUGAUGCAGAAACACAAUCUGGUGAUGAACAUGAACCUGGUGACAAUAUGGACAGCGAUGUUCAUAAUAUUGCUCAACCUAGCAAUGAUGAGGAUGUGGAGAUUGAACCUACGGUUAAUCCUGAUAACCCACAACCUAAGAGAUACGAUAAGAAUGACUUCACUGCUAGGAAGCAUGGUAAAGAAAGAGGGCCAUAGGUUCAGAGACUCAUGCCCUUUCCUCCUAAGCCAUCCAAGAAAAAGGAUGAUGAGGAUUUUGAGCGCUUCAUUGAGAUGAUAAGACUCGUCUUUCUGUAGAUGCGAUUAAUUGAUAUGCUCAAAAUGUCUCCAUAUGCCAAGUACAUGAAAGAUAUCGUGACCAAUAAACAGAAGAUACCAGAUCUUGAGAUCUCCACCAUGCUUGCCAAUUACACUUUCAAAGGUGGAACUCCUAAAAACCUUGGUGAUCCCGGAGUGCCUACUAUACCUUGCUCCAUUAAAGGAAACUACGUAAGAACUCCGUAUGUGACCUUGGAGCCGGUGUUAGUGUUAUGCCGCUCUCUCUUUAUCGUAGACUUGAACUGGAUAAGUUGACACCCACUGAAAUUUCUCUACAAAUGGCCGACAAAUCAACUGCUUUCCCUAUCGGCAUUUGGGAGGAUGUUCCUGUUGUGGUUGCUAACACCACUAUCUUAACAGACUUUGUUAUCUUGGAUAUUCGCGAGGACGAUGCCAUGGCUGUCAUCCUUGGAAGACCAUUUUUAAACACUGCAGGGGCUGUUAUAGAUUGCAACAAAGGCAAUGUCACUUUCCAUGUCAACGGUAAUGAGCAUACAGUGCACUUUCCGAAGAAACGAUAUCAAGUACAUUGCAUCAAUGCUAUCAAAAAAAAUUCAUCGAUUCUUAUUGGGAGCUUUACAUGCCCUAUUCCUCGUGUCAAUAUGAAGUAUGAUUUGCUUGUUGGGGAGAUACAUAUCCCCAUUGAGGUGACUUAGUGGCUAUUCGACAAUUCUCCGUUUCCUCUUGCGAUUUGAAAAGGUUUUUGUCAUGAGGAUUUGAUCAAUCCCAUUGACGGAUUUCUUUCGAUGACCAUGAAAUGGAUGAAUCAAAGAGUCACAUACCUCUGUUUUAAGCUUUCACUUUCUAUUGCCUAGAAGAAAAAUGAUAGAUUUAGUUUAGUUUUUCCUGUUUUAGCGUCCCGGAGAAAAAUACCUCGAAAAUAAAAGUUCUCCGAUGGUCCUGAAAAUCUAGUAUGAUUUUUUCUGAAAUAUUUGAAAAAUACUGGGACUAAGAGCUGGUCUGGGGGCCACGCCAGUGGGCCACAAGCCCUGUAGCCGUCGCCCCCCCCCUCCCCCCUUGGUGGCGGCUACCAAGCUUGUGGGGCCCACAGGGACCCCCUCCACUCAUUCCAGCUCCCAUCCUCUUCUUCCACCUCCAGAAAAAUCGUUUCACAACUCAAACCCGUGUUCUUGCUCAUUUGGCUGUAAUUUUCGAUCUCCUUGCUCAAAGCACCAUUCUCCUAACCGUUUUGGGGAAGUUACUCCUUGGUAAGUGACUCCCCCAUUGGUCCAAUUAGUUUUUGCUCUAGUGCUUUAUCCUUCGCGUAUUCUUGCUACCUUGGUGACCCUGUUCUUGAGCUUGAAAUGUUUAUUUUAGCUGGUCCCCAGUAGUUUUAGCGCGUGAUACUGUCUCUAGGCACUAGUAGGAGUAGUUGCUACGAGUUGGGUUAAUCCUUACUCACUUUUCUUUCGAAGUCUCUAAAAAUUUCAGAAUUUUUCAGAGCUAGAAAAGGAAAAGGAUGAGGAGGUUCUUGAGAGGCUCUUUAAGCCGUACCCCCAAGGAGGAUGAGAAGAACCACCCCAAGUACGUAGUUCCUUGAGUCACAGAAGUUCGAGCGUGCGAGUGGCCAAGUGAUGAAUUUUUACGCGCCGCUGGGCUUUAUGAAGACUUUUAUUACUUGGUGGAGAACACAGGUCUUACCGCGUUCGUUGAAGAUAAGUGCUCACAAUACCUCCUCCUCACCAAUAUUUUCGUUCGAAGCUUCAACUUUUAUCCGAGGAAGAAUCCUCCCAUGGUUGAGUUCAUGUUAUACGACAUCCCCCAAUGCAUGAUGCUACAGGAUUUUUGCAAUGUAUGCAAAUUACCUUAUGUUGGGGAUAUUCAUGACCCUCGUCCACGGGACUUGGAGGAUUUCAUAGGUAUUGUUGUUGUUGGAGACGAGAGAGGAGUGUCUCGCGCUAGAAUUGCCAGCAUACAUUUUCCUGUGCUUCGGUAUUUCUCAUUAUUUGUGGGAAAAUGUUUGAUUAGCCGUGGAGAGGCUGGAUCACUUAGCUCUCCAGACCUUGCGGUUUUGCGCGAAGGCCUUUAUAAUGAUAAGACUUAUAGCCUAGGUGCUAUAGCAGCUCAGCGGUUGAACACAAACCGUUCCAAGGAUGUCGUCUAUGGAGGUAUCUAUGCUACCCGUCUUGCCAGACACUUUGAGAUACCCGUUAGACUGGGGGAGGAAGGAGAGAUGCUUCUUCCUGAGAAAUAUCUGGAUUAUGACAGCAUGGUUCUCCAUGAUUUUCUGGAUAGAGAUGCUAGUAGACGGAAGAUUUAUAACCUGGUAUUUAGUCAGGGUACUCGAGAGACUAUUACUUUGCCUGCUCCUUCUUCGUUUGAUCUUCAUGCAGGCAGAUACACUAUUAUGCCCUCGGACAUCUACGCAUAUUGGGGCUUGGCCCAACUGCUACUGCAACAAAAUACCUUCCAACGGCGCCAGAAACACAUGCUGAUGGGAGACUAUUCUUGUCUUGAUUCUCCUCAGCAACGGCACCAGGAAUCCUUCUGCUACGGCUACGCCAUUAGGGACUUCCUAGCCAAAUAUUCAAAGGAUUCCCCCGUGGCCUUGGAGCCUUGCGUUGGUGUUCCCUCGAAGUGGAAAGGGUGAUGUAGCGUAGCGGUGGUAAGUAUUUACCUCAGUUUUGAGAACCAAGGUAUCAAUCCAGUGAAGGAGUAUCACAAGUACCUGCACAAACACAAAAAGCUUGCUCCCAACACUAUGAAGGGGUUGUCAAUCGCUUAUAGAUUGUUUGCCACAUGAGAACUGAAAGCAACAAAGUAACAAAGCAAAGUAAAAGCGAAAGUGGAAACAAUAGGUGUGAAUAGACCCGGGGGCCGUAGUGUUCACUAGUGGCUUCUCUCAUGAAAGCAAGUAGAUGGUGGGUGAACAAAUUAUUGUCGAGAAAUUGAUAGAACCACGCAAAGUCGUGACAUCAUCUAUGGCAAUGAUUAUAUCUAUAGGCAUCACGUCCAAUAUAAGUAGACCGAUACUUUCUGCAUCUACUACUAUUACUCCACACGUCGAUCGCUAUCCAGCAUGCAUCUAGUGUAUUAAGUCCAAACGAACAGAGUAACGCCUUAAGCAAGAUGACAUGAUGUAGAUGGACAAUCUCAUAUCUACGACAAGCCCAUCUUGUUACCCUUGAUGGCAACUACACGAUGUGUGCUUGCUGCCCUUUCUGUCACUGGGAAAGGUCACCACAUGGUAUGAACCCAAAACCAAGCACUUCUCCCAUUGCAAGAAUCAUAGAUCUAGUUGGCCAAACAAAACCCAAGACUCGGAGAGACUUACAAGGAUAUCAAAUGAUGCAUAAAAGAAAUCAGGAAAGACUCAAAUAUAUAUCAUAGAUAAUCUGAUCACAAAUCCACAAUUCAUCGGAUCUCGACAAACACACUAUCAAAGAGGAUUACAUCGGAUAGAUCUCCAUGAAGAUCAUGGAGAACUUCGUAUUGAAGAUCCAAGAGAGAGAAGAAGCCAUCUAGCUACUAACUGCGGACCCGUAGGUCUGAAGUGAUCUACUCACGAGUCAUUGGAGGGGUGAUGAUGUUGAUGUAGAAGCCCUCCAACUCCAAAGUCCCCUCCGGCAGGGCACCGGGAAGGGUCUCCAGAUGAGAUCUCGCGGAAACGGAAGCUUGCGGCGGCGGAAAAGUGUUUUCAUGGAUUCCUUGAUUUUUUCUGUAUUUUAGGGAAUAUAUAGGCGAAGGAGCUAGGUAGAGGGUCCUCAGCUAUCUCCCCCUGUAGCUCUCUUGGCUUGGCCCUCAAGCCCCCUAAUCUUCUUCCGUUCGGGAAAAAAUUAUUUCGGGGAUUUUAUUCCGUUUGGACUCCGUUCCAAAAUUAGAUCUGAAAAGGGCCAAAAACACAGAAAAAACAGGAACUGGCACUUGGCACUGAAUUAGUAAGUUAGUCCCAAAAAAGAUAUAAAAGGUACAUAAAACAUCCAAAGAUGACAAGAUAACAGCAUGAAACCAUCAAAAAUUAUAGAUACGUUUGAGACGUAUCAAGCAUCCCCAAGCUUAACUCCUGCUCGUCCUCGAGUAGGGAAGUGAUAAAGAGUGAAUUUUUUAUGCUUUCAUGCUACCUAGCAUAGAUGUCCUUUGUAACUCCUCUUAUGUGACGCGAAUGUUCAGAUCCAUUAGAUCCAAAACAAUAGUUUGCUAUUUACGUGGAAACAAUAAUACUUCAAGCAAACUAGCAAGGUAAUCAUGAACUUUCAAAAUAACAAGGCCAAAAGAAAGUUAUCCCUACAAAAGCAUAUAGUCUGGCUAUGCUCUAUCGUCAUUGCACAACGAACUUAAAUCAUUCACAACCCCGGUAUUGGCCGAGUAAUUCUUUUCACACCUUUACUUUCUCAAACCUUUUCAACUCUCACGCAAUACAUGAGCGUGAGCCAUGGUUUUAGCACUAUAAGUGGUGUGGAGUGUGGUAGAGGUUGCAAGACAAACAAGGAGAAGAUCAUCACAUUAACUAGGCAUAUCAAUGAGCUGCGGAGAUGCUCAUCAAUAGAUGUCAAUGUGAAUGAGUAGGUAUUGCCAUACAAAUGAUGCACUAGAGCUAGGAAUAUGUGAAAGCUCUUAGAGAAAACUAGUGGGUGUGCAUCCAACUUGCUUGCUCAUGAAGACCUAAGGCAAUUUUGAGGAAGCCUAUCAUUGGAAUAUACAAGCCAAGUUAUGUAAUGAAAAUUUCCCACUAGCUAUAUCGUGGUGACAAAACGAGAGACUCUCAAUCAUGAAGAUCAUGGUGCUUAAUAAGCACAAGUGUGGAAGGAUAGUAGCACUGUACCNACUUAGAGCAACGAUGACUCUAUAUGGAAUGCCUUCGGUAGUGUACCGUGGCAAUGAUCUAGCAUGGCAUAGACAUUAAUGGAAACAUCAUGCUAGCUAUCUUACGAUCAUGCAAUGACAAUGUAGAAGUGGUGGCACAUGUCAUGGUGGUAGUUGCAUUGCAAUAUAUCUCGGAAUGACUUUGAAAAAGCCAUAGUAGGUAGGUAUGGUGGCUGUUUUGAGGGAGGCUAAUGAUGGGUUUUGUGCACCGACGAAAGUUGCACGGCACUAAGAAGAUAGUGAUGGUGGAAGGUGAAAGUGCAUCUAAACCAUGGACUCAAAAUUAGUCAUGAAGAACUCAUAUACUUGUUGAAAAAGUUUUAUUAGUAAUCGAAACAAAGCAUUCAACGCAUACUCCGAGGGGAAGGGUUGGUAGGUAUAAACCUCAUGCGAUCCUGACCGCCACGCAAAGGAUGACAAUCAAUAGACUAAUCAUGCUCAGAUUUCAUCACGUAGCGGUUCACCAUACGAGCAUGCUACGGGAAUCAUUAACUUCAACACAAGUAUUUCUAGAUCCACAGCACCUUACUGGCAUAACUUCAAUAUUACCACAACCACAACUCAAAACUAAUUGAGAUGAAUCAAACUUCUCUAACUAUUGAAUGCACAUGAAGGUGGAAGUUUUCAUAUCCCUUUGGAUAACUACCCCUUUUGAGACUACUUUCAAAGCAUAAAUCAACUACCAAGCCAUGCACCGCCGUGCUCUAAAAGAUAUAAGUGAAGCACAUAGAGCAAAAUCAACUAGCUCAAAAGAUAUAAGUGAACCACAUGUGAGCUGAAUUGUCUACCAAAGGAUAUAAGUGAAGCUCGACAAAAUCACGGUGAGUGCAUGUCUCUCUCUCUAGGUGUGCAGCAAGGAUGAUUGUGACACAACAAAAAUAAAAGACUCCUACGAUACAAGACGCUCCAAGCAAAACACAUAACAAGUGGUGAAUAAAAAUAUAGCCCCAAGUAACGUUACUGAUGGAUUGAAGACGAAAGAGGGGAUGCCUUCCCGGGGCAUCCCGAAGCUUAGGCUUUUACGGCAUCCUUGAAUCUCUUGGGGUGCCUUGGGUAUCCCCAAGCUUGAGCUCUUUCCACUCUUUUUCUCUUUGUCCAUAAGAACUUCACCCAAAACUUGAAAACUUCACAACACGAAACUUAAACAGAAACUCGUGAUAACAUUAGUAUAAGAAAGCAAACCACCACUUCCUUAGUUACUAUAGCAAACUUUAAUUCUACUUAUGUUGAUGUUGGGUUACUGUAUCUUCAAUCUUCCAUGGCUAAUACCCCCCCCCCCCCGAUAAUAUCCAUAAUUUCAUCAAAAUAAGCAACCAACACAGCUAAAACAGAAUCUGUUAACAGCAGACCAGUCUGUAGCAAUCUGUAUACUUCGUAUACUUAUGUACUUCACAAAUUCUGAACAGUUACGACAGUCUGAAGAAUUUGCGUAGCAAUCAGCAGCAUAAAGAAUCAACUCAAAAGCUCUUACAGAAAAAAAAAUUCGUGAGCAGAAAGUUUCUGUCUUUUCCAACAUGACCAAACGAUCAUCCCCAAGACUAAUCGUAACGGUUUUGCUUGGCACAAACACAAAAAGAAACACAAAAAACACAAUCAUAACAGAAUUAUGAAAGUGUGGAAAGCAUAAACCAGAAAGAAAAAGGAUAGAUUCGUUGGGUUGCCUCCCAACAAUCGCUUUUGUUUAACGCCCUUAGCUAGGCAAAAGAUGAUGGAAUCAUGUAUAGUCAUCUCUUGUUGCUCAAACCAUAAGUAGCCCUCAUCGUAGAUUCAUAAGGCAAUCUUAUUUUAUUUCUAGGAAAGUGCUCCAUGCCCUUCUUUAGAGGAAAUUGAAAUCUAAUAUUCCCUUCCUUCAUAUCGAUGAUAGCACCAAUAGUCCUUAGGAAAGGUCUACCAAGAAUAAUGGGACAUGAAGGAUUGCAAUCUAUGUCAAGUACAAUGAAAUCCAUGGGUACAUAGUUCUUAUUUGCAACAAUAAGAACAUCAUCGAUCCUUCCCAUGGGUUUCUUGACAGUAGAAUCCGCAAGAUGCAAAUUAAGAGAACACUCUUCAAUCUCAUGAAAACCAAGAAUAUCACAUAAAGACUUUGGAAUCGCGGAAACACUAGAACCCAAAUUACAUCAAGCAUUGCACUCAUAUUUUUUUAUUUUGAUUUUGAUAGUAGGUUCCCACUCAUCAUGAAGUUUUCUAGGUAUAGAGACUUCUAGUUCGAGCUUCUCUUCAAGAGAUUUCAUCAUAGCAUCUACGAUAUGCGCGGUAAAGGCUUUGCUUUGGCUAUAAGCACGUGGAGAGUUUGCAAUGGAUUGCAUCAAAGAAAUGCAUUCAAACAAGGAGAAAUUAUCAUAAUUGAAUUCCCUGAAAUCCAAAGUGGGAGUUUCAUUACUACCCAAAAUUUUGAUUUCUUCUACUCCACUCUCCACAACUUUAUCAUCAAGAUGGGUGGACUCCGAAUCAUUGGGGCGUUUUUCAACCAAAGUGGAUUCAUAUCCAUCCCCUUCAUCAAUAGGUUUGACACGCGAAAACAAAGACUCAAGAGGAAUCACACCAAGCACUUUAAGAUCUUCGUGAUUUGCAUCACUAGGACGCACCCUUUUAAACCAUUCAUGCCUAGCGCGAAUUUGGGCGUUCUUUCUUUGCUCGCAUUCAUGGAGACACGCAUAGCUUUCAAAGUUUCGUCCAAGUUGACCUUGGGAGGAGCACAUCUAACUUUCAAAGCAUCAAUAUCACAAGACAUCCUACCAACAAAGUUUCCUCUAAAAGCAUUGUUGUUGCACAAAUUGUUCCUACCAACAAAGUUAACGUCCAAACUAGCAUUGCUACUCUCAAUCAAGGAAGAUAGUUGCAUGUCAUUAGGAUCUAAAGGAGAGUUUCUACUAGCAACCAAAUUCAUCAACUCGUCCAUCUUAGCACUAAGCGAGUUAAUUUCUUCUAUAGCGUGUACCUUUUUGCUAGCACGUGACCUUUCAGUGUGCCACUGAGAGUAGUUGGUCAUGAUAUUGUCUAGGAGUUUUGUAGCGUCUCCUAACGUGAUUUCCAUGAACGUUCCACCUGAGGCGGAGUCCAAGAUAUUGCGAGAAGCGAAAUUCAAGCCAGCGUAAAAGAUUUGUAUAAUCAUCCACAAACUCAAGCCAUGAGCGGGACAAUUUCUAAUCAUAAGCUUCAUCCUCUCCCAAGAUUGUGCAACGUGUUCAUGAGCAAGUUGCUUGAAAUUCAUGAUAUCAUUACGUAAGGAUAUAAUCUUAGCCGGCGGAAAAUACUUGGAUAUGAAAGCAUCUUUGCACUUAUCCCAAGAAUGGAUACUAUUUUUAGGCAAAGAAGAAAACCAAGUUUUUGCGCGAUCUCGCAACGAGAAAGGAAAAAGCUUCAACUUAAUCACGUCAUUAUCCACAUCUCUUUUCUUUUGCAUAUCGCAAAGCUCAAUGAAGGUAUUGAGAUGGGAUGCGGCAUCUUCACUAGGAAGGCCAGAGAAUUGCUCUUUCAUAACAAGAUUCAGCAAGGCUGCGUUGAUUUCAUACGAUUCCGCACUAGUGGCAGGAGCAAUCGGAGUACUAAUAAAAUCAUUAUUAUUGGUACUCGGGAAGUCGCAAAGUUUGGUGUUUUCAGCCAUGAUGACUUCAACAAACAAGCAAGCACACAAGCAAGCAAGAAAACCAGCAAAGGAAAACGGCAAAAAGGCAAAUGGCAAAAGAAAACGGAAAAGGAGAAAGGCAAAUGAAAACGGCAAAUGUGAAGUGGGGGAGAAGAAAACGAGUGGCAACUUGCAAAAAAGUAAAUGCAAGAGAUGAGUUUGUGAGACCUACUUGGAUAGAUCUCUCCUUCCCCGGCAACGGUGCCAGAAAUACUUCUGCUACUGCAACAAAAGACCUUCCAACGGCGCCAGAAACACGUGCUGACGGGAGACUAUUCUUGUCUUGAUUCUCCUCAGCAACGGCACUAGGAAUCCUUCUGCUACGGCUACGCCUUUAGGGACUUCCUAGGAAAAUAUGCAAAGGAUUCCCCCGUGGCCUUGGAGCCUUGCGUUGGUGUUCCCUCGAAGUGGAAAGGGUGAUGUACCGUAUCGGUGGUAAGUAUUUCCCUCAGUUUUGAGAACCAAGGUAUCGAUCCAGUGAAGGAGUAUCACAAGUACCUGCACAAACACAAAAAGUUUCCUCCCAACGCUAUGAAAGGGUUGUCAAUCCCUUAUAGAUUGUUUGCCAAGUGAGAACUGAAAGCAACAAAGUAACAAAGCAAAGUAAAAGCGAAAGUGGAAAUGAUAGGUGUGAAUAGACCCGGGGGCCGUAGUGUUCACUAGUGGCUUCUCUCAUGAAAGCAAGGAGACGGUGGGUGAACAAAUUACUGUCGAGCAAUUGAUAGAACCGCGCAAAGUCGUGACAUCAUCUAUGGCAAUGAUUAUAUCUAUAGGCCAAAACAAGUAGACCGAUACUUUCUGCAUCUACUACUAUUACUCCACACGUCGACCGCUAUCCACCAUGCAUCUAGUGUAUUAAGUCCAAAAGAACAGAGUAACGCCUUAAGCAAGAUGACAUGAUGUAGAUGGACAAUCUCAUAUCUACGACAAAGCCCAUCUUGUUACCCUUGAUGGCAACUACACGAUGUGUGCCUUGCUGCCCUUUCUGUCACUGGGAAAGGUCACCACACGGUAUGAACCCAAAACCAAGCACUUCUCCCAUUGCAAGAAUCAUAGAUCUAGUUGGCCAAACAAAACCUAAGACUCGGAGACACUUACAAGGAUAUCAAAUCAUGCAUAAAAGAAAUCAGAAAGACUCAAAUAUAUAUCAUAGAUAAUAUGAUCACAAAUCCGGAAUUCAUGGGAUCUCGACAAACACACCGCCAAACAGGAUUACAUCAGAUAGAUCUCCAUGAAGAUCAUGGAGAACUUUGUAUUGAAGAUCCAAGAGAGAGAAGAAGCCAUCUAGCUACUAACUACCCCCCCCUAGGUCUGAAGUGAACUACUCACGAGUCAUUGGAGGGGCGAUGAUGUUGAUGUAGAAGCCCUCCAACUCCAAAGUCCCCUCCGGGCACCGGGAAGGGUCGCCAGAUGAGAUCUCACAGAAACGGAAGCUUGCGGCGCCGGAAAAGUGUUUUCGUGGAUUCCCUCAUUUUUUCUGUAUUUUAGGGAAUAUAUAGGCGAAGGAGCUAGGCCAGGGGGCGCUAGGGAGGCCACAAGCCUGCUAGCCGCCCCCCUGGUGGCGGCUAUAGGGCUUGUGGGCCCCCUGUAGCUCUCCUGGCUUGGCCCUCAAGCCCCCUGAUCUUCUUCCAUUCGGGAAAAAAUUAUUUCGGGGAUUUUAUUCCGUUUGGACUCCGUUCCAAAAUCAGAUCUGAAAAGAGCCAAAAACACAGAAAAAACAGGAACUGGCACUUGGCACUGAAUUAAUAAGUUAGUCCCAAAAAGAUAUAAAAGGUACAUAAAACAUCCAAAGAUGACAAGAUAACAGCAUGAAACCAUCAAAAAUUAUAGAUACGUUUGGGAUGUAUCACCAACCACAGGUGCCCGUGCCCGAGCCGCCAGUCGAGUACCAGACGCCAGUUUAUCAGUGGGAGCCAGAGGAGCUCACACAGCAGUGGCAUCUACAGUCUGCUCCGGAGUAUCCUGGAGCUGGUUAUUUCCCGCCUUGGGAGUAGACCAAGCUGGGCCAAAAGCCUAAGCUUGGGAGAGUACGUAUUCUCACCGACCUUACAUUCAUGCUUAUGCUUUCACUUUGUUAGUCGGUGUUUACACAUUACCACUGUAUUAUCCAUGCUAGUUUAUUUUCGUUUUCUUGUCUUGUGUCCUUUUGAAAAAACCCAAAAAGAUUUUUCUUUCAUCUCUUGCUUGUUGGGAGUUUUCCUGUGUAAAUAGUUUUCUUUUUCUUUGGGUCAAGGUAGAAGAUAUUGGUUACAAUGUUUAGUGGCUUUUGCAUGCAUACCUGUUUAGCUUUCAAAGAGCCAUAUUACUUUGUCUUCUCCUUUGUGUUUGCCUGCAGAUUCAGCUUAGUCCAAUGCACGAGCACUCUUAUUAUUGUUCUCGUUCGAUCGUGCAAGUGAAAGGCAAUAAUGAUGAUAUAUGAUGAAGUGACUAAGACUGGAAAAGCUGGUAUGAACUCUAUUUGUUUUGUUUUUGUAAAUAUGACUAGCUUGUCGUCCCAGAUUCAGCUAUGUUGUGAGAGAACCAUGUUUGCAAUGACAACUUAGAGAUCAUAGUUUCUCAUGCCAUGCUUAAUUAGCUGAGAGCUUAUAAUGGUUUGUCUUGAAUGCCAACAUAGAUUUUGAGAUGACUAUGAUGUAGUAUGAUAGGAUGGUAUUCUCCUUUGAAUGAUUCAAGUGGCUUGACUUGGCGCAUGUUCAUGCAUGUAGUUGAAACAAAAUCAACAUAGCCUCUAUGAUGUUCGUAUUCGUGGUGAUUUAUAUCAUGUUCAUGCUUGCACUCAAUGUUAGUCAAACUCAUUGCAUCUUGAUGACUGUUGUCGCUCUCUAGUUGGUCGCUUCCCAGUCUUUUGCUAGCGUUCACUUGUACUAAGCGGAAGACUGCUUGUGCAUCCACUUCCAUAAACCCAAAAGUUUUUCCAUGAGAGUCCACCAUACCUACCUAUUUGCGGUAUCUACCUGCCGUUCCAAGUAAAUUUGCAUGUGCCAUUCUCUAAACCUUCAAGAAAUAAUCUGUUUUGCAUGCCCGGACCGCUCAUGUGGUGACAGGGGGCUAUUUGUAUCUUCCAUGUUAGGCGUGUUAUCCUCGACAUGUGUUUAUUCACUGUCAUUCACGAGAAAGGGGCCGGUAAUUGGAAUGCCCAAUUCCACGCUUAAAUCGAAAACAUAACUGUAAAACACGACUCCCCCCGGAUUGAUGUUAGUAUGGACAGUACCCGAGGAUUCGGCUAGCCGUGGAGUGUGAUUGAUUGGUGGUGGGGGAGUUAAAACUUUACUUUUCUGUUUGGGAACCACCUAUAGCAUGAGUAGCAUGGAAGAUAUUGAGAACUCUUGGUCAUUGCAUUGACAAUGAAAGCAUGCCACGCAAAAUUAGUAUCUCUGUUUUUAAAGGUUGAGCUCUGGCACGUCUGCAAAUCAAUGCUUCCCUCUGCGAAGGGCCUCUCUAUUUAUUUUCCUGUUGAGUCAUCCUAAGGUCCAAUUAGAGCGCACCUCUAUCAUUUUUAUGCUUUGCUUUUGAUUGAUAUUGAGUAUGACUAUGACUGGAUCUUCGUUGCUAUGAAUUACAAUGUUUAGUCAGCCCUUGAUCUUUGAAAGUGCUCUGCAUUUAUGUUUUGCGGUCUCAGAAAGAGCUAGCGAGAUACCACUUAUUCAUAUUGCUUCAUGCUUGUUUUGAUUGAAUUGUUGGUAUCUAAAACUCAUUAUUAUUUUCUCGCUAGCUGAUUAUGCCAUUGAUAUUAGUUUACCGUGAGACCUUUGUGUCACUUGCUUAUGUGGUUAACUUGUGAUCUUGCUGAAAUUAUGGUUAUGAGUUAGACAUAGUUGCAACAACAAGAUCAAACAGAGUUUGUCAAAGUUUUCCUUUCUCUUUCAGUUUGUCAACUGGGUUGCUUGAGGACAAGCAAGGUUUUAAGCUUGGGGGAGUUGAUACGUCUCCAUUGUAUCUACUUUUCCUAACUCUUUUCCCUUGUUUUGGACUCUAAUUUGCAUGAUUUGAAUGGAACUAACCUAGACUGACGUUGUUUUCAGUAGAAUUGCCAUGGUGUUGUUUUUCUGCAGAAAUGAAAGUUCUCGGAACGUCCUGAAAAUAUGAAAAAUACCUGCGCAAAGAUCCACCGGAGGGGAUGGGCCAGUGGGCCAAAAGCCCUGUAGCCCCCCCCCCCCGGUGGCGGAUAGGGGGCUUGNGUUGUGGCGGCUACCAAGCUUGUGGAGCCCACGUGGCUCUGCCGCCCCCAAACUCAGCUAUAUAAAUCCACUUUCGUCCCAGAAAAAAUAAAGAGAGAAGAUUUCGUCGCGUUUGCGAUACGGAGGUGCCGCCACAUCCUGUUCUUCAUCUCGAGGGCAGAUCUGGAGUCCGUUUUGGGGUGUGGAGAGGGGAAAUCGUCGCCAUCGUCAUCAUCAACCUUCUUCCCUCUCCAAUUCCAUGAAGCUCUUCAUCGUUCGUGAGUAAUCUAUUCAUAGGCUCGCUGGGCAGUGAUGAGUAGAAUGAGAUCUAUCAUGUAAUCGAGUUAGUUUUGACGGGGAUUGAUCCCUAGUAUCCACUAUGUUCUGAGAUUGAUGUUGCUACUACUUUGCCAUGCUUAAUGCUUGUCACUAGGGCCCGAGUGCCAUGAUUUCAGAUCUGAAAUUAUUAUGUUGUCACCAAUAUAUGUGUGUUUUAGAUCCGAUCUUGCAAGUUGUAGUUACCUACUAUGUGUUAUGAUCCGGCAACCCCGGAGUGACAAUAACCGGAACCACUCCAAGUGAUGACCAUUGUUUGAGGAGUUCAUGUGUUCACCAAGUGCUAAUGCGUUGGUCCGGUUCUUUAUUAAAAGGAGAACCUUAAUAUCCCGUAGUUUCCUUUUGGACCCCGCUGCCACGGGAGGGAUGGAUAAUAGAUGCCAUGCAAGUUCUUUUCCCUAAGCACGUAUGACGACAAACGGAAUGCAUGCCUACAUCACAUUGACGAACGGGGGCUAGCCACAUAUCUCUCCGUGUUAUAACUGUUGCAUGAUGAAUUCCAUCCAAACAAAUCACCGACCCAUUGGCUACGAGUUUGUCCCACUGCUGUCAUUACUUGUUUUGCUCUGCUAUUGUUACUACUGUUGCAGCUGUCGUUACUUGUUUUGCUCUGCUGCUGUUACUACUCUUGCUGUUGCCGUUACUUGUUUUGCUCUGCUGCUGUUACUACUGUUGCUGCUGCGUUACUUGUUUUGCUCUGCUGCUGUUACUACUGUUGCUGCUACUGUUACUUGUUGCUACUGUUACUUGCUUUGUUCUGCUGCUGCUGCUACUACUGCUACUUGCUACUGUUGCUACUUGCUACUGCUGUCACUACUGUUGUUCCUUGCCACUGCUGUCACUACUGCUACCUACUACAAUACUUUUUCUCGCACCGUUGCCAGGAAAGAAUAUUUCCCGUCCACGGGCAACUUUUGGCGCCAUUGAUACGAAAGUUAGGAAUAGUCUGCCGUCAACAGAUCGUUUGUGGCACCGUUGUUAUCAUACUACUUUGUUGUUGACACUUUGCUUGCAGAUACUAAUCUUUUCGGUGUGGUUGAAUCUGACACAUUCAACUGCUAAUACUUGAGAAUAUACUUUCACUUCCCGUCAUGCGAACCAACAAAUUUGGGUUGAAUACUCUACCCUCUAAAACUGCCUCGAUCCCACGCGCUGGUGGGCUAUUGGAAGACAAUUUCUAAUUGUUGAAAAAUCGAGAACAGCAUUUUUCUAGCCAUUGCCAGGGAUCUGCUAACAGCCCCCCUGGCCGCGGGGUGGGGGCUUGUGGGGUCCCUGGGGCUCUUCUGACUUGGCCCCCAAGCUCUCCGAUGUUGUUCCAUUCCAGAAAAAAUAUUUUCGGGGAUUUUCUUCCGUUUGGACUCCGUUUCAAAAUCUCCUCUGAAAGGGGUCAAAAACAUGGAAAAACACGAACUGUCACUUGGCACUGAGUUAAUAGGUUAGUCCCAGAAAAUAAAUAAAAGUCAUGCAAAACAUCCAAAGUUUGACAAGAUAAUAGCAUGAAACCAUCAAAAAUUAUAGAUACGUUGGAGACGUAUCAAGCAUCCCCAAGCUUAACUCCUGCUCGUCCUCGAGUAGGGAAGUGAUAAAGAAUGAAUUUUUGAUGUGGAAUGCUACCUAGCAUAGUUGUCCUUUGCAACUUCUUUCACGUGGCAUGAAUGUUCAGAUCCAUACGAUUCAAAACAAUAGUUUGCUAUUGACAUGAAAACAGUAAUACUUCAAGCAAACUAGCAAAGUAAUCAUGAACUUUCAAAAUAACAAGGCCAAAGAAAGCUAUCCCUACAAAAUCAUAUCGUCUGGCUAUGCUCCAUCAUCCUCACACAACUAAUGUAAAUCAUGCACAACCUCGGAAUUGGCCAAGUAAUAGUUUUUGCACUCUUACUUUCUGAAACUUUUUAUAACUAUCACGCAAUACAUGAGCGCGAGCCAUGGAUAUAGCACUAUAAGUGGAAUAGAGUGUGUUGGUGGUUGUGAGACAAAAAGGAGGAGAUGGUCACAUUGACUCGGCGUAUCAAUAGGCUAUGGAGAUGCCCAUUAAUAGAUAUCAAUGUGAAUGAGUAGGGAUUUCCAUACAAGAGAUUCACUAGAGCUAUAAGUAUGUGAAAGCUCAAGAGGAAAACUAGUGGGUGCGCAUCCAACUUGCUUGCUCACGAAGACCUAGGGCAAUUUUGAGGAAUCCCAUCAUUGGAAUAUACAAACCAGGUUAUAAAACGAAGAUUCCCACUAGCAUAUGGUAGUGACAAAGCAAGAAGCUCUCAAUCAUGAAGAACAUGGUGCUUAUUAUGAAGCACAAGUGUGGAAAAAGAUAGUAGCAUUGUCCCUUCUCUCUUUUAAUCUCAUUUCUUUUUUUGGGCUCUUAGGCCUCUUUUUUCUUUUCUCUCCUUUUUUUGUUUUGGGCUCUUUGGCCUAUUUUUUUAUCUUUUUAUUUCCUCAUAUGGGACAAUGCUCUAAUAAUGAUGAUCAUCACACUUUAUAGUUACUCACAGCUCAAAGAUCACAAUGAUGAUGACUCCAUAGGAAAUGCCUCCGGCAGUGUACCGGGAUGUGCAACAAUCUAGUAUGAUCAUGCAAUGGGAAUAUGAGAGUGACGGCACAAGUCAUGAGACGGAACAGUGGUAGUUGCAGGGCAAUAUAUCUCGGAAUGGCUAUGAAAAUGCCAUAGUAGGUAGGUAUGGUGGCUGUUUUGAGGAAGGAAUUUGGUGUGUUUGUGCACCGGCGAGAAUUGCGCGGCGCUAGAGAGGCUAGCAAUGGUGGAAGGUGAAAGUGCAUCUAUACCAUGGACUCAACAUUAGUCAUAAAGAACUCACAUACUUGUUGCAAAAGUUUUUAUUAGUAAUCGAAACAAAAUGCUAAACGCAUGCUCCGAGGGGAAGGGUUGGUAGGUGUUAACCAUCGCGCGAUCCCGACCUCAACACAAAGGAUGACAAUCAAUAGACCAAUUAUGCUCCGACUUCCUAACAUAGCGGUUCACCAUACGUGCAUGCUACGGGAAUCACUAACUCCAACACAAGUAUCUCUAGAUUCACAACACCCUACUAACAUAACUUUUAAUAUUACAGAAUCCACGUCUCAAAACUAAUUGAGAGGAACCAAAACUUCUCUUUCUACUCAAUGCACAUGAAGAUGGAGGUUUUUGCAUCCUCUUUGGGUACCUAGCACAUGGGACUACUUUCAUAGCAUAAGACAACUACCAAAUCACGCAUCGUCGUGCUCUAAAGAUAUAAGUGAAGCACAAGAGCAAAAGUAUCUAGCUCAAAAGAUAUAAGUGAAGCACUAGAGCAAAAGUAUCUAGCUCAAAAGAUAUAAGUGAAGCACUAUGAGCAUUCUAGCAAAAUCACGAUGAGCGCAGGUCUCUCUCUCAAAAAGGUGUGCAGCAAGGAUGAUUUUGACACAACAAAAAGAAAAGACUCUUAUGAUAGAAGACGGUCCAAGCAAAACACAUAUCAUGUGGUGAAUAAAAAUAUAGCUCCAAGUAAUGUUACCAAUGGAUUGAAGACGAAAGAGGGGAUGCCUUCCCGGGGCAUCCCCAAGCUUAGGCUUUUUGGCGUCCUUGAAUUUGGCUUGGGGUGCCUUGGGCAUCCCCAAGCUUGAGCUCUUUCCACUCCUUAUCUCUUUGUCCAUGAGAACGUCACCCAAAACUUGAAAACUUCACAACACAAAACUUAAACAGAAACUUGUGAUAACAUUAGUAGAAGAAAACAAACUACCACUUCUUUUGGUACUGUAACAAACUUGAAUUCCAUCUAUAUUGAUGAUGAGCUACUGUAGUCUCAAUUUCCCAUGGCUAGUACACCCCGAUACCAACCAUAGUUUCAUCAAAACAAGCAACCAACUCAACAAAAACAGAAUCUGUCAAAAACAGACUAGUCUAUAGCAAUCUGUAUACUUCGUAUACUUCUGGUACCUCAAAAAAUCUGAAACAUUACGACGGUCUAGGGAAAAAGCAUAUAAAUCAGCAGUAAAAAUAAUCAACUGAAAAUCUCUUUCUUAAUAAAAAUGAAAAAUCAUCUCGUGAGCGAAAAUUUAUGUCUUUCUCCAGCAAGAUCAAACAACCAUUACCAAGACCAAUCAUAAAGGUUUUGCUUGGCUCAAACACAAAAAGAAACACAAAAAACACAAUCACAACAGAAUUGUGAAAGUGUGGACGCAACAAAACAGAAAGAAAAAGAUAAAUUCAUUGGGUUGCCUCCCAACAAGCGCUAUUGUUUAACGCCCUUAGCUAGGCAUAGUAGCGAUAGAAUCACGUAUCGUCGUCUUUGCUGCUCAAACCAUAAGUGGCCCUCAUCAUGGAUUCAUAAGGCAAUCUUAUUUUCUUUCUAGGAAAGUGUUCCAUGCCCUUACUUAAAGUAAAUUGAAAUCUAAUAUUCCCUUCCUUCAUAUCGAUGAUAGCACCGAUAGUCCUUAGGAAAGGUCUAUCAAGAAUAAUAGGGCAUGUAGGAUUGCAAUCAAUGUCAAGCACAAUGAAAUCCACGGGUACAUAGUUCCUAUUUCCAAUAAUAAGAACAUCAUUUAUCCUUCCCAUGGGUUUCUUGAUAGUAGAAUCAGCAAGAUGCAAAUUAAGAGAACACUCUUCAAUCUCAUUAACACCCAGAAUAUCACAUAAAGACUUUGGAAUCACAGAAACACUAGCACCCAAAUCACACAAAGCAUUGCACUCAUAGUUUUUUAUUUUGAUUUUGAUGGUAGGUUCCCACUCAUCAUGAAGCUUCCUAGGGAUAGAGACUUCCAAUUCAAGUUUCUCUUCAAGAGCUUUUAUCAUAGUGUCACGCCCAAGAUGCGACCCUCUCCUCAAUUUGGCACGGGGGCCUCGUGAGGGAUAGAAGCGCAUCUCGUCGUGUCGCAAGAUUGGAUAUCGUUACAAGUACAUGUACUGAAAAGAAGAGAUAUAUAAUAGAAUUGGCUUACACUCGCCACAAGCUACAUCAGAGUCACAACAAUACAUUACAUAAUCAUCAAGAGCAAGAGCAGGGUCCGACUACGGACGAAAACAAACGAGAAAAAUAAGAACGACGUCCAUCCUUUCUAUCCCCGGCUGCUGGCCUGGAACCCAUCCUAGAUCGAUGAAGAAGAAGAANUUACCUGUACCUGCAACUGGUGUUGUAGUAAUCUGUGAGCCACAGGGGACUCAGCAAUCUCAUUUCCAAAGGUAUCAAGACUAGCAAAGCUUAAUGGGUGAGGUAUGGUUAAGUGGUGAGGUUGCAGCAGCGGCUAAGCAUAUAUUUGGUGGCUAAACUUACGAGUACAAGAAAUAAGAGGGGGGAAGAUCUACGCAUAACGGACGUGAACUACUGGUGAUCAAAGGAAUGAUCCUGAACACCUACCUACGUCAGACAUAACCCCACCGUGUCCUCGAUCGGAGAAGGAACUCACGAAAGAGACAGUCAUGGUUACGCACACAGUUGGCAUAUUUUAAUUAAAUUACUUCAAGUUAUCUAGAACCAGUGCUAAACAAAGUUUCCACGUUGCCACAUAACCGCGGGCACGGCUUUCCGAAAAGAUUUAACCCUGCAGGGGUGCUCCAACUAGUCCAUCACAAAUUACCACAAGCCGCAUAGAAAUCCUCAAUCACGAUGCUCGCGAUCUAGUCGGAUUCCCUAGUGGAAAACCUCAACUCUGAGAAUACCCAAAGCAUCACCGGAAUCCCGAUGCACAAGAUAUCUCGUCAAAGGUAAAACUAAUCCAGCAAGGCCGCCCGCGUGUCGACGAUCCCGAUAGGAGCCACGUAUCUCGUUCUCAGGACACGACGAAUAAACACAGCGUACGGUGGCCUGAUAGAAAUCUCCCGAGUUUCCCCGGGUUGGCCUCGCAAACGGCUCUAGUUUAGGACCAACACUCAUGAGGAGCACUGGCCCGGGGGUUGAUUAAAUUAUCCUCGGGGUCUGGAAAGUCCCUAUGCAAUUUAUUAGGUGAUUAGGCAAAUGUAGUACCAAAGUUGGGCCUUGCCAGACCAGCUUUAAUCUAAAGCGAAUUAUCAAGGGGGUCCCCAUAACAACCCCGAUCGUGUUAGGAGCGCUCAUUUAUGGAACAUAACACCGGUAGCCGAAACUAAGGGGGAAAAGGUGGAACAAAACACCAGGCUAGAAAGGCCGAGCCUUCCACCUUUUACCAAGUAUAUAGGUGCAUUAAAUUAAAUAGCAUUUAAAUAUGGUGAUAUAACAAGGAACCCAUGUUUUCACAUGGAAGCAACUGCACCUGCAACUAGCAACGCUAACACAGGGUUAAGCAAGCAGUAACAUAGCCAAUCAGUGGUUUGCUAGGUCAAACAGGUUGAAGGUAAUCAUGGCAUUGUUGAGAGGCUGACAUUUAACAAGUGGUAGGCAACGAGACAUAAACGAUAGAAGCGGUAAACUAGCAUGGCAAUGAUAGUAAUGGUAUCUGGGGAAAUGAUCAUCUCGCCUGAGAUCCCGCUUGGAAGAAGAAUGCCUCCGUGAAGCAGACGAACCGACGUAGUCGAACGGG
rnacentral:lncRNA from 1 species